rnacentral:lncRNA from 1 species
AAGGUAUUAGUUGCUUUCACUCUUUGUUCAUUCAUAAUUCCAGCUUUCUGCUUGAUGCCUUGCCUCUGAUAAACCUCUUUUUUCUCUUCAGGUCCCAAUUGAGGCCGAGAGAUUGAUGGACUACGAUCUCGUCUUGGAACAGUAUCUACCUCCAGCGUCACCUUCGCUUGCCGGAUUCCGUCUAGAUGCUUUCAGUGCAAUAAAACCUAGGGUUACCCAUUCACCUUCCUCAGAUUCAGAUAUCUGGGACAAAUCAGUAACAUUUUUAGAAGACAGGUACAUCUCUCAAGCUGUGUUGUAUUUACAAGUAUCCGCACUCCAGGAACCACAUAACAUGGUAACUAUUGCGGAAUAUCGACUGCCGGAGGCUAGAGCCGGAACGCCAAUGUACUUUGAUUUCCCACGACCGAUACAGUCCCGACGAGUUUCAUUCAAGCUUCUUGGAGAUGUUACAGCAUUUGCAGAUGAACCUUCAGAACAAGAUGAUUCAGGAUUGAGAGCUCCACUUGUGGCCACAGGUUUGUCUUUGUCAAACAGAAUCAAGUUAUAUUAUUAUUGUGAUCCUUAUGAGCUCGGAAAAUGGGCAAGCCUUUCUGGAGUUUGAUCGUUAUUUAUAUGUCAGAGAAAGGGUUUUGGGUUUGAUUUUGAUUUUGAUUUGUAAUUUUUGUCAGUUUAUUGAAAUUUUUUGUUGUAUAAAAGCAGAAUGUAAAGGUAUAAAAAUUCAUUGAUGCUGCAAUGUCUGUGCUUUUGAGAAAGAAAGAAUUCUAUGGCUUUUCUAUGCCAUUGGAUUUUCCACUGCCUGUAAACUUGGGCUGUCGAAUGCUCUGUGAACCUUAAGGGCUAUAAAGUAAUUUUCAAGACUGAAGGAUUUAUUAAUCGAGUUCAAAAGAUUGCAAGUUGGUGAGCGUUGGCAUUUAAAAAAUCAAUUGUUAUUCUCUCAAUAAUCUCUGUCUUCUGCCGACACCCCAUGCUCAGAAACCCAUUGUUCCGACGGACGUGUAACACUUCUAGAAAUUGUUUUGAUCUCUCCUCGUGAAGUGUUUUCUUUUUCGAGUGAAGGUGGUUUUCUACUUGCAUACGUCGGGGGUCUUAUGAUAUGUAAUGUGUGAAAUUUCUUUCUCAUUUUACCAUAAAGAAAAAUGUUGUAAUAAUCUAAAGCUCGAGUCUUAAAUUAUCUUAAAUUUAUAUUUAGAGUGGAGCUAUUCGCAAUCCUACAUUAAAAUUACAAAUAAAAAUAAUUGAAAAUUAAACACUUAUAGAUUUUUUUUACAACAAAUUAUUUAAUUCAUAAUCAAUCCUUUAAAAAAAAAAAUCCAUAUGUUACUUGCUAUCUAACUAAAAUAAAUUUUACAAAUUUAGAAUAAUCUAUUGAUUUCUUUUGAUUUCUUAUUAAUUAAAUAUUUUUAUACAUAAAAUUGCUUUGAAAUUAUAAUUUGAAAUAUGUGUUAUUUCAGCCAAUGAUUAACACUAAAAAACUUAUCACCCAUAUAACUUUUUAAUUUGUGUGUAGGGUAAUAAUAAAAUCAAAAAUAAUUAAAAAAAUAGUACAAUAAUGAGUUUUAACAAUAAAACAAAUCAAAUGAAAAUUGAAAAUUUAGAAAAAAUGUAUCUAAAAAAGGGAACGUUUUUUAAAAUAAAAUGAAUAUAACUAAAAAGGGGUUUUAUGAGAAGAGCAGAGGGGUGCCAAUAGUCCAACUUGUAAUUAAGAAUCUCCCAUUAUAUUGUCAACCAAAAAGACACUUGAAUAAGAAGAAGAAUUUAUCAGUUUGAUUUUAUUUAUAGAUCCAACAUUUCUCAUAUCCUAAACGCCUUUCCGUAUCAAAUUAAAACAGUAGUCGCAAAAUCGUAGUAUUAAAAUCGUAGUGCACAUUCAAUUAACCAACUAAUAGUCUUUGGUAUAAGAUUUUAUAUUAGCUAGCCAAGUAGGUUGUCCAUCCCACUCAGACAUGAACGAAAGCUAAAUUCAUCAAAUGGUGUUAUACUAUUAAAUAUUUUUAUAUUUAAAAUUACUUUGAAAUUAUAAUUUCAAAUUAAAAUAGUAGUAGCAAAAUCGUAGUGCACAUUCAAUUAACCAACUAAUAGUCUAAGAAGCAAAGAGAGGAUUACAAGUUCACAACACCAUUACAAAGGAUUCAAAAUUCCCACACGAAAACAUCAAUGUACAGAUUAUAAACAAUCCGAAUUGGACACAAGAAAAAGCCCUUCAAUGGAUUGCUUUCCUUCCCAAUGCUAUAUACUGUGCAAACUCCGCACUGGCCAAGAAAAUGUUUUCAAUUUAGUGUAUUUUCAAAUUGCUUAUUUUCUCAUAAUAUAAAAAAUAAAAAAGAAUCCUUACAUGUUUCAUCAGCAUGAUUAAAAUCAAAGAAGAAAGCGAAGACGUAAUGUCUCUGACAUAAUAAAAUUACAAAAAUUUCAAGGAAAAAAAAAAGGUUAAAACAUGUAAUCUUCAGAAGCAUAUAAUAAAAGAACACUUCCACAAAUUACUACAAUUUCAUGCAGUAGAGAUUGAAGAGUUGAAUUCCACUAAUUUUAAUAAUGAAAACAACAACAGAGGAUUAACUGAUGCUUUGACUUAUUAGCAGGUUGCUUUGACUUAUUAGUUCUGCAGCUAAGUUAAAUAAAAUAAGCUAUUUUCAAAAGCAAAAUGGAAUACAUAGAUAAAAACAUCAUCUUAAACAAAUCACAAUCUAGAAUUAGAGCAUUUUCGACAUACCUAAGGAACACGAAUACGUGAAAACGGGUGAUUUAUUUGUUAAGGAGUGUUGAUUUGGUCGUCUCUGCAAAUUCUUUAGGGACUCGGUUCCAAUUCCUCUUCAUCAAAACUGUAAUAUAAUUCCCCUUCAUCAGAACUCGAAUCGAUGCAAUAUAAUUCCCCUUCAUCAGAACUCGAAUCAAAUUCACUUGCAGCAGUUCCACUCGCGCUUGGCAAAUCAUCCAAUUUCCAAACUUCGGUAACAAAAUUGAGAGUAAAAGUGUUGGCUUUGAUCUCGCUGGGAUUUGCAUAUACUGGACAUACUCCGCAACGUUUUAUCUUCUGACCCUUUUGGACCUUUAUUAUGUUUCGGUGACACUCAUUGAAGAACUUAAAUGUGGCAGUUGAAUGAUGGUCACCAUCAGGAAAGCCAACAUUCAAGCAAGGUUUAAAACCAAGUAUGACAUGAUCUGAAUCAUGGGGGUCUUGAAUUGAGUGCAAAUUGUAACCCAGAUGAACAUGUUUGGUUUCAGAGAGAGUCUUUAUUUCUAAGUCGGAUCGACAGUAAACGUAAAAAUAACGAAAACGAUCAGAAUAAAGUUGCUUAAAAUCAAGAACAGCACAAAAAGCAAACCCGAUUAAGUUUCUGCAAAAAGAGUGCGGUGGCAGUUGAAUACGUAUCGAAGAUCCUGAACUUUGAUUGCUGAACCAGUCAGGAAUUUCGCUCCCAGGUAAAACAAUUUGGGAUCCCCUGAGUUCAGAAAGUUUCUGCGAAACGACAUUUAAAAAAAGAAAAUUGUAAAAUGAAAACCAUGAUUUCAGAUAUAACAAAGAGGGACAGAGUAAACAAGAGAGGGAAUUUGAUACCUCGUUGUAUGCAUUUUCAUAGCCCAGUCUCAGUGAUGCUGCAAUUGCCAUACGUAGUGAAUCUGCCAAAAUCUUGUUGUUUGCUUUUCCAUCAAGUUUCAAGCAGUUAGUAAACUCAAAACAAAUUGGUUGUGGCGUCACAUAUUCCGGAUGCCAUUCACGAAGGUCAGGAGAGGGUUUGGAUAGCUUUUCGAGUACGGAUGCAUCUAGUUCUUGUACACAUGACGGAAUCUCUGGCAAAGAUUGAAGCCGGUUGCAGUUCAUUGCUUUUAGUGACUGUAGACACAAUGGAAGUUCUGGUAAUGACCGAAGCAUGUUACAAUCCUCCAAGUGAAGAGUUUCUAGACCCAAUGGAAGUGCUGGUAAUGACUGAAGCAUGUUACAACGCCUCAAGUAAAGAGAUUUUAGACACAAUGGAAGUUCUGGUAAUGACUGAAGUAUCUUACAAUCCCUCAAUUCAAGAUAUUUUAGACACAAUGGAAGUUCUGGUAAUGACUGAAGCAUAUUACAAUCCUCCAAGUUAAGAUAACUUAGCCACGACAGUUGCUUGAUACUUGCAGGUAAACUCUCAAAGUUAUUUCCACUUAAAUUGCCAAUGUUAUCCGGCAACUUGUCAAGUAUAGAGCAACCACUUACGGACAAAAAUGAAAGCCCCGGUAGAUUUUCAAAUGGCGAUGGCAGCUCUGUAAUUGCCGUCCAGACUAAAUAGAUGCAAUUUAAAUGUUCCAUUUUCUCCAAGAUUUCUGGGAAACGCUCAAGGUUCAAGCAGCCAAAAAGAAAAAGAUCAACCAAAGAUCUCAAUUUACAGAACCUAGUUGAAAUCCUCUUCAGCCGUUUGCAAUGCCCCAAAUCCAACACUUCAAGAUCAGUUAGGCACUCUAUUGAUGAUGGAACUUCUUCUAUUGCAGACUGGCCUAAGGAUAGCUCUGUGAUUUUCCCAGAAAUCCGUGGAAACUCUUUGAGAUUAACACAAUAGGAGAAAUUAAUAGUUACUGGACAAACAAAAUGAAGAUUGCUUGGAAAAGACCUAAGACUUUUGCAGCCCUCAAAAGACAACGCACUGAGAUACUUGAAAUUCUGGAUAGAUGAGGGAACACAAGCCAAGUUUGUAUAAUCCAAAAGAUUUGUUUCAACAUUUGGGGUUUCUAAUGGGCCUGGCAUCUUAAUGAAAUGUCGAGAAUGAUUGAGGUUAAUAGAUUUUAACUUGAAAGCUUCCUGCAAUAACAGAUAUAUAAAGACUAUAUUAAUUAAAAAGCAACAUUGAAUUCAACAAUUAAUUGCACGUAUGUUUAAAGAAAGAAAAAAAUUAAUGUUUUAGUUUUAGUACAAAACUUACCUUUUCUCCUUCCCAAAGUUGCUCAACUUUACUAAAACGCAAAUUCAGUUCAACAAGGUUCAUUGGCUUGAAAUUUGAUGGCAGUGUCCUUAAUGGAUAUGUGUCCCAAUGAAGAUAUCUCAAUUUUUUAGGAAGAUAAUCUAGGCCAUUUGGAAGCUGCACUUUAGAGUAUGAAAGUUGCUCUUCAAUGCUCAUACUUAGAAACCUUUCAAUCUCAGGUACAUAAAAUUUGAGCAAUCUUAGAUUAGACAUUUUUGUGAAGGCUCCUGGGUCUAAAUUGAUGCCUUUUAUUUUGGACAAAUCCAGAAAUAUGCCUUCAAUUGCAUCGGUCCCCUUAUUAAAAAAAAAAAAAACAAAGAAUGAGUAACCCUAAAACAGAAAAGAAACAUUCGUAAACUUUAUUAACUAAGAGCUUCUUAAACAAAAACAAAUUCUGCAAUCUUUGAUUUUAUUUUUUUAAUAUAUUAAAUAUCUAUAUACGAGAAAAGAAAAUUUUGGGGACCAUUGCAAAAUUAAACUAACCGAAAAAAAAUUCAAAAUUUCUCUAAUUUACAAACCUGUUAUCUUAAUAACUAGAAGUUGAGAAGACAAGGCCUAUUUGAUUGGUAUAAGAUUUCGAUUUGUUUUUUAGUCCAUAGAAUCCAAAAUGUUAGUUCAAAAUUAGGGAAAAAAAAUGAAAGUUAUUUUUUUUCCACUAGUUGUAAUUGUUUCCAAGUCAAAUUGAGAUACGACCCUUUUCGAAAGGAUUUAAUCAUCUUAUAGCCUCCUUAAGAUACAUUUAAGCUAAAAGGAGUGAUUGGAGGCAGAACUAGGUGGGCCAAUCAGUCCCUUUUAUUAGUGACUGUUGCUUAAAAAAAAUUAUACUCUAAAACACACUUACUUUUUUGAAAAAAAAUAUAAUUAUAUUGAAGUAGAACCAGGUGGGCCAAUCCUCAUGGCACUCACUUUGUUCUGACACUCUUCACUAAAUUUGAAGAAAAAUAAAAUUAUACUCUUCACACUCUUAUUCAACAUUCCAAAAUUGAUAAAAUCUAGAGUUUUCUUUAAAAAUUUAAAAUUUGAAGACUUGUUCUCUUGACAUCCUCAGUCAUUAAUUUCACCUAAUUAUGGUUUUUAUGAUUUUGGUUGUUUUGUUCAUAAAACAAUUUUACUAAAGGAUGUUCUCGUAAUAAUAAAAAUUAUAAAAAAAACAUGGGUGUGCUGGUAUGGUUGGGAAAAUACGAGUACAGAACUCCAAACAAAUAAAAGAUUUAUAUAAAAAAAAAUGGAGGAUUCUUACCAUAUUAUGCUUUAGUACGCGGCGGAUUUCCUUAGGAUCCCACAACCUACUACGUCUGCCUGGCACUUCCUCAGAUUCUUGGCGAACAGUCUCUUGGCCCAUUUCUUGCAAUAAAUCAUGCAUUUGCAAGCGGUUAUCUGACACAGUUAUGAGUGACUUGUCGACGAGGACAUCCAGUCUGUGAGACCCAGAAUCAUCAAGUAUCCUUAACACAAAAUCUUUAUCCUCUCCCUCAAGGAAACACGCAAUAUCUAGAAACAUACUCUUCACCCUGGGCGUUAAUUCUUUAAAACUAAUCUUUAAUGUAUCAUAAAUACCAUGAAUAUCAGAUUCACAAAUCCGAUUUAAGUCGUGCAAUACAUUUUCCCAAUGGCUUUUCCUCUUGAGAUACAGGGAGGAACCCAACACUUUAAGAACUAAUGGAUUGCCAUCAGCAUACUCUACAACUCUCCACGAGUCACGUUUGAAAUCUUCAGGACGAUGCUUUUCUUUAAAAGCGAAGUUACAAAAGUGCUCGAAAGCCUCAUCAAAUUUCAAUCCAUUGACCCUAUAUAUUUUCUCCACUCCAAAUUUUUCGAGGACUCGUUUAUCCCUGGUGGUUACAACAAUUCUACUUCCUGGACCAUAUUGAUCAAGCCCUCCAAUCAAACCCUCUAAUUGUUCAUCUUUAUUCACAUCAUCGAGUACAAUCAACACCUUCAUGCGUCGGACCCUCCCUUUAGUAAAUUGUGGAAUAUUGGGACCAGCUACUUCAAGUUUUUCACUUAAUAUUGUCGAAAGCAUUUCCUUUUGUAGGUCUUCUAGGCCACCCUCUGUUUCUGAUUUUCUCCUAACAUUUUUUGCAAAGUAUUUACCAUCAAACUCACCAGCGAAUUGAUCGAAAAUAGCUUCAGCAAGGGUAGUUUUGCCUAUACCGCCCAUACCCCAAAUUCCAACAAUUUGGACAGUAUCCGACAAAUCCAUACACAAAAAUGGUUUAAUCUGCUCAAUUCGUGAAUUUAAUCCAACUAGGCCGUUGGAUGAGUCCGUUGAGACUGUUAUUUUUUCCAACUUCUUCAAAACAUCUUCGACAAUUUUGUUUACAAGUUGCGCAUCAAGCCUAAUAUGAAGGUGCAAAGAUGCAAAAACAUUGAGUCAAAUCGGGCCAAGACAGAAACAGAGAAAAGAUGAAUUAGGAAAGAGAGUUACCUGAAUUUCGUGGAUUCAUGGCCGGCUAGAUGGGAUGUUUCUGUCAGUGCAUCCCUCCACUUCUGAACCAUUUCUUGUUUAUCUUUGAACUGUUUUUUGAGCUCAUCAAAACGGUCUCCAAAUGUUCCGUUUUGAUGCCGCACAUCAGAUGGACUUACUCCAUAGAAGAAUGGAAUAAUAAUUUGGCCGUUUGUGUUCUUGCAUUCAAGAAUCUUGACAAGUUCAUUCAGGCACCAUUUUGAAGAAGCGUAGUCCUUCGAGAAAAUGACCACCGAAAUUUUUGAACCUUGGAUUGCGUUCAAAAGGGCGGGUGAAAUCUCAUCUCCUCGCCUAAGCCCUUCAUCAUCAAUAAAUGUUUUGAUUUUCUUUCCUUCAUACAAUUUAUCAUAGAGAUAGCAAGUAAAGCUCUUACGAGUGUCCUCCCCUCUAAAGUUGAGGAAGACUUCAUAAUUGGCACAAGAAGAAGAGGAAGCCAUGAAGGAAAUUUUAGAAAAUUGGUGACAGAAACAGAGAAUUAAUCUUGAGAGUUGAGAGAGGAGAUGUAAGAAUGAACAUGUGCGAAGAUUCUUGCGAGUACAUAGUAAAUAAUUGAAUGGCUGGAGCUUUCUUAGUUUCCUGGAAAUUUCCUGGAGCUUUCGUAUACAUGAUUUGUCAAGUCAUGAAACAUAAUCAUGAUAAUGGGGCAGACCGAAAAGAAAAGCAACAAUUCAAAUAUUUGAUUCAACCAGUAUAAAAAGGAAGGAAAAGCAAAGAAAGGAAAUGUUGAAAGUAGAGUUAGGGAAUUAUAAAAAGCUGAAGGAAAUUGGAAUUUUGUACAAUUUCUCCAGCGAGGAACUUUCACAGUCGUUACCUCAUUGUUACAGUUUAGAUUAAGAUUUGAGGGUGCAAGCAUUUACCUAGAUUUUACCUCCGCACUAAAUUCUUAAGUUUGAAAAAUUAUGAGACCUUUAUAUUGGAAGAUAUUAUAAUCGAAUCAAAACUUAAAAUUUUAAUAUUGUUAAUCUUUAAUCUUUAAAAAAAAUUACCUUGCCGUUACAAUUUGGAUUAAGAUUUGAAUAAGCAUUUACCUAAAUUUUAUCUCCGCCUGUAAAUUCUUAUGUUUUAAAAAUUAUGAGACCUUUAUAUUGGGAGAUAUUAUAAUCGAAUCAAAAUUUUGAAUUUCAAUAUUAUUAUUCUUUUAAAAAAAAUUUGAGAUAACAGAGUGAUUGAUAAUAGAGAACUUGUCUAGGCAAACACAUGCAUACACAAAAAUGUGAUGGAUUCAAAAAGAAAUUAAAGUGAUAAUGUACGUGGAUCCUUAAAACAAAAAGCGAAAUCGCUUGGUGGCCCAGUAAAAUUAAGACUGAAUAUUUUUUACACGAGAAGUGUAGCUCAUAAAUGGCAAAAGCCAUUUCAUUUCACUUUUACGCGUCAUUGACUUUUGUAACAUGGUGCAUGCAUCGUCAAGUGAGGCAAAAGGGUUUCGAUUACAGUGGGAAAACAUGAACAAGAAUGCAUAAUGAAUAAUUCCUUUGAUAAAGCGAAAAUUAAACACAGAAUAAUCCUAAAAUUUAAACUCUAAUAUCUUAUAAUUUAAUGAUUAAAAAUAAUCCUAAGAGUUCCCAAUUGAAACUUUCAGAGAUAAUAGAAAAUAGCUAUGCUUUAAAAGGCCAAAGAUUAGAGAACAAAGAAGAAUUAGGUAUUGAUAUAAAAAUUAUUAAUUUUUUUGAUUUCAAGCAAAAAUAGUUUCAUAUACCAUUUCGAUUUUGGUAGGGGUGAGGUUUUGAACUUCAAUAGUUUCCUCUAAAAUCAAAAGGUAGUAAUUAAGUUAGAAAGAGCAAAGAAGACUUAUCGGUACCUUAUUGAAGGUAAACAUUAUGGAACUUUCAAUGUCAUUACCCCACUGUUUAAUUUUUAUUGAGAUUUGUGCAAGCAUUUACCUAAAUCUUACCUCUGCCUGUAAAUUCAUAAGUUUUGAAAAUUAUGAGACCUUAUAUCGGGAGAUAUUAUAAUCGAACUAAAACUUAAAAUUUCUUUUCUUUUUUUUUUUUUUUAUCAUAAAAGGGCUCUUAAGAGAGCUAAGGCAACACUAAAUGGGAGUGUGCAACCCCAUGAACAUCAUUAAUCAAUAUGUUUAGCGUAUUUGGAGGAAUAGAUUGAAAGCAAUGUAAACCCAAAGGAAAAGAAAAGCUGUACGAAGUAAGGAAAUCUGCUGCUACAUUGGUUUCUUGGUAGAUAUGAUCCACUUUGAUCAGCCAAUCACGCCGAAGGAGUUCUUCGAUGGCCUGAAUGAGAGUAAAAUGCUCAUUGACGGGAGGGUUUGAGUUAGAGAUUAACUUCAUAACACACAUGCUGUCCACUUCCACGUAAAACUUAAAAUUUCAAUAUUAUUAUUCUUUAAAAAAAAAUUGAGAUAUCAGAGUAAUAUCACAUAGAAAAACUUGCCCACGGACGGUAAGCCAAAAGUCUAGUCAACCACAUGCAUAAAGCUAAGUAGAACAAGAGAACAGAGAAACGCGUGGGUCCCUAAAGAAAAGGCAAGCACAUAAAUGAAAAAGCCAUUACAUAUCUAUUAACACGGUGUGGCAGCAUAUGCACAAUCAAGUGAGGCAAAAGGGAUUCGAUUAUCGUGGCAGAACAUGGACGAGGACGCGUGAUGAAUAAUUCCUUCGUUAAAACCAAAAACAAACGCAGAGAAAACAAUUUCUUAUAUGACAAGAAAUCAAAGUAAUGUGAAGGAACAUGAUGAAGAAAUUGCAGACUGAUCAAUUAUCCCCAUGGACUCCUAUAAAUUCAACCAAAAUAACAAUUCGAAUCUUACCAAAUUCUUGAGUUAAAUUUAUUCAAUGCUUUUAUUUUUUUAGAAAAUUUUUUUCCAAUGCUACUUUUCCUUUUUUGGGGAAAUUAGAACCGCGGCAUGUAUAGAAAACAUUGAGGUGUAAAGCAACAUUAAUUUCAUGGGAUAUGCGUUAUACGCAUAAUAUAUUUUCAGUCCAAAUUCAACUAUACAAAGAGGCUUGAGAACUUAAAAUUAAGCACAAACUAAACAGACGAAGUAAAUACAUGAUUAUGCAACAUAACAUUAAUUCUCUCAAUUGAUAACUGUUUUUGCUACAUGAAUCUUGCACAGUUAAUCCUAAUUGAAGACUAAAAAAGAGCAAUUGGAAGAAGGUUUUGGAAUAGAAUGGUAUACAAUCGAUAUGAUCCUUUUCCAGUAGUCAACGCUAAUUAACUGCAGUUUCUAGACUCCUAAUUAUACUAGCCAUAGCAAACUAUUUAGAAAACUGGUGAUCAAAUUAGAUUUUGAAAGGAAAUAAUGUUCAUUUUCCCUUCGCUGCCUUUUCUUUUCUUUUCUUUUUAUAGCAAAGAAUUAUAUCAUGAAAAGAAUCAAUUUAAUCACCUUUUCCAGCAGCCCAAUUUUUCUUUUAUAAAAUUUGACCACGGAGACAAAGAAGAAUUAUUCAUAACUUCAUCACUAAGGAAAUACUUUUCGGUAUGGCUAGGGUGAGAAAAUGCUUUCCACUAACACUUGUACUUUGUAUUCUUGUAAAUUUUCUUUAAAGUCAAUAAAAACCAUAAGUUCUUUGCAAUAACCAUCUCUUUGAUCAAAAAGUGCCGUAUUCCUUUAGAAUUUAAAACCGGCAAAACCGAAUCAGUGUCUUUGAAGAGACAUAAUGGUCGUAAUUCUUUAAAUGAGUUGGCUAUGGAAAUCCUUAUCCAAGAUUCUUUUAUGCCAUAUUCUUUCGUAAACCAAAAUUCAUUUUGAAAUACUCUAUUGAAAAUGUCAAAUAAAACGGCAUUGAAGGAAGUUUUCAAAGGCAUAAUCCGCACUUGUCAAAGGGAUGAUCUGCACUUGUCAGAGACACGAUCCGCGUCGAACGAAUCGACACAUUUCCUUUCGUAUUCGCAUAUGUAAUCUUUGAAAAAAUGUAGCUUCCGCAUCUAUAAAUAACGCUCAGUGUAUAAUGUUUUAUUCAAGAAAAGAAAACAAAUUUCUUCAUACUCCUUGUCCGAACAUACAGAGACAGUCUCUCAUAACUUCAGCCGAAUACUUAUGAUGAUGAUCAUUUGUGAUUUCAUCAGGCAUAGGGUUGAUGGUGAAAAAUUUUGUAUGUGUGAAGAAUUGAGCUGUGGAUAUAGGGGACUUAAGUGUAAUCGAAAGAGAGUUAUUAGGCCAUAGUGCAGAUUGCAUUCAGUUUAUGGGUCGAUAUGCAAAUAAUUUGUUGACGUGGCGAAAUCUGUUAUGGUCGUUACUAUUGUUUCUGGAAAUUUUCUAGAAACCUCAGCAUAAAAGGGGCUUUUGCAUAGCCUCUGGUGUGCGUGUGAUUUCUCUUUCGUUUCCUCAUCAAAUUCUGUAAUUCUUGCUUUGAUAAAAAGCUUGUAAUCAUUUCUGUAAUGUGUGAUCAGUGCGUAAUCAUUUUGAGCAAUAAAAGCUUGUGGGUUUUUCCUUCAAACAGUGUCGUUUUGGUCAGUUUGUUAGUUUGAUCUGUUGGUGGAAUUUUCUUUGGUUAUUUGUUCUCAAAUUUCAACCGUAUAUAAAGUUUGAACUCUAAUGGCUUAUAAUGUAUUGAUUAAGAAUAAUCCUAAGAGUUCCCGAUUGAAAUUUUUAAUGACUAUUUUUAUUGUUUUGGAUAUACAAAUUGCAUUAAGAAAAAAUAUUGUCAAAUUCAGAGGAUAACGGGAAAUAAUUAUGCUUCAAAAGACCAGAGAUUAGAGAAUAAAGAAGCAUUCAUUACUGACAUACAAAAGAGAAACACUCCAAAAUUGCAAGCAAACUAGUUUCAUAUACUAUUUGGAUUUUGGAAGGGGUGAAGUUUUGAGCUUCAGUUGUUCCUCUAAAUAGCAAAGAAGACUUAUUGGUACCUUACUGAAGCUAACAUUGUGGCACGGUUGUUCAUAUGUAAUGGCUGCUCUGUUAUGGUAGCUUCUCUGUUUUUGCUCACAGUUUUGAACAUGAAUUCUUGCUCAAAUAACCCAUAAUUAAUUAACAUUAAAAUGGCUCGUGAAAUCCCAUAAUAGCUAAUUACGCAACUUUCUCCUCCUCCUCAAUUAUGUCUUCCCCUGCUCGUACAAUAAAUUCAAAAUUCAAUGCCCCGAAAAACAACACAAGAAAUCUUUGAGUUAGUUCGUGACCAGUUUAUAUAUAGUAGCAAUUGAAAAAAGAAAAAGAAGAAAAGAGUUAAUUAUUAUUCAGACCUUCACUUAUUAGGAAGUUUGUUCUGCUAUUGGGUGAGGUCAAGCUCUCAGCAUAUACUUCCACAUGAUACUUUCUAACAUUUUCUUGAAAGCCAUCAAUCAUAAAAUCUUCAUACUUUUUUCCAUCCUUUGGAUCAAUGAGUACAAAUUUCUCAUCUAAAACAGACAAAAUAAAAUCACUGUCCUUCAUGGAACAUAAUGGCUGCAAUGCCUGAACUGAAUUGGCUAAUGAAACAUAGUCUUCUUUUCUUUCUCGACAUGGAACAUAGUCUUCUUUUCUUUCUCGACACAUGUCUCUGUACUUUUCUCUCUCUACUGAUCCACACUUUUUCAUACUUCUAACUAUCAUUUUGUUUUUUUUUUUUGAGUUGUGAUUUAUUCAAUUAUUUUGUAUUUUUAAUGACAAUUAUUUAAUAUUUAGUUAGUGUUGAUAUUGAUUAGUGAUUGAAAGUGUAUUUUAGAAGACUUCCGGUCUCUUGAAAAAAGGAAAAAUGGAGAAGAAGAAGAAGUGUUCUUGAUUUUUUUGUAGGCAUUAAAGUUAAACGGUUUGAAAUGAUAUUUUGUUUUAAUUUCACUCAUUAAUCUCAUUCAGGAUAAAAUUAUAAAUGCAAAUAAAUGGGGUUUCAUAAGUAUUUUUAAUAGUGUUAAAAGGUCUACUAACUAAAUAAACAUGUUUUACCCAAACCAAUCCGAUUAAUAAGUUAUUGGGUUGGGUUGAUCAGGUUAAAAAUCAAAAUUAAAAAUUAAAUAAAUAAAUAAGGCAUAAAAACUAUAUGUUACUUGAAAAUAAAAAGAAUUUCUAAUAGUUAGUUCUAAUGUCCCAUAUCCAAAACAUGCAUAUUAAAUAAAUAUUAUAAGUUAGAAAUAAAAUAUCCAAGAAAUAAUGAAUGAAAUACCAUAUUUUUGUUGAGAAUUAAGAGUGUGAUUUUAAUUUUGAUAUUGGAGUCUAAAGCAAUAGAUAGUACAAUGAAAUCAUGAAUGCUACGUUUAAAUAAUCUCUUUUAUAAAAUAAUAAAAAGAGGUUAAAAAUUAGGUUAGCAUUUAGGGUUUAGCAGUUAAGGAUGAACAUAUUAUUAUUGUUGUUGUUGUUGUUAUUAUUAUUAUUAUUAUUAUUAUUAUUAUUUACAUAUUAAUUAAUCCAACCCAACUCAAUUAUUAACGAAUUUGAAAAAAAAUGACCAAAUUAAUCCACAAUAAUUCAUUCAACUCGUCUAAAUUAGAUUAGAUUGAAUUUGAUUUGCUACACCUACAUUGAGCAACAAACCUCAACGCGAUUCUAUGAGCUCUUUGAUUGUUUAUAAAAUUGAUUUAGAGUACAUAAUGGAGUGUAUCGACAAUGAAAGUGCAAAACAAAUUAUUGUAUACAUUAAAAUCUGCAAAACAAUGAAUUAUAUGUACGAACGAGUGCAAACACAUUUUUCAAUAAGAAGUUAAAAGAUAUUUAUGCAUGAAAAAGCAUACGUUUGUAGUUACUCUAAAUUUUUUAAAAAAAAUUUACAUUUAGAUCCCUAAAAUUUACGUAUAAGUACAAAAGUUUCAAAUAUUGUCUAUUAUUUUUUAACAUAUGCCUAUUCCUUGUGGAUAAUUCUGUCUCAUCACUAAUGUUGUUUCUUGCUUACAAAAAACAAAUGUCAUCUCCUUUUACAAUUUUUAUAGCGUCUCAAAAUAGACAAUGGGGGGAUUUUGAAUUUUUUAAGUCUCAAGAUAGUCUCUAAUCUUGUGAGAAAGAUUUUCUUUCAAUAAUUUGGAGGUAAAGAUAACAUAAUUUUUUGGAUAGUGUGCAUGUGUAUUUAAUUAAUAAUUUUUUAAAAAAAUACAUCAAAUAUUAAUAUCCAUGACAUAAUUUAGUUCUUAAUUUUUUUUAAAUACAUCAAAAACAUAAUUUUUUUUAACAACUUAUAGGCAUGACAAAUUUCAAGAUAUAAAUAUCAGUCAAAAUAAGUGAAAGAAAUAAUGGUGCCAAUUCUAAUUUCUUAACUAAAUUAAUUAGUGCAUGAGCCCCGAAUACGACACGAGAGUUUGAUGGGCUAACUUGGCACAAGAACGUGAAUAAAUAAUUGAUUUAAGAAAUAAUUCAACGAAAAAUAUAAUUGAUAAGAAUUCAGUAUUGAAAUGAGUUUUUUUGUGAAACACUGAAUUAAUGAUUAUUAAGCAAGAACAAUAAAAAAAUAAAUAUUAAUCAUUGAUAAGUUUCAACAAAAACUUAACACAAUCCUCAAUCCUCAUUCAAAUGAUAAAUGUCAUUCAUAUAUUCAUUAUAAAUCAACAACAAAGGUUAUAAAUGUUUAGAAAUUCUAGAGGGAAGGAAGCUAUCGCCGGACAAUCAACAACUAAAUUUGAUGUAAUUGUGGCACGAGAUGGAAUAUGGAAACUACACCAUAAUUUCAAAUGCCGCCAUAGACAUUGACUUAUCAUAAUAACAAUGAUCUAAUUAAAAUAAAAACAAAGUUUAUGGGCAUUUAUUAUUUUGCCAUUCCUCAUUUGCAAAUAGGGAUAUAAUUAUAAUUUUACCUAGUCAAAGCAAUCGGUAGUUUUCUUCAUUAUAGGAGUGAAGUAAAAACAUUUAGAUUUCAAUGUAUGUACGGAAAAAUUUGUCUUUAAAAAUACUUUCUUAAUGUGUGUAUGCAUAUUGAAAUACUCAAACCAAUUUUGGUUAUAUAUAAUUAAACAAAUUUUAAAAUAUGAAAAAUAUAAUGUAGUUAUAGUGGAUAAACAAUAAGUGAGCACAAUAUAAUUAAUCAAAUAUUAUGCCAUCAAAAGUUAAUUUUAGAAAUUCCAAAUCCAAUAGCCAACACAAUUCUUUUUUUUUUAAAAAAGUUGACACAAUUAAUAAAAUUAGCGACAUGAAUUUCACGCCAUUGAUAAUCAGCAAUUAGUAUUACUUUCUAAACUUGCUUCAACUGGUCGUUGAUGUCCGGGUCACCAAAAGUAUAAGCGAUAAUAAGGGGCAUUGGGCAAGAGUGAUGAAUGUUUAGUCGGUGCAUUUGAUUGAUAGAUAUAUAAAGGGCCGAAACUUGAGAUUAUAUUACUUUUACAAAUUUUAAUCCAAUCACAUAUUUACUGAAAACAAAAUGAGUUAGGAUACUUUAUUUAGAACCCACAUUUUAAUAAGGCUUCAUUUGAUGUAGUUUUUCAAACAGUGAUUAUUUGAGUAAAGUUUCCUCAAUAGAGUUUUUAUCAAAUAAAUUUUAUUUAUUUGGUUGUCGAUAAGAACUUUUAUUAAAAAUUAUAAAAUUAUUUAAAUAAACAUAUUUUUUAAAAUUACAUUAUAAAAAGAAUUAAAUAAAGUUAUAAAAGUAAAAUAUAUUUUAGAUAUUUUAAUAUUUAAGAAAAAAAUUUUGAAUCUCUACUUUCAGAAGCUCAAAUUUUUAGUUUUUAGUUGUAGAGACAAAAUAUCUUAUUUAAUCUUUAAAAGUUCUGCUAAAAACAAUCAAAUAACUAUAAAAUUUUUAAUAAGAGUAUAUAAAAUUAAAUAAGCAUUUAUUAAUAAUCACUUUAGUGUACUUAUCUAAUGACCAUAAGUGUUUAUUUAAUCUCAUAAGUUCUUAUUUAAUCUCAUGAGCUCUUUUCAAUUUUUUUUGUUGUUUGCUUUUUUUAGUAGAGUUUUUGAAAAUUAAAUAAACUAUUUUGUCUCUAUUAGGAAAAACUCAAAUUUUAGGUUUUUGUGAGUAAAUGUUUAAAUUUUUUUUAAAAUAUUAAAAUAUUAAAGUAAAAGUUGUAGAGACAAAAUAUCUUAUUUAAUGUUUAAAAGUUCUGCUAAAAAUAAUCAAAUAACUACAAAAAUUUUAAUAAGAGCAUAUAAAAUUAAAUAAGCAUUUAUUAAUAGUCACUUUAGUAUACUUAUCUAAUGACCAUAAGUGUUUAUUUAAUCUAAUGAGCUCUUUUUAAUUUUGUUUGUUUGUUUUUUUAGUAGAGUUUUUGAAAAUUAAAUAAACUAUUUUGUCUCUAUUAGGAAAAACUUAAAAUUUAGGUUUUUGUGAGUAAAUGUUUAAAUUUUUUUUAAAAUAUUAAAAUAUCUUUUCUUUAUUUCAUAAUCUUAUUUCAUUCUUCACAACAUAACUUUAAAUAACUCACCUAUUAAAAUAAUUUCACAAUUUAUAAUAAAAAUUUUAAUUGACAAUCAAAUAACAAAUUUUUUUUUAUAAAAACUCUAAUAAUAAAAAUUCUACUUAAAUAAAUUAUAUUUGAAAAGGUAUACCAAACGAACCUAACAUAAAAACAAAAAUUUUUACAUCCACACAAUUAAGCUUAAAACAAUUUCAAAUGAAUUUUAGACUACUCAAAGUACAAUACGUACCAAGUUUGGUAACUUAUUGGGGUCCGCUUGUAAUACAGCGUCUGUAUCUCAUACAGCCAAAUUUAAUAAUUUAUUAAGAAAAAGGGCAACCAUUAGAUAGAAGUAGAUACAUCCAACGGUUAAAAUGUUUGAUUACUCAUUUUGGCGACCGGAUAUGCCAGUUAUUAUUUCAUCAAUUAACUUACCUAAAAAAUCACAGCCGUUGGAUUGAGAUGCCUCUCUUUCCCUCAAAAUAACAGCCUUCGUAUUCUCUCUGCUAUUGUUUUCUCCUACAUCCAGAAUUUUGGAUGAAUGAACUUGGUAUUCAACAAUAUUCACCACCCAUCACAGCAAAGAGCAAAGAUGUAGUCAAAGGAGUGCCAUUUAUUCAGGCUAACUCGAUCUGUCACUCUCGCUUCAAUUCGUCACUCAUUUUCUCGCGCUCAGCUUCAAUCUAUCACUCUCAGCUUCAGUUCGUCACUCACAGCUUCAAUUUUUCACUGUCGUGAAUCAUCUCUCUUGCUGUAUCUCUCUCUUAUGUCUUCCAAUAAUUUCGGUGAGCUCUCUCUCUAAUUUAAUAUAUGAUUAAAAAUCUUAUCAUCUUAUCAUGUCAUUUAAAUAUGCUUGAAGUUUCAAUUUAGUUUAUGAAUAUUACUUGAAAUUUCAGUUUCAAUAAUUUGAUUUUGCAAUUGAGAAAUUAUUACUUGAAAUAUUGAGAUGAUUUCUAGGGAUUGAUAAUUGAAUGAUAAUUGCUAAGGCUUGUCAUUUUUUGUUUUUGAACAGAUAGAGUUACAAUUAAGUCAUACUGCAAUAUUUUAUCUUGAGAUUCUAUUAUUCACAAAAAGAAAAAAAUCAUAAAUUGAAAAAAAAAAAAAAGAGGUUACGAGCAUCAAGCAACUGCAAGUAAUGGGGUUUGUUUUGAUGAGCUGCGAAUUGGGGCCUGUCAUUUUCUUGAAGUAUCUUCAAUAUAAGUGGAAGGAGAUUUCUUCUCUCCAAAAAAUUAUUGUAUAUUUCCUUUUAAAUUCUAGAUUCGCAUGUAGCUGAUUUUUUAUGUUUGAAGGAUUUUAUUAAAGAAUGUGCUGCUGCUAGUGGCAUGAAUUAAUGUAGUCUCGCUAGUAUUCGUGAUUUGGGGUAAGGAUCGAAUUGAACAAUUAUAUUUCUAUUAUUCUUAUAUUCGAAUCCAGUGAUAUUGUGGUGGUUUUAUGAUAAUAUUCAAUUGUUUUGUGCCUCAAAUCAGCCAAUGAGUUGGGUAUGUGCUGGGUAUAUGCCGUAUGGGCUUGUUGUUGAAUUUGCUUGACCUUGGAUGUGAUUCUUGCCGUGUUUAUAAGAAAUAGACACAGGUCUUUGUGUGGUAAUAGAAUUGUCUAAGGUGCCUUACAAUAAAUUUAAGAGUCUUAAGUAACUAUGCUUUGUAACCUUAAACCUUUAUUUGUACGACUUGGUGUUCUUGGUUGUGAAAGAAUGUUAAAUGUUGACCUAUUUUCAUCGGUGAAGAUAAAUGAAGUUAGGGAAGGUUUGUAAUCACUAUAACCCUGACAAUUUUUUUGGUGGGCCGUGAUAAUUUUAUUCAUGGCAUGUACUUUGUUUUUAUCAGAAGGCCCUGUUUGCUUGUAGUCUCAAAUCUAGGGUAAUAUUUUAAAUAAGUUCUGCAAUAUAUGUUUUGCUAUUUUUCUUUUUUGUUUUUAUUUUAAUUAGUUUUAGUAUUACUUGGAGGGGAAUUCUGAUCUGCUGAAGUUUAUCAAGCUGGUGCAGUGGUGCAGCAAGCAGACCUUUAUCUUAAUCUUAUGAUUGUGCUAAGUGGAAUUUUGUGUAAGUUACAACAAUAUAAUUUUUUAAAGAGCUGACAAGACGCUCUCUCUUUUUUUUGGAAUGUUGAGCAAAACUUUUCUUUCUUAUUAGGUGUUUAUAAUAAUUCAUAGCAUGGGUUUUGUCAUAUUGGUUUCAAUGCAUUGAUUUGAUCUUGGUUACAACCCAUCAGCCCUUACUCCUCAUUCCCAGCAGCUUUUAAUGCCUUUUUUUUAAGCAUUGUACUUUGUUUCAUGAUGAAAUUUGUUUAUAUGACGCAAAGUUGAGGACACGGUAAUAGUCAUUAUUUUAAUUUAUGCAACAAAGAUCAUUAUCCAUUAAAUUUUAUGUUGUUGAAAUAUUUAGAUUUUGUAAAUUUUGUUGUAAGAAAUGAGGGCUCUUGAUCCCAUCCCUUUAUUAUAUACAAUUUUUUUUCACUCUGUCAUUCAUUUAUUGUGUGUUAGAGGUAUUAGUCAUGUGCAAAAGUAAAGAUCUUUAUUUUGUUAUUUUUGUCAUCUUGUGCUUCAUUGGUAUAAAUGAGGAAAAAAAAGAAUAAAAUAAAAUAAAAUUAUAGUUUGUGCAUGAAUUCCACCAUAUAUGAAAUGUUUAAUAGAUUAAAAAGUAAGGAGUACACAGUGACUUUGAAUAGCAGGUGGGGGAACUCAUUUUGUUUUAAAAAAAAUUAAUACAUAUUGAUAGAAUAAUUAUCCUUCACUUAAUUAUUUAAAAAUUUUAUUUUGGAAGAAUACAAAUGGACAGUCACCAAUGAAAGCGUAAACGACUACCAGGGGGCUUACAGAAAAAAUUGCUCCUAUUCUAAAAGUAGAUGGUCAGGACAAAGUUCCAACAACUUCAACUUAUGGAUUUGUCUCUUACUUGUAAGGUAAUCUCUUCUUGUAGGGUGUUUAAUUGAAUUAAAAACAGAAUAUUAUUUGCAUUAUAGAGUACAGGCAUAAAUUCAUUAUCUAUGUCAGUUCAUUCAUGAUUUUACUCCAAAUGGAGUAAUAGAUCACCAUUAAUUUAUUGAUACAUCGUCCAUGUUUGUUUUCGUCUUCAAUUUUUAUAUUACAAUAUCUAAUCUAUUUAGUAUUCGUAAAAAAACAUACGAGAAAAAGUUGGAAAAACACUUUAGGGGUGAUUGUGUACACUUUCGUAUGGCACAAAUAGCGUUAGGCUUUGUUUUUUAAGUGGACGACGUGUCCAUUUUUUGUGUUACAUCUUACUCAUUAAUAUAUUUUUGAGUUUCUUAUGGAAAAAAAAUUGAAAAAACACUUUAAGUGAAAAAAAUUUGUAUUUCAAUUUAUAUGUAACAGUGAAUUGGAAAAUAAAUUCUACCAAUAAUUAAAAGAAUACUUUUCUUUUAAUUAUUAAAAAGAUAAGGUAGUUACUCAUUACCCAUAUAAAUGGACAGUUUUAAUUUGUUCCAUAUCUAUACAACAGAAGAGCUUCAGACACGGUUUGCAGCGUUCCACGAUCACUUCCAUUCUAAGCAGCAGCGUCUUCCGUCUUUUUGCACACCAACAGCAGAUUCUAGAUGGCCAGAAGCUCAUCUGCCGCACUCUCGGGAUUUCGCUGCCAUCCUCAUCUUCAUCUCCACUACCUCCUCAGUGAUUAUCCCCUGGUUUUAUGCUCAGAAAUUAUGAUUAUUAUGUAUCUUGUUUUCAGAUUUGUCAAUACUUGUUAUAUUUUGAUUAUGCAUUAUGGACAUUUUUCAUAAGAUAGCUUAAUUUUGUGGUUUGUGUUGACGAUUUCCAUGUAUGGAUGUUUGGAUAGGUAAUUUCGCCUUCCAUGCAUUCUUCAUUCCUGCAUCCUGUGGGAGAAAAUUGGAAAAAGUGGUUUUUGAUGAGAAACGGGGAGAAGGAUGAGAUAUAUAUUUUUGAAGUGUCACAUUAUUUCAAAAACAAACCCCAAAUUUAAUUUCUCUUACCGAUCAUGAGUUAAAAUAUAAAAAUUAACGUUUACUCAUCACACUGUUAUAAGUAUCAAAGCAUUACUUAUAGAAAAAUUAUCGUCACCUAUCCUACAUUUGUGAUUGAAUAGUGGCACAAUUUUAAUUGGGAUAUUUAACAUUACUCUUUGUAAUUGUUUGGUCUUAUUUGAAGUUUGUAAAUUUUUCAUAACUAUGACUUCAACAGCAUAUUUCAGGUUGCAUUUAAUCGUUGCUAUAAUUAGGUACUUUGAAAUAAUUUAUUGGCCACGAUUACAGUCAUUGUUAUUAGUCACCCCUCUUUUUUCUCUUUUGGCCAACCAGCUCUUGGAUAUUUGGGAACCGAUGACAAUAGUUGGGAAAUUAUGUAAUAUUGGUGUGUUUGCGAAAUAAAUCAAGAGAUUUGCCUUGCCGAAGUUAAAAGAGAUAUUGUGGCCUGAAUUUUUUUUUUUUUUCUCUAGGGGCCAUGGCUCUCAAGGACAAGGCAUGAAUCAUGCAUUAUAAUUGCUCGAAAGGGUUAGUAAAAUAGCAAUCUAAAAUACCCAAGUUGGAUCUGCUGUUGAAUCACAAAAAGAACAUAAUUGGGAUAUGAAGUCAUGGUUGCAAGUGUUGGACCCUUAGGUUACGUUUGGCACGUAGGAUUGGAUUGAACUAAUUACUAAAAUUGGAUUGAAUUAUAUUCGAUUGGAUUAAACUGGAUUAUAUUAUAUAGUUCUAUGGUUAGUACAAUAUCGGAUUAAACUAUGUUAAAUUAUAUUUAAAUAAUAUUAAAUAGCAUUUAAGUUGGUAUUUUAAUAUUAAUAUCAAUUAUUCAUGAAAUUUCAUAAUCAUAAUUAAAAUAAAUUUAAAAAACAAUUACCAGGAAAAUUAAAUAUAUUGUAAAUAAGUUACUGGGUAGUCAUAAUACAGUAAACAAAUGAACAUAGAUAAAAAAAUUAAAUUUUAAAUAAUUUUUAUCAAAUUUUAAAAAAAAAUUAUAUAAAAUCAAUUAUUUAAUGGUAUUAUUAAUUUUCAUGAUUAUUUUUAAUAGUAUAUAACAAUGAUUAUUAAAUUUAAUACAAUCAAAUAAUGCAAUAAAUAAUUAAACAUUUAAUUUUAUCAAUAAAUUACUAAAUAUACAAGUGGUGAAAAUUUAAUCUCCAGAGUUAGUACAAGUAAAGGUAUUAAUUUAAUUAGAUCAUAGAUAAUAAAUAAAAAUAAGUUUUAAGUAAAUCAUAUUAAAAAUUAAUUAAUUAAUUAAUACUAGGUGUAAAUAAAAAAAAUGAUAUAAAUAAAAAUCUCAUAAAUGGACAACUUUUUUCUUUAAUCUUAUCCCAACUAAACCCAUGCGUAAAUUAGGAUUAUCAAUUCCAUGAUUUUAGGAUUAAAUUUAAAUUACUACCCCCUUAAUCCAAUCCAACUAAGCUUGCCAAACAUUGGAUAAAUAUUUAAUUCCAAAAUUAGUCUAAUCCCAUACUUAAUCCUAGAAUCCAAACAUGGCAUUAGCACCUUAUAUAACAAAGUGUCACUGAAAUACAGCAAAACGUUAUAAACAAGAACUUAUUUCUGUACAAAAUGUUAUUUACUUUUUGUGAACUUCCAAAUACCUACUAUAUGAUUUGCAAACCCUACAAAAGUCUACCUUGCAUGCUCUUUCUAACGUGAAAUUUGAUUUUUAUUAAAUUUUUGAUGUGUUCACUAAUAAAUAAUUGGAAUCUAAAAAAAUUAGAAAAAAAUAGAAUUAGAAUGAGCUACAAUAAAAAUGAGGAAUAACAAAAAAAAUGAUAUUUGUUGAGAUGAAUGAAACACAAUUGAAAUACUCUAUAUCGCUCUUAAUAUGUUCACUUUGUGAACAUAAAUUAGAAUUAGUUGUUAUAACUUAGUAAUUUAUCCUCAAUCAAUUAUUAUCAUUAUUACUAUUUGUUAUAAUAAUUGUAAUUAUUAUUUUUGAUAAUUUUAAUACUAAGAAAAUUAUUGUUAGGGGUGGAAACACCAUAUAGAGAAGGAACAAUUAAAUUUAUAAAAUUUAGUGGGGAUAAAAUAGUCACUUAAGACAGCAAGCGUCUCCCAUUCUCACCUCCACGAGCAUGAAAACACUAGUAAUCAUUCUUAAAUUUUGAUGGAAUCUGUUGCUUUUAUUCUAAUAACGAACGCAAAACCUAUGGAAUUAGUUGGAAUAACGAAUGCAAAACCUCUGGAAUUACAAUUGAAAUACGUCAACCCAAAAUGGAGAAAGCACAACUAAAAUUAGAGACCUACAAAACCAAAAAUAAACUUAUAGAAAACAAACCCGGUACCUAAUCUCAAUAAUUGGAAUCUCAACCAGUUAAUGGAAAUAUUCAACUCAAAAUUAGGGAAAAAUUAGAUGAAACACGUGAACCAUUGAGAGAGAAAGUAUGACGAAAAUUAGAAACUCAUUUAACGAAAAAUAAUAUUUACUUGGAAUCUAACCCAUGAUACUGGUACCUAAGGAACUUUAUAGGAAUAUGAAACGCAAAACCAGUGGACCAAUAAGUUGAAACAUGUGAACCAAAAAAUGAAAAACUAUAACCAAAUCUUGAGACUAAUCAAACCAAGCAAAAGUAAUAUUGAUAUUUAACCCAUAUAAUUGGAAUUUUACCAAAUUAGUUGGAAUAACGAAUGUAGAACUUGUGGAAUUACAAUUGAAAUACAUCAACAAAAAAUGGAGAAAGCACAACCAAAAUUAGAGACCUACAAAACCAAAAAUAAAUUUAUAGAAAAUAAAUUUGGUACCUAACCACAAUAAUUGGAAUCUCAACCAGUUAAUGAGAAUUCUCAACGCAAAACUAUAGGAAAAAUUAGCUGAAACACAUGAACCAUUAAGAGAGAAAUUAGAACGAAAACUUGGAACUUAUCCAACGAAGAAUGCUCGUGACUUGGAAUCUAACAACAAAUAUUGGUACUUGACUAAUUUAGUAGGAAUAUCAAAUGCAAAACUCAUUGACCAAUAAGUUGAAACAUGUAAACCAAAAGAUGAAAAAGUAUAACCAAAACCUGAGAAUAAUCAAACCAAGAAAAAGUAAUAUUGAUUUUUAACCCAUAUAAUUGGAAUUUUACCAACUUAAUUGGAAUAACGAAUGCAAAACCUGUGGAUUUACAAUUGAUAUACGUCAACCCAAAAUGGAGAAAGCACAACCAAAAUUAGGGACCUACAAAACCAAAAAUAAAGUUAUAGAAAACAAACCUGGUACCUAACCUCAGUAAUUGGAAUCACAACCAGUUAAUAGGAAUAUUCAAUGCAAAAUUGGGGAAAAAAUUAGAUGAAACACGUGAACCAUUAAGAGAGAAAGAACAACGAAAACUAGGAACUUAUCCAACAAAGAAUGAUAGUUACUUGGAAUCUAACAGUAAAUAUUGGUACUCGACGAAUUUAAUAGGAAUAUCAAACGCAAAAAUAGUGGACCAAUAAGUUGAAACAUGUGAACCUAUAGAUGGAAAAGAAUUACCAAAAUUUGUAACUAAUCAAACCAAAAAAAGUAAUAUAGAUAUCUAACCCAUAUAAUUGGAAUCUCGACAAAUUAGUUGAAAUAUUAAACAAAAAACUAGUGGAAUAAUAGUUGAAACACAUGAACCAAAUGUGGAGAAAGUUUAACCAAAUUUUGAAACUUAUCCAAUGAAGAAUGCUAGUUACGUGGAAUCUAACAACAAAUAUUGGUACUCGACGAAUUUAAUAGGAAUAUCAAACGCAAAAAUAGUGGACCAAUAAGUUGAAACAUGUGAACCUAUAGAUGGAAAAAUAUUACCAAAAUUUGGAACUAAUCAAACCAAAAAAAGUAAUAUCGAUAUCUAACCCAUAUAAUUGGAAUCUUGACAAAUUAGUUGAAAUAUUAAACGAAAAACUAGUAGAAUAAUAGUUGAAACACAUGAACCAAAUGUGGAGAAAGUUUAACCGAAUUUUGAAACUUAUCCAACGAAGAAUGCUAGUUAUUUGGAAUCUAACAACAAAUAUUGGUACUCGAUGAAUUUAGUAGGAAUAUCAAACGCAAAAAUAGUGGACCAAUAAGUUGAAACAUGUGAAUCUAUAGAUGGAAAAGCAUUACCAAAAUUUGGAACUAAUCAAACCAAAAAAAGUAAUAUCGAUAUCUAACCCAUAUAAUUGGAAUCUCGACAAAUUAGUUGAAAUAUUAAACUAAAAAUUAGUGGAAUAAUAGUUGAAACACAUGAACCAAAUAUGGAGAAAGUUUAACCAAAUUUUGAAACUUAUCCAACGGAGAAUGCUAGUUACUUGGAAUCUAACAAAAAAUAUUGGUACUCGACGAAUUUAGUAGGAAUAUCAAACGCAAAAAUAGUGGACCAAUAAGUUGAAACAUGUGAACCUAUUGAUGGAAAAGCAUUGCCAAAAUUUGGAACUAAUAAAACCAAAAAAAGUAAUAUCGAUAUCUAACCCAUAUAAUUGGAAUCUUGACAAAUUAGUUGAAAUAUUAAAUGAAAAACUAGUAGAAUAAUAGUUGAAACACAUGAACCAAAUGUGGAGAAAGUUUAACCGAAUUUUGAAACUUAUCUAACGAAAAAUAAAUUUAAUUGGAAUUUAACCCAAAAUAUUAGUGUUUAACGAGUUUAGUGGGAAUAUUAAACAUAAAACUAGUGGAUCGGAAAAUGGAGAUAAGCAAACCAAUUAGUGAGAAAGUUGAAUCAAAAUUAGGUAUAUGUGAAAUUAACUUGGAAUGUCACCUAAUAUAUUGAUAUUUAACCAAAAGAAUCGAGACAUGCUCAUUUUAAUUUUUUUAAACUUUUGUUGCAAUUAAAAAUAAUUUUUUCACUUAAAUAUUGUUUGUGUUAAAUAUUUACAAAAUUUCCUUAAUUUUUCCUGUUUCAUUUUAUUUUUUCUACAUUAAAAAUAAUUUUUUAAAAAUUAUUAAAUGAACAACCGGUAAAAUACCGGUUGUUCAAGUUUCCUUUUUACUGUUGAAGGGGCUGUAUUUUAUACAGCACUGUACUAUAGGAAGACUCAACUUAUUGACAUCUUCUCAUAUAACCUUCGAUCAAGUCGAUUCUGACCUGACGACUAAUUGGUACAUCACCGUUGUUCUCUAUACUCGCAUGCAUCGGAUCACAAAUCUCACUCCAAUUGUCGUCUUUCUUCGCCGUUUUAGCGCAUACUUCUUGAAUUUCCCGCAUUUCGUUCCCUCCUGUUACAAGUCUCCGGUCAGGUCAGUGAUUGAAUUUCCCGCAUCUCUAUCCCUCCCGUUUUCUCGCGUCGUUUCACUUCAAUUUCUCGUGUCUCCUUUCAGUUUAAGUGAUUGAAUCAAUUUUAUCGCAGUCAUAAGAGAAAUUAAGUAAUGCUCUUGGAUUUAAAAUUUUUUUGCUUUCGACUUUAGAUCUCGAAAGUCAAACUCUGCUACGAAUCCAUAGAUUCUCAAUGCUCAUAAUCUUAUUUGUGUUUGACCAGGUAACUGGAUCGUGAAAUUCGUCGUUUUGUAUCAAUUCAAGCUUUCGCGAGCUCAUGGAAUCACCUGGUGAGUUGUGGUGAAACGUUAUCGUUUCAAUUUUCGCUUAAUUCUUUAUUGCAUAUUUUUUUCUCUAAUGUUUCAGUUUAAUUUAGAAAAGAAAGAGGCCCCAAAAAGAGAGAGAGAGAGAGACUCUACCAUACUCAAUUCCUUGCUCAUUCUGAUUUGGCCUGAAUGUUGGCAUUGACUAUUAUUUGUUUUCAUUUCGAUUUAAUUCUCAUUUAGACAGUCUUUACUAACGGUCAAUAAUAGUUUAAGGAAAAUGAUCAUAGGGAUUCUGCAAUAAUCUUUCUGCAUUGUUCAAGUUAGUAGACAAUGAAUAGGAUGUUUAUGUUUACCUCAUUUUGAACCCUGAGGGCUUCGUUGAGUAGUUGAUUCAACAUAUCCAGCAACGGUUGAUGUGAGAACAGAAUGCCACUUAGAUAGGCUUAAACUGAUUUUGGAGGUUUGUAUUGGUUCUAUUGUACGUCUUGCUUACAAAUUUUUAAUUUUUAAUUUUGUAUAAUAUGCUCUUUGUUGGUAAAUCUCAUUUGACUUAGAAGAGAUAGUUUUAUCCCAACAGUGGGAUAAAUCAUUGAGAUGCAUGGCAGUGUGAAUAUAGUAGACAAAAUCAUUGAGACACAUGGUGGUGUGAACAUAGUAAACUUUGUCAAACACAGCUAAGAUAAACAAAUUGUUUCAUUAGCCUUUACCUUAUCUGCUGUGAUGAUUCAAAUUAAUGCUGUUUGGUAGGUUGCAAAAAACGAAAUGAGCUGUCUGUUCGUAUUAUUUAGUCAGAUCUAUUGCAAUAAGUUGAAGUUCAUUGUCACAUGGGUUGGGAGUAGCGUGGGCUGUGAGUAGUAGAAUGGAUUUAUGGAGUUGAUACAAGUGCCCAUAAUCUAUCAUGUCAUUCUAGGAUUAAAUGGAUUGCACAUUACUGUAAAGAUGGAGGUUAAAUUUAUAUAAUUCGGAUUGAUUGUAAAAUGGGAGGCAGAGAUGAGUUAGAAAAAGAAUGACCUGUGUCCUUUUUGAGCUGUUUCUAAAUCUCCCUGGUGUGCUUCAUGCUUAACACGUGUCUUUCCAAAUAAUUUUGCUUAACCUGUGCUUGUCUACUUCUUGUGCUAUUCUGUGCCUGGUCCUGAGCUGUGUUGGUAGAUUGACAUAAUUUUGCUCUGCUAAAUGUAUAACUUAUUAAUCAGAGUCCUGUUAUUAUGGUUUGACACUACUGACAUAUUGUGUUGGUAUUUAUUUGUACUUCCCUUGGUUGAAUUAUUUGCUGUCUCCAUGCAAUUCGAUAUGGUGCUACUUGGUUUUUGAUCAUCCAUGACGCUAUAUAUAUGUAAAGGAUGAAUUGAUUGUUUUGGCUUGUAUUCUCACAUUUUAUGAUUGAUCGAUGGAAAGGUUUUCAUGCAUUAAAUUCAACCUCACAAGCGUAAGAUUGACAGAUUGUGGGCAAAUUUUCAGGAAAAGAAACUAGACUUCAUGGAAGCAAUGAAGCUUGAAAUUGAACGUCUGCAGCUGAAUCUUUCUGCAGCUGAAAGGGAUAGAACUUUAUUGUCAAUUGGAACUGAUCCUGCCUCUAUAAAUCCAAAUGUAUUGCUUGAUGAAUCUUACAUGGGAAGACUGUGUCGAGUAGCAAACACUCUUGCAUUACUUGGCCAAGCUUCCCUAGAAGAGAAAAUUGUUGGUGCAAUUGGCCUUGAGAAUAGUGGUGAUAGUGUUUUAGACUUCUGGAAUAUUACUAGAAUCGGAGAGAGUUGUUCUGGUGGUGGGUGCGAGGUUUGUGCAGAAACUAAGGUGCCUGCUCUUGCUUCCUCAACUGCAACAUCUGUUGGAUCUUCACAAUCCCCUUUGUUGUGUUCUCAAUGUGAAAGAAAAGUUUGCAAAGUUUGUUGUGCAGGAAGAGGAGCUCUACUGUUUUCAAAUUAUAAAUCAAGGGAUGUGACCAACUACAAUGGCUUCUCAAGUCAGAGUGGAUCAAGCCAUGGAAGCCAAGUUGAUGUAGCUACCAGUCGUUCACUAACACUGGAUGGCGUUAUCUGUAAACACUGUUGCCAUGAGAUGGUGCUUGAUGCAUUGAUGUUGGACUAUGUUAGGGUCUUGAUUAGGUUGCGAAGAAGUUCCUGUGCAGACAACGCAGCAUACAAUGCUUUGAAUGAGGUUGUUGGAUCCUGCUUAAAGGAUAGUCUUUCUGAGAGGAUUCAGUCUUCCGAUAAUGCGCAAGCAGCUAAAGUCCUGCACCAAUUAUGUGGUGGACAGGAAGCACUUGCUGAAUUUCCAUUUGCUAGCUUUUUGCACUCGGUAUGUUCUUGGUUUGUAUUCAGUUCUCAUCAUAUUAUGUUUUCCUUUUAAAUUUCAUUUCUUGAUUAAAAUUUUUAGAAAUGUGUUUUAGCAUUUAUUCUUAUGAUAUAUGCCCGGAACAUUCAUCCCACUUAUCCAUGAGAAUCCUUGUCUGGUUUGAUUUUCAAUUGAGACAUUUUUGGGAACCCUGCGCAGGUUCCAUAUGCUAAUAAUCUUUGAGGUAAGGUGUUGUAGGAUGCCUUGAGAAGCUAAAAACCCAUUACAAGGAAAAGGUCUUGCAUUGUUUUGUGCAAUCUGUGUGCGAGCUAGUCAUGUCUCUAAUAAUUUCAUAGUUUGCUUGAUUGGAAUUUUUUAUCUUGAUAUGGAUUGUUUAUUCUAGAUUCCUUGGUGCCACUGUAGGUUGAAACAGCAAAAGAUUCAGCACCGAUUUUGUCACUGCUUGCUCCAUUAAAUUCUGGAUCAAGGCACUCAUAUUGGAGAGCUCCACCUAGUACUACUUCUGUUGAAUUUGUUAUUGUUCUCGGUUCUGUUUCUGAUGUCAGUGGGGUUAUCUUGCUUGUUAGUCCUUGCGGCUAUUCUGUGGCUGACACUCCGAUGGUAAGUGCCAUAUUUAUUCCCUUAUUUCCUUGUUGUUCAAUAAAUUUGGUGAUAAGCCAAGUGGCCUUAAUAAUGAAGCCCAGUACCAGGGUUGGUGGGUAAUAGAUAUUCAACUUGUGAAUAUUCCUAAGCAAACACUGAAUCAACAUAUACCUCGGCUAAAGUUCUCUAUGCUAUUAUAACAAAAGUCAUAUUUUGAAAUGAUUAAAAGAGUCCCUGUGUAGUGCCAUUUCCAAAGAAAUUGCAGCUGGGGGUUUAGUUUCAUGUAGGUUAGUUUCCGAUAAUAAACUUUCUAUUUCAUUAAUUGCUGAUGAAAAAACCAAGUAAGAACAGUUUUGUUGCUCGUCAUUUUUGUAUAUUUUGGUAAACUGUAAUUUUAAAUUCUCAACGAUCUUCCCUUUGUAGGUAAGAAGAUGGUCCACUCACUUGAUAUUUAUGAUUGUAGAUCAGGUUUCUAUUGGUUUGCCUUUAUCAUUUAGAACCCAUGUUUGAUAUUAACAGAGAUCACGUCAAUAAUAUCCUAUUUGGGUAGAUGUGGGUGAGGAUUUAAAAUCAAAUUUGAAAUUGAGGGGAAAGAAGAGAAAAGGAACCACAAUAAUUAAACAAAAUAAUAGGAACUAUUCUGAUGAGUUUUAAUCUCGAGAGGAACAAUUUUCAAAUGCACUGCUAGAGAAAUUGUAGCUUUUUGUCAUUAGUUAAAAGGAAAAAGAAUAAGAACUAUCCGGCCCUUUCCUUCAUGAAUGUGUGUUGAGGUUGCUGUAUUAUUUAGUCAGUAUUUGUAAUUUUCUUCCCUGCAGUGCUCUCUGCCUCCUGAAUUUGCUUCCUAUUGCUGUUACAGGUGCAAAUCUGGGCAAGCAAUAAGAUACACCAGGAGGAAAGGUCAUCAAUGGGAAAAUGGGAUGUCCAAUCCCUCAUCACAUCUUCUUCAGAUUUGUAUGGUCCAGAAAAGUCUGCUAGUGUUGAAAAAUUACCUAGGCAUGUAAAAUUUACUUUUAAGAAUCCUGUUAGGUGCCGCAUUAUUUGGAUCACAUUACGUCUUCAGAGACCUGGUUCGGCUUCAGUUAAUUUCGGGAAGGACCUCAGUCUUUUGUCUCUUGAUGAAGAUGAAAACCCCUUUGCACAAGUAGACAGACGUGCUUCAUUUGGAGGAGCAGUUGAAAAUGAACCAUGUAUUCAUGCCAAAAGAAUUCUUGUAGUCGGAAGCCCAGUAAAAAGGGAGGGGCUUACCACAUCACAGAGCUCUGAGCAGCUAAGUAUUAGAAACUGGUUGGAUAGAGCUCCACAAAUGAGUAGAUUCAAGGUAUUAGUUGCUUUCACUCUUUGUUCAUUCAUAAUUCCAGCUUUCUGCUUCACUGAUAAACCUCUUUUUUCUCUUCAGGUCCCAAUUGAGGCCGAGAGAUUGAUGGACUACGAUCUCGUCUUGGAACAGUAUCUACCUCCAGCGUCACCUUCGCUUGCCGGAUUCUGUCUAGACGCUUUCAGUGCAAUAAAACCUAGGGUUACCCAUUCACCUUCCUCAGAUUCAGAUAUCUGGGACAAAUCAGUAACAUUUUUAGAAGACAGGUACAUCUCUCAAGCUGUAUUGUAUUUACAAGUAUCCGCACUCCAGGAACCACAUAACAUGGUAACUAUUGCGGAAUAUCGACUGCCGGAGGCUAGAGCCGGAACGCCAAUGUACUUUGAAUUCCCACGACCGAUACAGUCCCGACGAGUUUCAUUCAAGCUUCUUGGAGAUGUUACAGCAUUUGCAGAUGAACCUUCAGAACAAGAUGAUUCAGGAUUGAGAGCUCCACUUGUGGCCACAGGUUUGUCUUUGUCAAACAGAAUCAAGUUAUAUUAUUAUUGUGAUCCUUAUGAGCUUGGAAAAUGGGCAAGCCUUUCUGGAGUUUGAUCGUUAUUUAUAUGUCAGAGAAAGAGUUUUGGGUUUGAUUUUGAUUUUGAUUUGUAAUUUUUGUCAGUUUAUUGAAAUUUUUUUGUUGUAUAAAAGCAGAAUGUAAAGGUAUAAAAAUUCAUUGAUGCUGCAAUGUCUGUGCUUUUGAGAAAGAAGAAUUCAAUGUCUUUUCUAUGCCAUUGGAUUUUCCCACUGCUUGUAAACUUGGGCUGUCGAGUGCUCUGUGAACCUUAAGGGCUAUAAAGUAAUUUUUUAGACUGAAGGAUUUAUUAAUCGAGUUCAAAAGAUUGCAAGUUGGUGAGCGUUGGCAUUUAAAAAUCAAUUGUUAUUCUCUCAAUAAUCUCUCUCUUCUGCCGACACCCCAAGCUCAGAAACCCAUUGUUCCGACGGACGUGUAACACUUCCAGAAAUUAGCCUUUUCUUCUAUAUGAAGGUUGAUCUCUCCUCGUGAAGUGAAGGUGGUUUUCCAAUUACAUACGUCGGGGGUCUUAUGAUAUCUAAUGUGUGAAAUUUCUUUCUCAUUUUACCAUAAAGAAAAGUUCUGUAAUGAUCUAAAGUUGGGAGUCUUAAAUUAUCUUAAAUUUAUAUUUAGAGUGGAGUUAUUGGCACCCUACAUUAUUCUUACAAAAUUCUAUUUUAAAUAAAAUUAUAAUUAAAGACAAUUGAAAAUUAUAGAUUUUUUUACAGCAAAUUACUUAAGUCAUAAUUAAUCCUUAAAAAAAAAUCUAUAUGUUACUUCUUAUUUAAUUAAAAUAAAUUGUACAAAUUUAAAAUAAUUUAUUGUUUUCUUUUGAUUUUUUAUUGAUUAAAUAUUUUUAUACUUAAAAUUACUUUGAAAUUAUAAUUUAAAAUAUGUGUUAUAUGCAAUAGUUCGAUUUACCGAACCACAAAGGGAGCCAAUGUGGUUUUGCCAAAAUCACAUACUGUAGCAUAAUAACAGAUAUUAUUAUUGUAUAAUAGAUGGGUUUAGAAAAAUUGAAGAACCAAGUAAGUUAUUUGAAAAAUGUCGAUUCUCGUACCAAACCCAUGUUUUAUGCCAAUUGUUUUUGGAUUGGAGUGCAGGCAUUAACAAUGAUGGAGAUGGAGGAACUGUAGCAUUAGUCAUAUGAAGAGUACGUGUCAGGUUUGAUUUUCAUGUGAUUUGGUUAGUGACGACGAAAACGACGACGUCGUAGUUGAAAAGCGUUUGAAUUAAUGUUGCGUUAAAAAAAAAAUUUAACUUGUUCCACUAAUUAAGUCAACAUUACUGAUGUCUUAUCACCCUCGGCCAACUUAACAAUUGGUGUCCUUUGGACAAUUAAAUAUGAUUUAUUCAAAAAAAAUAAAACUAUUAAAUAUUAAAAAUUAGGUCCAUUAAUAAUAAUAAUAAUAAUACUAAGAAUUAAGAAGAUCUAAUUACAUAUCAAAAUGACUCAAACAAAUUAAUUAAUUUCAUAUUAGCUAGCCAAGUAGGUUGUCCAUCCCACUCAGACAUGCACGAAAGCUAAAUUCAUCAAAUGAAUUACUUAAGGAGUAUUUGAUAAUUUUGAAAUUAUAAUUUCAAAUUAAAAUAGUAGUAGCAAAAUCGUAGUGCACAUUCAAUUAACCAACUAAUAGUCUAAGAAGCAAAGAGAGGAUUACAAGUUCACAACACCAUUAAAAAGGAUUCAAAAUUCCCACACGAAAACAUCAAUGUACAGAUUAUAAACAAUCCGAAUUGGACACAAGAAAAAACCCUUCAAUGGAUUGCUUGCCUUCCCAAUGCUAUAUACUGUGCAAACUGCGCACUGGCCAAGAAAAUAUUUUCAAUUUAGUGUAUUUUCAAAAUGCUUAUUUUCUCAGAAUAUAAAAAAAAAAAAAACAAAAAAAGAAUUCUUACAUGUUUCAUCAGCAUGAUUAAAAUCAAAGAAGAAAGCGAAGACAUAAUGUCUCUGACAUAAUAAAAUUACAAUUUCAUGCAGCAGAGAUUGAAGAGUUGAAUUCCACUUAUAGACACCGACCUCUUGUUUUGUCUAAUGUUAAUAACGAAAACAACAACAGAGGAUUAACUGAUGCUUUGACUUAUUAUCAGGUUGCAAUGAAUUAUUAACUGAUGCUUUGACUUAUUAGUUCUGCUGCUAAGUUAAAUAAAAUAAGGUAUUUUCAAAAGCAAAAUGGAAUACAUAGAUAAAACAUCAUCUUAAACAAAUCAUAAUCUAGAAUUGGAGACAUACCCAAGGAGAAAGAAUACGUGAAAAUGGGUGAUUCAUUUGUUAAGGAGUGUUGAUUUGGUCGUCUCUGCAAAUUCUUUAGGGACUCGGUUCCAGUUCCUCUUCAUCAAAACUGUAAUAUAAUUCCCCUUCAUCAGAACUCGAAUCGAUGCAAUAAAAUUCCCCUUCAUCAGAACUCGAAUCAAAUUCACUUGCAGCAGUUCCACUCGCGCUUGGCAAAUCAUCCAAUUUCCAAACUUCGGUAGCAAAAUUGAGAGUAAAAGUGUUGGCUUUGGUCUCUCUGGGAUUUGCAUAUACUGGACAUACUCCGCAACGUUUUAGCUUAGUGAAGAACUUAAAUGAGGCAGUUGUAUGAUGGUAACCAUCAGGAAACCCAACAUUCAAGCAAGGUUUAAAACCAAGUAUGACAUGAUCUGAAUCAAGGGAGCCAGUGCACACCAUGAAACCCAGAUCAACAUGUUUGGUUUCAGAGAGAGUCUUUAUUUCUAAGUCGAGUUGAAAGCGGACGUAAAUAUUGCAGCAAUAACAAGAAUGAAGGUGCUUAAAAUCAAGAACAGCACAAAAAGCAAACCCGAUUAAGUUUCUGCAAGAAGACUGCGGUGGCAGUUGAAUACAUAUCGAAGAUCCUGAACUUUGAUUGCUGAACCAGUCAGGAAUUUCGCUUCCAGGUAAAACAAUUAGGGAUCCCCUCAGUUCAGAAAGUUUCUGUGAAAUGACAUUUAAAAAAAAAAAUUGUAAAAUGAAAACCAUGAUUUCAGAUAUAACAAAGAGGGACAGAGUAAACAAGAGAGGGAAUUUGAUACCUCGUUGAUUGCCUUUUCAUAGCCCAGUCUCAGUGAUGCAAUUGCCACAUGCCGAAUUCUUAGUUGUGAAUCUGCCAAAAUCUUGUUGUUUGCUUUUCCAUUCAGUUUCAAGCAGUUAGUAAACCCAAAAUAAAUUGGUUGUGACUCCAGAAGUCCGGUUGCCCAUUGACGAAGGUCAGGAGAGGGUUUCGAUAGCUUUUCUAGUACGGAUGCAUCUAGUUCUUGCAGACAUGACGGAAUCUCUGGCAAAGAUUGAAGCCGGUUGCAGUUCGUUGCAUCUAGUUCUUGUAGACACAAUGGAAGUUCUGGUAAUGACCGAAGCAUGUUACAACCCGUCAAGUGAAGAUAUUUUAGACACAAUGGAAGUGCUGGUAAUGACUGAAGCAUGUUACAACGCCUCAAGUCAAGAGAACACAGCCGCGACAGUUGCUUGAUACUUGCAGGUAAACUCUCAAAGUUAUUUCCACGUAGAUCCAAGCUUUUCAGUGAGGAUAGAUAGGCAAUCUCUUGUGGAAUUUCCAUUACAGCACAGUUCAUUAUGUAUAGAAGUCCCAAAGAAGAUAAACCUAAUAAUAAUGAUCGAGGCAAUGAUACCAAACCUUUGCAGCGAGAGAAAUCAAGAAUUAAAAGUGCGUUUGAAUCUGCAACAGAGGAUGGUAGUUGACUAAUAGCUGAUCCAGCUGCUGAGAUGUGACGCAAAGAUUCUAAAUUGCCAAUGUUAUCCGGCAACUUAUCAAGUUUAGAGCAAUCACUUACGAACAAUUCUUCAAGCCCCGGUAGAUUUUCAAAUGACGAUGGCAGCUCUGUAAUUGCCGUCCCGUCUAAAUUGAUGCGUUUUAAAUGUUCCAUUUUCUCCAAGAUUUCUGGGAAGCGCUCAAGGUUCAAGCAGCCAUUAACAAAAAGAUCAACCAAAGAUCUCAAUUUACAAAACCUAGUUGAAAUCCUCUUCAGCCGUUUGCAAUCCCUCAAAUCCAACACUUCAAGAUCAGUUAGGCACUCUAUUGAUGAUGGAACUUCUUCUAUUGCAGACUGGUCUAAGUAUAGCCGUGUAAUUUUCCCAGAAAUCUGUGGAAACUCUAUGAGAGUAACACAAUAGGAGAAAUUAAUAGUUACUGGACAAACAAAAUGAAGAUUGCUUGGAAAAGACCUAAGACUUUUGCAGCCCUCAAAAGACAGCGCACUGAGAUACUUGAAAUUCUGGAUAGAUGAGGGAACACAAGCCUUUUCUCCUUCCCAAGGUUGCUCAACUUUACUAAAACGCAAAUUCAGUUCAACAAGGUUCUUUGGCUUGAAAUUUGAUGGCAGUAUCCUUAAUGGAUAUGUGUCCCAAUGAAGAUAUCUCAAUUUUUCAGGAAGAUAUUCUAGGCCAUUUGGAAGCUGCACUUCAGAGUAUGAAAGUUGCUCUUCAAUGCUCAUACUUAGAAACCUUUCAAUCUCAUAAAACUUACUUGGAAACCUUUCAAUCUCAUAAAACUUAGGUACAUAAAAUUUGAGCAAUCUCAGAUUAGACAUAUUUGUGAAGGCUCCGGGGUCUAAAUUGAUGCAUUUUAUUUUGGACAAAUCCAGAAAUAUGCCUUCAAUUGCAUCGGUCCCCUUAUAAAAAAAAAAAAACAAAGAAUGAGUAAGCCAAAAAUAAAAAAGCAACAUGCGUAAACUUUAUUAACUAAGAGCUCCUUAAACAAAAACAAAUUCUGCAAUCUUUGAUUUUAUUUUUUUAAUAUAUUAAAUAUCUAUAUGCGAGAAAAGAAAAUUUUGGGGACCAUUGCAAAAUUAAACUAACCGAAAAAAAAUUCAAAAUUUCUCUAAUUUACAAUCCUAUUAUCUUAAUAUCUAGAAGUUGAGAAGAGAGUGCCUAUUUGAUUGGUAUAAGAUUUCGAAAUUUUUUUUUUUUAGUCGAUAGAAUCCAAAAUGUUAGUUCAAAAUUAGGGAAAAAAAUAAAAGUCAUUUUUUUUCCACUAGUUAAAACUGUAUCCAAGUCAAAUUAAGAUACGACCCUUUUUAAAAAGAUUUAACCAUCUUACAGCCUCCUUAAGGUACAUUUAAGCUAAAAGGAGUAAUUUGAGGCAGAACUAGGUGGUCCAAUCAGUCCAUUUUAUUAGUGUCUGUUGCUUAAAAAAUUUAUACUCUAAAACACACUUUUUUGGAAAAAAAAAUAUAAUUACAUUGAAGUAGAAUCAGGUGGGCCAAUCCUCAUGGCACUCACUUUAUUUUGACACUCUUCACUAAAUUUGAAGAAAAAUAAAAUUAUACUCUUCACACUCUUAUUCAACAUUCCAAAAUUGAUAAAAUCUGGAGUUUUCUUUAAAAAUUUAAAAUUUGAAGACUUGUUCUCUUGACACCCUCAGUCAUUAAUUUUACCUAAUUAUGGUUUUUAUGAUUUUGGUUGUUUUGUUCAUAAAAAUGAUUUUACUAAAGGAUGCUCUGGUAAUAAUAAAAUUUAUAAAAAAAAAUGGGUGUGCUGGUAUGAUUGGAAAAAUAUGAGUGCAUAACUCCAAACAAAUAAAAGAUAUAUAAAAUAAAUGGAGGAUUCUUACCUUUUUAUGCUUGAGUACGCGGCGGAUUUCCUUAGGAUCCCACAACCUGCUGCGUUUGCCAGGCUCUUUCUCAGAUUCUUGGCGAACAAUCUGUCGCCCCAUUUCUUGCAAUAAAUCAUGCAUUUGCAAGCAAUUACCUGAUAUUGAUAUGAGUGACUUAUCAAUAAGGACAUCCAGUCCAUCAGACUCAGAAUCAUCAAGAAUCCUUGCCACAAAAUCUUUAUCCUCUCCCUCAAAGAAACACGCAAUAUCUAGAAACAAACUCUUCACCCUAGGAAUUAAUUCAUUAAAACUAAUCUUUAAUAUUUCAUAAAUAUUAUGAAUAUCAGAUUCACAAAUCCGAUUUAAGUCGUGCAAUACAUUUUCCCAAUGGCUUUUCCUCUUGAGGCACAGGGAGGAACCCAACACUUUAAGAACUAAGGGAUUGCCUUUGGCAUACUCUACAACCCUCCGUGAGUGCCAGUUGAGAUUUGUAGGACAAUGAUUUUCUUUAAAAGCGAAGUUACAAAAAUGCUCGAAAGCCUCUUCAAAUUCCAAUCCAUUAACCCUAUGUAUUUUCUUCUCCUCCCCUCUAAAUUUUUCGAGGACUCCUUUAUCCCUGGUGGUUACAACAAUUCUACUUCCUGGACCAAAUUGAUCAAGCUCUCCAAUCAGACCCUCUAAUUGUCCAACUUCAUUCACAUCAUCGAGUACUAUCAACACCUUCAUACGCCAGACCCUCUCUUUAGUAAAAUGUGGAAUAUUGGCACCAGCUACUUCAAGUUUUUCGCUUAAUAUUGUGGAAAGCAUUUCCUUUUGGAGAUGUUCUAAUCCACCUCCUGUUUCAGAAUUUCUCCUAACAUCUGACAUAAAGCAGCUACCAUCAAACUCACCAGUGAAUUGAUCGAAAAUAGCUUCAGCAAGGGUGGUUUUGCCUAUACCGCCCAUGCCCCAAAUUCCAACAAUUUGGACAGUAUCCGACAAAUCCAUACACAAAAAUGGUUUAAUCUGCUCAAUUCGUGAAUUUAAUCCAACUAGGCCAUUGGAUGAGUCCGUUGCGACUGUUAUUUUUUCCAAAUUCUUCAAAACAUCUUCGACAAUUUUGUUUACAAGUUCCGCAUCGUGCCUAAUAUAAAGGUGCAAAGAUGCAAAAACAUUGAGUCAAAUCGGGCCAAGACAGAAACAGAGAUAAGAUGAAUUAGGAAAGAGAGUUACCUGAAUUUCGUGGAUUCGUGGCCAGCAAGACCGGAUGUUUCUCUCAGUGCAUCCCUCCACCUCUGAACCAUUUCUGGCUUCUCUUCGAAGUGUUGUUUCAGCUGAUCAAAACCGUGCUUAAAAAUUCCAGUUUGAUGCCGCACAUCGGAUGGACUUACUCCAUAGAAAACCGGAAUAAUGAUUUGGCGGUUUGUGUGCUUGCAUUCAAGAAUCUUGACAAGUUCAUUCAGGCACCAUUUUGAAGAACCGUAGUCCUUUGAGAAAAUGACCACCGAAAUUUUUGAACCUUGGAUUGCGUUCAAAAGGGCAUCUGAAAUCUCAUCUCCUCGCCUAAGCUUUUCAUCAUCCAUAAAUGUUUUGAUUUUCUUUUUGUCAUACAAAUCAUCAUAGAGAUGGCAAGUAAAGAUCCUACGAGUGUCCUCCCCUCUAAAAUUGAGGAAGACUUCAUAAAUGCAAGAAGAAGAAGAAGAAGAAGAAGCAGCCAUGAAGGAAAUUUUAGAAAAUUGGUGACAGAAACAGAGAAUUAAUCUUGAGAGUUGAGAGAGGAGAUGUAAGAAUGAACAUGUGUGAAGAUUCUUGCAAGCACACAGAAAAUAAUUGAAUGGCUGGAGCUUUCUUAGUUUCCUGGAAAUUUCCUGGAGCUUUCAUAUACAUGAUUUGUCAAGUCAAGAAACAUAAUCAUGAUAAUGGGGCAGACCAGGAAGAAAAGAAAACUUGAUUCAACCAAUAAAGGAAGGAAAAGCAAAGAAAGAAAAUUUGAAAGUAGAUUCAGAGAAUUAUAAAAAGCUAAAGGAAAUUGGAAUUUUGUACAAUUUCUCCAGCGAAAAUUAAGCAUAGAAUAAUCCUAAAAUUUAAACUCUAAUAUCUUAUAAUGUAUUGAUUAAAAAUAAUCCUAAGAGUUCCCAAUUGAAACUUUCAUAAGUAUUUUAAUUGUUUUGGAUAAACAAAUUGUACUAGGAUAAAAAUUUGGCAAAUUCAGAGGAUAAUGGAAAAUAGUUAUGCUUCAAUAGGCCAAAGAUUAGAGAACAAACAAGAAUUAGUUAUUGAUACACAAAAGAGAAACACUCCAAAAUUUCAAGCAAAAAUAGUUUCAUAUACCAUUUCGAUUUUGGAAGGGGUGAGGUUUUGAACUUCAAUAGUUUCCUCUAAAAUUAAAAGGCAGCAAUUAAACUAGAAAGAGCAAUGAAGACUUAUUGGUACUUUAUUGAAGGUAAACAUUAUGAAACUUUCAAUGUCAUUACCUCAUUGUUCAAUUUUUAUUGAGAUUUGUGUAAGCAUUUAGCUAAAUCUUACCUCCGCCUUUAAAUUCAUUAGUUUUGAUUAAUUAUGAGACCUGGGAGAUAUUAUAAUCGAACUAAAACUUAAAAUUUCAAUAUCAUUAUUCUUUAAAAAGAAAUUGAGAUUUCAGAGUAAUAUCACAUAGAAAAACUUGCCCACGGACGGUAAGCCAAAAGUCUAGUCAACCACACGCAUAAAGCUAACUAGAACAAGAGAACAGAGAAACGCGUGGGUCCCUAAAAGAAAAGGCGUGGGUCCCAAAAGUCUAGUCAACCAUACCGAUGAAAAUCACUGAUUAAGAAUAAUAUAUUAUGUGGUUGAAGAUUUCUUUUUAUCAAUCUUCUUUCUACCCAUUAAUUUUCCCACGACUUUCCGGUUUCAUUUCUUGAAUCUCCAUGGAUUAACUUUCAAUAAACCAUAAAAUAAACUAAGGAAUCAUUUUCUCGAACACAGCUAUGAUUUUAAUAAAUGGGCGGACCAUCUAGAAUAGUAUAUAUAAUUCUGUUUAAUUAAUAAGUUGAAAAAACCAUAAAGAGAAAUUCUAAUAUUAUGAGCUUGACACGAAUUCUUCACUAAUUCCAAAACAAGGAGCUGUUUUAUAAGAACUGUGGUUGGAUUAUUAAGUUUUACAAUUUGAAUAUAAAUAAGAAAAUAAAAUCAGUCGCGUCGAUGUUUUCGAUACAUUUCGAUGCUAACUUAAUUAAUUACUUUACUUCAACUUUAUUUCCUGACGGACACUAUAUGGUGGGUCCAAGAUGGGACCUACAAUAAUCAAUCCUAGAAUUUAGUAUGGUUACCAAAUAGCUAGUGUUAUUUUGUGUUUGGUGGAAGAGAUUGAAUAUUUAGUUUUAACAUAACCAUUCAACUAAUUAGAAAAUAAAUAAAGUUAAAUGAAAUGUUUAGAUAUCAAUUUAAAUAUUAAUAUCCGGGAUAUAAAUUAGUUAUAAUAUAGUUCAUUACAUAAAAUUGAUUAAAUUAAUAAUUACACAUGAACAUAGAUGUAUAUGCUUUCCAAUUUCCAAAGUGCUCAAAGCACUUUUCUCACCAAACUUUCCUCUGAAUUUCCCGUAGCUGACUCCAUUGUUUGCGUUUUGUGAAAUUUCUAGGAACUUUUUCUAUUUAGAAUAUUGUACAUUUUUCUUUUCAGCUGAGAUUAAUUUAACUUAUAGAAAAUCUUAUCCUUUUUUUAAUAUUAUUUAAAUAAAAUUUGUCUAUCUUUCAUUUUAUCAGUCUACUUUUUACCCAUUAAUUAAGACUUUUCGAUUUCUUUUUUUCCUGAGGUUUUCAGUGACUAUCUUUCAAUAAACCAUAAAAAUUAAUGAGUCAUUUAUCGAACAAUUAGAUGACCAUAUUUCAAAAUAUCAACUAGAAGUUGCCCUGAAAUAUUUAAUUAAUAGUUGAAGAAUUGUGAUUAGUGUGGGCAUCUACAUAAAAAUUAUAUUAAAACACCGCUAAAAGAUAAAAAUAAAAUAAAAUAGUACAAACAUACACCCAUAGGUUAAAACAAAGAAAAAACACGAACCAAUACACUAAAAUGUUUUAGCUGUAGUUAGUUUUCAGUUUCAUUACUUAAGUCCCACGUGCAUGUCACGUGACUGAGGUCAAAAAAUGAUUGUCAGAUUAAAGUUCAAAGUACGGAGCAGGGUAAUUAAGGAGUGGAGCUAUUGGCACCCCUCCAUUAUUCUUACAAAACCCCACUUUAAAUCAAAUUAUAAUUAAGAAUAAUUGAAAAUUAAACACUUAUAGAUUUCUUUACAACAUGUUUAGUGAUAAAAAAGCACCAGUCGGGCAUGUCCCCAUUUCUUACCCGGGGCCGAAUCUCCUCGGCCGAAUGGUAUGAGUAGACUCUUGGUGAUGUGUUCUAUGUGGAGCACGUAAAACAGACCAGGAACUAGUACCAACCAGAAACGAGUACUGAUCAGAAACAAGCAUGACCAGAAACGCAUACCGACUAGAGACUUGUGGGUCCCUAAAAGAAAAGGCAAGCACAUAAACGAAAAAGCCAUUACAUUUCUAUUUUACAUGUCAUUCCUAAUUUUUGUAACACGGUGUGGCAGCAUAUGCACAAUCAAAUGAGGCAAAAGGGAUUCGACUAUCGUGGCAGAACAUGGACGAGGAUGCGUGAUGAAUAAUUCCUUCGAUAAAACGAAAAACAAAUGCAGAGAAAAGAAUUUCUUAUAUGACAAGAAAUUAAAGUAAUGUGACGGAACAUGAUGAAGAAAUUGCAGAUCGAUCAAUUAUCCCCAUGGACUCCUAUAAAUUCAACCAAAAUAACAAUUCCAAUAUUACCAAAUUCUUGAGUUAAAUUUAUUCAAUGCUUUUUUUUUUUAGAGAAAUUUUUUCCAAUGCUACUUUCCCUUUUUUGGGGAAAUUAGAACUGCGGCAUGUAUAGAAGACAUUGAGGUAUAAAGCAACAUUAAUUUCAUGGGUUAUGCGUUAUACGCAUAAUAUAUUGUCAGUCCAAAUUCAACUAUACAAAGAGGCUUGAGAACUUAAAAUUAAGCACAAACUAAACAGACGAAGUAAAUACAUGAUUAUGCAACAUAACAUUAAUUCUCUUAAUUUAUAACUGUUUUUGCCACAUGAAUCUUGCACAGUUAAUCCUAAUUGAAGACUAAAAAAGAACAAUUGGAACAAGGUUUUGAAAUAGAAUGAUAUACAAUCGAUAUGAUCCAUUUCCAGUCGUCAACGCUAAUUAACUGCAGUUUCUAGACUCCUAAUUAUACUAGCCAUAAGAAACUGUUUAGAAAACUGGUGAUCAGAUUAGAUUUUGAAAAGAAAUAAUUUUCAUUUUCCCUUCGCUACCUUUUUUUUUUAAUUAUUUUUAUACCAAAGAAUUCUAUCAUGAAAAGAAUCAAUUUAAUCACCUUUUCCAGCAGCACAAUUUUUCUUUUAUAAAAUUUGACCACAGAGACAAAGAAGAAUUAUUCAUACCUUCAUCAGUAAGGAAAUACUUUUCAUUAUGGCUAGGGUGAGAAAAGGCUUUCCACAACACUUGUACUUUGUAUUCCUGUAAAUUUUCUUUAAAGUCAAUAAAAACCAUAAGUUCUUUACAAUAACCAUCUCUUUGAUAAAAAAGUGCCGUAUUCCUUUAGAAUUUAAAACCGGAAAAAUUGAAUCAGUGUCUUUGAAGAGACAUAAUGGUCGUAAUUCUUUAAAUGAGUUGGCUAUGGAAAUCCUUAUCCAAGAUUCUUUUACGCCAUAUUCUUUCGUAAACCAAAAUUCAUUUUGGAAUACUCUGUUGAGAAUGUCAAAUAAAACGGCAUUGAAGGAAGUUUUCAAAGGCAGAAUCCGCACUUGUCAAAGGGAUGAUCUGCACUUGUCAAAGACACGAUCCGCGUCGAAUGAAUCGACACAUUUCCUUUCGUAUUCGCAUAUGUAAUCUUUGAAAAAAUGUAGCUUCUGCAUCUAUAAAUAACGCUUAGUGUAUAAUGUUUUAUUCAAGAAAAGAAAACAAGUUUCUUCAUACUCGUCGUCCGAACAUACAGAGACCGUCUCUUAUAACUUCAGCCGAAUACUUAUGAUGAUGAUCAUUUGUGAUUUCAUCAGGCAAAGGGUUGAUGGUGAAAAAAUUUGUAUGUGUGAAGAAUUGAGCUGUGGAUAUAGGGGACUUAAGUGUAAUCGAAAGAGAGUUAUUAGGCCAUAGUGCAGAUUGCAUUCAGUUUAUGAGUCGAUAUGCAAAUAAUUUGUUGACGUGGCGAAAUUUGUUAUGGUCGUUACUAUUGUUUCUGGAAAUUUUCUAGAAACCUCAGCAUAAAAGGGGCUUUUGCAUAGCCUCUGGUGUGCGUGUGAUUUCUCUUUCGUUUCCUCAUCAAAUUCUGUAAUUCUUGCUUUGAUAAAAAGCUUGUAAUCUCUUCUGUAAUGUGUGAUCAGUGCGUAAUCAUUUUGAGCAAUAAGAGCUUGUGGGUUUUUCCUUCAAACAGUGUCGUUUUGGUCAGUUUGUUAGUUUGAUCUGUUGGUGGAAUUUUCUUUGGUUAUUUGUUCUCAAAUUUCAACCGUAUAUAAAGUUUGAACUCUAAUGGCUUAUAAUGUAUUGAUUAAGAAUAAUCCUAAGAGUUCCCGAUUGAAAUUUUUAAUGACUAUUUUUAUUGUUUUGGAUAUACAAAUUGCAUUAAGAAAAAAUAUUGUCAAAUUCAGAGGAUAACGGGAAAUAAUUAUGCUUCAAAAGGCCAGAGAUUAGAGAACAAAGAAGCAUUCAUUACUGAUAAACAAAAGAGAAACACUCCAAAAUUGCAAGCAAACUAGUUUCAUAUACUAUUUGGAUUUUGGAAGGGGUGAAGUUUUGAACUUCAGUUGUUCCUCUAAAAUCAAAAGCAUCAAUUAAGCGUUCUCAAUUAGAAAUAGCAAAGAAGACUUAUUGGUACCUUACUGAAGUUAACAUUGUGGCACGGUUGUUCAUAUGUAAUGGCUGCUCUGUUAUGCUAGCUUCUCUGUUUUUGCUUACAGUUUUGAACAUAAAUUCUUGCUCAAAUAACCCAUAAUUAAAUAACACUAAUAUGGCUCGUGAAGUCCCAUAAUAGCUAAUUACGCAACUUUCUCCUCCUCCUCAAUUAUGUCUUCCCCUGCUCGGACACUAACUUCAAAAUUCAAUGCCCCGAAAAACAACACAAGAAAUCUUUGAGUUAGUUCGUGACCAGUUUAUAUAUAGUAGCAAUUGAAAAAAGAAAAAGAAGAAAAAAGUUAAUUAUUAUUCAGACCUUCACUUAUUAGGAAGUUUGUUCUGCUAUUGGGUGAGAUCAAGCUCUCAGCAUAUACUUCCACAUGAUACUUUCUAACAUUUUCUUGAAAGCCAUCAAUCAUAAAAUCUUCAUACUUUUUUCCAUCCUUUGGAUCAAUAAGUACAAUUUUUUCAUCUAAAACAGACAAAAUAAAAUCACUGUCCUUCAUGGAACACAAUGGCUGCAAUGCCUGAACUGAAUUGGCUAAUGAAAUUUGAGUCCAGGAUUCUCUCAGCCCAUAUUCUUUCAUAAUCCAAAAUUCUUUUCUUUCUCGACAUGGAACAUAGUCUUCUUUUCUUUCUCGACACAUGUCUCUGUACUUUUCUCUCUCUACUGAUCCACACUUUUUCAUACUUCUAACUAUCAUUUUGUUUUUUUUUUUUUUUGAGUUGUGAUUUAUUCAAUUAUUUUGUAUUUUUAAUGACAAUUGUUUAAUAUUUAGUUAGUUUUGAUAUUGAUUAGUGAUUGAAAGUGUAUUUUAGAAGACUUCCGGUCUCUUGAAAAAAGGAAAAAUGGAGAAGAAGAAGAAGUGUUCUUGAUUUUUUUGUAGGCAUUAAAGUUAAACGGUUUGAAAUGAUAUUUUGUUUUUAUUUCACUCAUUAAUCUCAUUCAGGAUAAAAUUAUAAAUGCAAAUAAAUGGGGUUUCAUAAGUAUUUUUAAUAGUGUUAAAAGGUCUACUCACUAAAUAAACAUGUUUUACCCAAACCAAUCCGAUUAAUAAGUUAUUAGGUUGGGUUGAUCAGGUUAAAAAUCAAAAUUAAAAAUUAAAUAAAUAAAAGGCAUAAAAACUAUCUGUUACUUGAAAAUAAAAAGAAUUUCUAAUAGUUAGUUCUAAUGUCCCAUAUCCAAAACAUGCAUAUUGUGAGGUUUGCUGGUGAAUCAAACUCAUCAGAACCAAAUGAUGACGUUUUGGCAAUUGAAGGAGCACUUAAAAGACACGUGAAACGCACGUCUGUUGUCACUUAAGAUUAAAGCUUGAAACGGCAGUUCAACCAUGUCGUUUAAAGGAAGCUUAGAAGUGAUGCACGUGACAGAUGUGUGAAGCAGCUCAUCUCAGUUCGUUAAGUUUGUUAUGCUACGUGUAAGCAAUCAGUUCGAUCUGGGUUUAGCUGGUUAGUUGCUCUGUUAGUUAUAAGAGCAGGCUGAUGAAACGAUUUGGGUUAAGCUUGUGAAUUCAUAUCAGAGAGAGAGAGAUUUCAGUGAAAGGGUUAAGAGUUCUCUGAAAUCUUGUAAACCAUUCUCUGUAAGAAAGAUCCUCCAUUGUUGAAUAAUAAAAGCUCUGCAGAAAACUUUUCCUGUGGAUGUAGAUUGUACCAAUUUGGUACAACUGAACCACGUAAUUGAUUCUUGUGUUGUCUGUGAUUUGUUUGUUUCUUGAUUCUCUAUUCUUUCUAGUUCUUGGGUACAUUGUUUUCACUUGGCUAGAUUCAUUCCUCAAUCUGUGCAUCUUGUAUAGUUCUUUAUCAAAGGUCCUGGGAAGUGUUUUAUUUGUCUUGCAUGUUAUAUAGCAAAUUAAAACACUACACAUAUUAAAUAAUAUAUUAUAAGUUAGAAAUACAAUAUCUAAAGAAAGAAUUAAUGAAAUAACAUAUUCUUGUUGAGAAUUAAGAGUGUGAUUUUAAUUUUGAUAUUGGAGUCUAAAGCAAUAGAUAGUACAAUGAAAUCAUGAAUGCUACGUUUAAAUAAUCUCUUUUAUAAAAUAAUAAAAAGAGGUUAAAAAUUAGGUUAACAUUUAGGGUUUAGCAGUUAAGGAUGAAUAUAUUAUUAUUGUUGUUGUUGUUAUUAUUAUAAUAAUAAUUAUUAUAAUAAUAAUUAUUAUUUAUAUGUUAAUUAAUUCAAUCCAACUUAAUUAUUAAUGAAUUUGAAAAAAUUGACCCAAUUAAUCCACAAUAAUUCAUUCAACUCGUCUAAAUUAGAUUAAGUUGAACUUAAUUUGCUACCCCACAUUGAGCAACAAACCUCAACGUCAUUCUACGAGCUCUUUGAUUGUUUAUAAAAUUGAUUUAGAGUACAUAAAGUGUAUCGACAAUGAAAGUGCAAAACAAAUUAUUGUACAUAUUAAAAUGUGCAAAAACAAUGAAUUAUAUGUACAAACGAGUGCAAACACAUUUUUCAAUAAGAAGUUGGAAGAUAUUUAUGCAUGAAAAAGCCUACGUUUGUAGUUAUUCUAAAUUUUAAAAACAAAAUUUACAUUUAGAUUCCUAAAAUUUACAUAUAAGUAUAAAAGUUUCAAAUAUUGUCUAUUAUUUUUUUAACAUGCCUAUUCCUUGUGGAUAAUUUUGUCUCAUCACUAAUGUUGUUUCUUGCUUACAAAAACCAAAAGCCACCUCCUUUUUGCAAUUUUUAUAGCGUCUCAAAAUAGACAAUAGGGGGAUUUUGAAUUUUUUAAGUCUCAAUAUAGUCUCUAAUCUUGUGAGAAAUAUUUUCUUUCAAUAAUUUGGAGGUAAACAUAACAUAACUUUUUGGACUAAAGCCUAACUCUGCUAAUAAGUAAUUGGUGGUAUCCUUUUCAAGACUUGAGUCUUUAGAUUCGAGUUUUAUAUAGUGUGCAUGUGUAUUUAAUUAAUAUUUUUUUUCAAAAAAAAUUACAUCAAAUACUAAUAUUCAUGACAUAAUUUAGUUCAUAAUUUUUUUAAAUACAUCGAAAAAUAUAAUUUUUUAACAACUUAAAGGCAUGACAAAUUUCAAGAUAUAAAUAUCAGUCAAAAUAAGUGAAAGAAAUAAUGGUGUCAAUUCUAAUUUCUUAACUAAAUUAAUUACUGCAUGAGCCCCGAAUAUGACACGAGAGUUUGAUGGGCUAACUUGGCACAAGAACGUGAAUAGUUAACUCAUUUAAGAAAUAAUUCAACAAAAAAUAUAAUUGAUAAGAAUGCAAUAUUGAAAUGAAUUUUUUACGAAACAUUGAAUUAAUGAUUAUUAAGCAAGAACAAUAAAAAAAUAAAAUAAAAAUAAAGAUUAACCAUUGAUAAGCUUCAACAAGAACUUAACACAACCCUCAAUCCUAAUUCAAAUUAUAAAUGUCAUUCAUAUAUUCAUUAUAAAUCAAUAACAAAGGUUAUAAAUGUUUAGAAAUUCUAGAGGGAAGGAAGCUAUCGCCGGGGAAUCAACAACUAAAAUUGAUGUAAUUGUGGCACGAGAUGGAAUAUGGAAACUACACCAUAAUUUUAAAUGCCGCCAUAGACAUUGACUUAUCUACAAUAACAAUGAUCUAAUUAAAAUAAAAAUAGAGUUUAUGGGCAUUUAUUAUUUUGACAUUCCUCAUUUGCAAAUAGGGAUACAAUUAUAAUUUAUUUAGUCAAAGCAAACAGUAAUUUUCUUCAUUAUAGGAGUGAAGUAAAAACAUUUAGAUUUUAAUGUAUGUAAGGAAAAAUUUAUCUUUAAAAAUACUUUCUUAAUGUGUGUAUGCAUAUUGAAAUACUCAAACCAAUUUUGGUUAUAUAUAAUUAAACAAAUUUUAAAAUAUGAAAAAUAUAAUGUAGUUAUAGUGGAUAAACAAUAAGUGAGCACAAUAUAAUUAAUCAAAUAUUGUGCUAUCAAAAGUUAAUUUUAGAAAUUCCAAAUCCAAUAGCUAACACAAUUCUUUAAAGAAAAAAAAAAGGUUGACACAAUUAAUAAAAUUAGCGACAUGAAUUUCACGCCAUUGAUAAUCAGCAAUUAGUAUUACUUUCUAAACUUGCUUCAACUGGUCGUUGAUGUCCGGGUCACCAAAAGUAUAAGCGAUAAUAAGGGGCAUUGGGCAAGAGUGAUGAAUGUUUAGUGGGUGCAUUUGAUUGAUAGAUAUAUAAAGGGCCGAAACUUGAGAUUAUAUUACUUUUACAAAUUUUAAUCCAAUCACAUAUUUAAUGAAAACAAAAUGAGUUAGGAUACUUUAUUUAAAAUACACAUUUUAAUAAGGCUUCAUUUAAUUAAAUAAAAUUAUAAAAGUAAAAUAUAUUUUAGAUAUUUUAAUAUUUAAGAAAAAAUUUUCAAUCUUUACUUUCAGAAGCUCAAAUUUUUAAUUUUUAGUUGUAGAGACAAAAUAUCUUAUUUAAUGUUUAAAAGUUCUGCUAAAAACAAUCAAAUAACUACAAAAAUUUUAAUAAGAGCAUAUAAAAUUAAAUAAGCAUUUAUUAAUAAUCACUUUAGUGUACUUAUCUAAUAACAAUAAGUGUUUAUUUAAUCUAAUAAGUUUUUAUUUAAUCUAAUGAGCUCUUUUUAAUUUUUUUUUAGUAGAGCUUUUGAAAAUUAAAUAAACUAUUUUGUCUCUAUUAAGAAAAACUUAAAAUUUAGGUUUUUGUAAGUAAAUGUUUAAAUUUUUUUUAAAAAUAUUAAAAUAUUAAAAUAUCUUUUCUUUAUUUCAUAAUCUUAUUUCAUUCUUCACAACAUAACUUUAAAUAACUUACCUAUUAAAAUAAUUUCACAAUUUCUAAUAAAAACUCCGAUUAACAAUCAAGCAAUAAUUUUUUUUUUUUUUUUGUAAAAAUUCUAUUUGUAAAAACUCUAAUAAUAAAAAUUCUACUUAAAUAAAUUUUAUUUGAAAAGGUAUACUAAACGAACCUAAGAUAAAAACAAAAAUUUUUAGAUCCAGACAAUUAAGCUUAAAACAAUUUCAAAUGAAUUUUAGACUAAUCAAAGUACAAUACGUACCAAGUUUGGUAAUUUAUUGACAUCUUCUUAUAUACCUUCGAUCAAGUCGAUUCUCACUUGACGACUAAUUGGUAGUUUGGUACAUCACCGUUGUUCCCUAUACUCGCAUGCAUCCGAUCACAAAUCUCACUCCAAUUGUUGUCUUUCUUCGGCGUUUUAGCGCAUCCUUCUUGAAUUUCUCGCAUUUCGUUCCCUUACAAGUCUCCGGUCAGGUCAGUUCACUUGACGAUUAAUUCGGCAAAUCUUGAAUCUCUUCUCUAUCCCUCUCGUUUUCUCGUGUCUCCUUUCAGUUAAAGCGAUUGAAUCAAUUUUAUCGCAGUCUAAGAGAAAUUAAGUAAUGCUCUUGGAUUUAAAAUUUUUUUGCUUUCGACUUUAGAUCUCGAAAGUCAAACUCUUCUACGAAUCCAUAGAUUCUCAAUGUUUAUAAUCUUAUUUGUGUUUGACCAGGUAACUGGAUCGUGAAAUUCGUCGUUUUGUAUCAAUUCAAGCUUUCGCGAGCUCAUGGAAUCACCUGGUGAGUUGUGGUGAAACGUUACCGUUUCAAUUUUCGCUUAAUUCUUUAUUGCAUAUUUUUUUCUCUAAUAUUUCAGUUUAAUUAGAAAAGAAAGAGGACCCAAAAAGAGAGAGAGAGAGAGAGACUCUACCAUACUCAAUUCCUUGCUCAUUCUGAUUUGGCCUGAAUGUUGGCAUUGACUAUUAUUUGUUUUCAUUUCGAUUUAAUUCUCAUUUAGACAGUCUUUACUAACGGUCAAUAAUAGUUUAAGGAAAAUGAUAAUAGGGAUUCUGCAAUAAUCUUUCUGCAUUGUUCAAGUUAGUAGACAAUGAAUAGGAUGUUUACGUUUACCUCAUUUUGAACCCCGAGGGCUUAGUUGAGUAGUUGAUUGAUUCAAUCUUGCAAUGUGUUCCCACAAGGUUUUGAGUUUGAUUCCUAAUUAUGUGGACCUUAGUUUCGAAUUUGAGUUUGUUAGGUGGGUUGAUGGGGUUUUUGGGUAUUAAAAAGGGAGAAGAAAAAAGUUGCUUGCUUCAUUUUGUACAAACCUGUUGACUUUUUAUUUUUUUCUUUUUAUUUUUGUACUAUUUUGUUUUACAGUUGGUGGUUCAAGACAGACAUCUGUUAUUGUUGUAACUUUGGAUACUGGUGAAGUAUAUAUUGUAACCAGCUUGUAUUCUAGGACUGACACUCAAGUGAUAUAUAUUGAUCCAACUACUGGUGCACUUCGCUACCAUGGGAAAUGGGGCUAUGAUGUUUUUGGAUCUGAAAAUGAAGCAGUAGAUUACAUAACAAAUGGAUCACGAUGGAUGUGCAAGAGUACAACUUUUGCCAAGGCGAUAUUGGGUUAUACUGCCCUGGGAAGCUUUGGGCUGCUUCUUGUUGCCACAAGGUUAACUGCCAGCAUUCCAAAUCUUCCUGGUGGAGGAACUGUAUGCACGGUUACAGAGAGCCAAUGGAUCAAAAUUCCACUUCAAAAUCCUCAACCCCAGGGUAAAGGAGAAGUAAAGAAUGUUCAAGAGUUGCCUGAUCUUGACAUUGAUGGGAAGCACUACUUUUGUGAGACAAGAGAUAUCACUCGACCUUUCCCCAGCCGCAUGCCUUUGCAAAAUCCUGACGAGGAAUUUGUUUGGAAUGAAUGGCUUUCGAUGCCUUUUAAAAGCAUUGGUUUACCUCAGCAUUGUGUCAUUCUUCUGCAGGUUUUGCUUCAUACUCGGUAUCUUCAAAAUUUAUGCUCAUUAAACUUCUUUCAUUCCCCACCCUCUCACUAUCCCUCCACCUAAUUUUGUUUCCAAAAGUUUGUUUGAUAGUCUAUUGCCACUAUAUGUAAAUGUAUCAUUUCCAUUCUGAGCAUGAUAUUUUAUUCAUCAUCACUUGUUAUUCUAAUCUUUAGAUGAAAGAAUAUUUCGUAUUAACAUUUUUCAUGGGCCAGUACCUAUUUUAUGGUCCAUUGUAGAUACUAAAAUGACCAACUUUAUUUCUUGGUCAUAAAAAGUUGCGACAGAAAUUUUAAACAUGUGAAUAUUUAAAUCUGAUAAUUCAUUAAAGAUUUCAACCUAAUAGAUUGAAAACUUAGAUUCAUUCCAUGAAUGAAAGAUAAUAAAGCAUCAGCCGAUGGAAUAUGGGAAAUAGAAACACUUUCCCUUCUAUUAAGAAGAGCCUGCUUCAGAUGAUCCUCAUUUUCUUCAUCCACAGGCCAACCUAGAACAUACCACACCAAGGUAAGAAAGAAAAGGGGUAGCAGGAUUGCCUAGUUUGACAAUUAGCAAAGCCCCAAAUGUUCCUCUUUUACUUUUCUUUUAGAAAGGUAGACAUGUUUGACAGAUUUGGGACAUUGCAUCAUCCCUUUCUGCUGCACAUGGUUGCAAUGUUUUACUUCUCACGUGAAAGCCUAGAAAUCCCAAUCCAAUAAUAAAAGGCCAUUUUAGAGUCAAUGUACAAAAACUUCCUUCCUUGUCUCUAUAUCCUCUUUUACAAUCCAUUCUUAGUUGAAUUGAGAUUAUGCUACAGCUGCUUCUUCAAGUUAACAUUGUUAUGCAAUUCAAUGGUGAUUUACGUGUGUACUUGUCCUAAGCAUGUGAUUUGAAAAUAAUAUGUUAAUAUUGUUUUCACUGGAUAUUAAUGUAUAGGGAUUUGCAGAAUGUCGAAAUUUUGGAAGAUCAGGUCAGCUAGAAGGGGUUGUUGCUCUUAUAGCUCGUCGUAGUAGGCUGCAUCCUGGUACUCGAUACUUGGCUAGGGGGAUUAAUUCUUGUUUUAGUACAGGUAAGAUAAUCUUUAACAUCUCCAGACCUGGAAAUUACAUUUUUGUUGUUGAGAUUCACUUGGUUCUUCUAUACAAUCAAAAAAAUUAAGGAUUUAGUUUUUUUUUUUUUUAAACGGAAUUUUCUUUUCCUUUCAGUACUCUUUGCAUUCUGUGUAUGCUGUUUAUUCUGAUUGUCAUUGAUCUCAUGCCUUUACAAGGAAACAGGUAAUAGUUUCAGUGGUAAAUUCAAGUGGAAUUGGUUUUGAUUCUGUUGUUUAGAAAGAUGGAUUGUAGAACUACAGAACAUUAAUCGUGCCACCUCAUGGCUCAUGCAUGCUUUUGGAGUAUUCUUUACCUGUAGAAUUUUUGUUUUUGUAGUUGACUUGGAAUAUAACUUUACCAUUUUUUUCAAAUAAUAAGAAUCAAUGAGUCUCAUCAAUAUUAAUCAAUAAUGAGCUAAAGAUAUAUAACUUGUGUCUCAGAACUAUAUAUGAUAUGCUUGUGAAGGUGUAUUAUUUUAAGUAGAGAUACCAAAUGCUACAGGGAGAAGCAAAAAAGAACAUUCUCCAGUGAAAACCUUCUGACAGAUUACAUUUUUGGGAUAAAAAAGAAACAUUGAGAUCAUCAGCCACACUUUUUCUUCUUGUACUGUUUAAUUAGUUUAGAGGCCUUUUAGUUGGUUUUGCUUGCCUGGAGGUGUCAUACAGUUCACUUUUUGAAUACCCUGGUUUUCUACAGAUUAGAACUUGGUUUCCUUUCACUCCACAGCUUUUGCUUUCCUACAUCACGUCCUUUGGGAUAAUUGAAUAAUGAAUGAAUGAAAACAAUCAAAUAAUUUCUGACAAUUAGUUAAUAACUUUUAUUUUGUAUGACCCUUUUGAUAUGUGUGGUCCUUUAAUUUACGGUUGAAAUAUAAAUAUGAAAAAAGUCUGCCAAUUAGUUUUACAAAUGACUUUUGUGCCAUAGAAUAUAUAUAUUUUUUUUUUGCCGAAAAACAAAACAAAUUCAUAAACAACAUUGUAUUUCACCAAUUAACAGUGCAAGUGUCAUUAUAGUUUCCACAUAUUAGUUCUGUUUUCGUUAGUUUCAUUUUCAUUCUGUUAUGUAACUGAUGUUUCAUUGCUAUAAAAUUAAUUGUCUGUUUCUCUUCACAACUGUUAUUUUGAAUGAUUUUUUCUGAAUUUUAUAAAGAAUUUGUAUAUGACAGGAAAUGAAGCAGAGUGCGAGCAACUUGUAUGGAUUCCUAAAAGGUCUGGUCAGAGUGUUCCUUUCAAUGCAUACAUCUGGCGGCGAGGGACUAUUCCAAUAUGGUGGGGUGCAGAAUUAAAGCUUACUGCUGCUGAAGCAGAAAUUUAUGUUGCAGAUCGGGAUCCUUAUAAAGGAAGUCUGAAGUAUUAUCAGAGGUUGAGUAAUCGAUAUGAUGCUCGAAACUUUGACUUAGCUGUUGGGGAAAAUCAGAAGAAAAAGCCUUUUAUUCCAAUUGUAUGCAUUAACUUGCUUAGGAAUGCGGAAGGGAAAUCAGAAUCUAUUUUAGUUCAGCAUUUUGAGGAAUCUUUGAACUAUGUCAGAUCAACUGGAAAACUUCCUUAUACUCGAAUAAUUUUAAUAAAUUAUGACUGGCAUGCCAGUACAAAAUUAAAAGGUGAACAACUUACAAUUGAAGGAUUAUGGAAGCAUCUAAAAGCACCCACUCAGGCCGUAGGCAUUUCUGAAGGGGACUAUUUGCCAUCACGGCAACGACUUAAUGAUUGCCGAGGUGAAGUCAUCUGCAAUGGUGACUUUGUGGGUGCCUUUUGCUUAAGAUCCCAUCAGAAUGGAGUGAUACGCUUUAACUGUGCAGACUCUCUUGAUCGGACCAAUGCUGCUAGUUAUUUUGGUGCUCUGCAAGUAUUUGUGGAGCAAUGUAGGCGGCUUGGGUUCUCCCUUGACAGUGAUUUUGCAUAUGGCUAUCAGUCAGCUAAUAACUAUGGUGGAUAUACUGCUCCUUUGCCACGAGGAUGGGAGAAACGAGCUGAUGCAGUGACAGGAAAAACAUAUUAUAUCGAUCACAACACUAGGACCACAACAUGGAUUCAUCCAUGCCCAGACAAACCUUGGAAGAGAUUUGAUAUGACAUUUGAGGAGUUCAAGCAAUCAACAAUUUUAUCACCAGUGUCUCAGCUAGCAGAUCUUUUUCUGCUUUCUGGUGAUAUCCAUGCAACCCUUUAUACUGGUUCAAAAGCAAUGCAUAGCCAAAUUCUUAAUAUAUUCAAUGAAGAACCAGGAAAGUUCAAACAAUUUUCUGCAGCACAAAAUAUGAAAAUUACCCUGCAGAGAAGAUACAAAAAUGCAGUUGUCGAUAGCUCUCGUCAGAAACAGCUGGAGAUGUUUCUUGGAUUGAGGCUUUUCAAGCAUCUUCCAUCUGUUUCAGUUCAACCUCUACAUGUAUGAUACUGUAGAACUUCAGAUUACCUAUUCAUACAAUCUGAGUUCAAUGAUUAUCAAUUUUCAUGAGGGAUGGAGACAAUAUUACACUAGCUACUUGUUUCUAACCUAAGCAUCCCUAACUUCUGCACAUAAAUAAAUGAUGCGCAAAGCAUACCAUAGCUAUAUCAAUGCCCAUUUCCUGUUUGAUGUUGACCAAUAAUGUUUGGAAGUUAGCUAUUGCAUGGUAAGAUGAUUUGAAGCUUCAUUUAAAGCUUCUAAGCCAGAGCUUCUAAGUCAUCUGGCUUAGAGAAUUUAAAUGUCCUCCAAAAGUCUGGAAUCACUGUUGCAUCUCAGCCUGAUUGAUAUUUGUUAUUGUUAACUUGGAAAUAUUUUGUUAAUCUUUCGGAUUGAACAACGUCGUGCUAUGAUCAUUAUUCAAGAAAUGACCUCAAGAACUUGUUGCAGUUGAGUGAUUUUUUGGUAAUGAUGAAAAUUAUUCAUGUUUAGGAACAGCUCUUUAGGGGAAAAGCAUAUAUGGGCUGGCUGGCCCUUUUUGGUGUAUUUGAUGAACCAUUUCAUAUCAUGCUGGUAACUGCAGGUUCUUUCUCGACCAUCUGGUUUCUUUCUCAAGCCAGUUCCCAACAUGUUCCCAAGUUCUGAUGGUGGAGCUAGUCUUCUAAGCUUCAAAAGAAAAGACAUGAUCUGGGUAUGGGUUGCAGCUAAACUUAGUCCUUUGUAGCAUUCCUAAUUCUCUGAUUGUCUUUUCUUUGUAGCAUUCUUAAUUCUCUGAUUGUCUUUUCUGUCCUUAAUGGAAUUCAUGCAUUUUUGGUUCUUUAGGUAUGUCCACAAGGCACAGAUGUGGUUGAACUUUUCAUCUACCUUGGUGAACCUUGUCAUGUCUGUCAGCUUCUUCUCACCAUAUCCCAUGGUGCAGAUGAUUCAACAUAUCCAGCAACAGUUGAUGUGAGAACAGGACGCCACUUAGAUGGGCUUAAACUGAUUUUGGAGGUUUGUAUUGGUUCUAUUGUACACCUUGCUUACAAAUUUUUUAUUUUUAAUUUUUAAUUUUGUAUGAUAUGCUCUUUGUUGGUAAAUUUCAUUUGACUUAGAAGAGAUAGUUUUAUCCCAACAGUGGGAUACAUCAUUGAGAUGCAUGGCAGAGUGAAUAUAGUAGACAAAAUCAUUGAGACCCAUGGUGGUGUGAACAUAGUAAACUUUGUCAAACACAGCUAAGAUGAGCAAAUUGUUUCAUUAGCCUUUAUCUUAUCUGCUGUGAUGAUUCAAAUUAAUGCUGUUUGGUAGGUUGCAAAAAAACGAAAUGAGCUGACUGUUCGUAUUAUUUAGUCAGAUCUCUAGCAAUAAGUUGAAGUUCAUUGUCACAUGGGUUGGGAGUAUCGUGGGCUGUGAGUAGUAGAAUGGAUUUAUGGAGUUGAUACAAGUGCCCACAAUCUCUCAUGUCAUUCUAGGAUUAAAUGGAUUGCACAUUACUGUAAAAAUGGAGGUUAAAUUUAUAUAAUUCGGAUUGAUUGUAAAAUGGAAGACAGAGAUGAGUUAGAAAAAGAAUGACCCGUGUCCUUUUUGAGCUGUUUCUAAAUGUCCCUGGUGUGCCUCAUGCUUAACACGUGCCUUUCCAAAUAAUUUUGCUUAACCUGUGCUUGUCUACUUCUUGUGCUAUUCUGUGCCUGGUCCUGAGCUGUAUUGGUAGAUUGACAUCCAGCUUGAACUUUUAGGUAUAUCUUUUGUACAUAAAUUCUGAAUACCCAUGGACUUAGCGUGAUAUAAAGUCAAGGAUCCAUUUAGCUGAGUCCUUCAAGUUUUGUUAGUAUGUCUUCGGAUUAUAAAUAUGUAACAAAAUGAGGUGUAGAAUACAUUUAAAAAGAAAAGGAUAAAAAAACAAAAGAAAUGAAAAGAGGUGUUUAGAAGUAAUAGCUAAACUAGAUACACUCUCACUAAUUAGCGAUUCUGAUGAACAGUGCCCAUAGCUUCUUUUAUACCUUGAAGUUGCAGAAAUUGAUUCUUGGUGAAUUAAGUCACUUACAGACAUAACUUUUUCUUCCAUCUAAUUUUUAUUAGGUUAGAUAGGAGAAGACUUGUUUCAGGGUGUCCUGACCCUAGUAUUAGUUUUCUUGUCAGAUUUUUCAUGAAAAUUUACAAUGCACGUGACAUACAACUUCUAGUAAUCCUAGGACUUUGUUCACAGGGUGCUUCUAUUCCUCGUUGUGGAAAUGGGACAAACCUUUUGAUACCUUUACCAGGAUCAGUUAGUGCUGAGGAUAUGGCUAUUACUGGAGCUGGUGCACGACUUCAUGAUCAAGAUGCACCAACCCUUCCACUGUUGUAUGAUUUUGAAGAAUUAGAGGGAGAAUUGGAUUUUCUUACUCGUUUUGUGGCAGUUACCUUUUAUCCUGCUAUUUCUGGAACAAGUUCCAUGACUCUUGGUGAGGUAGAAAAUAUUUUCAUAAAAUGUUAAUUGAUUUAUCUACGCACUUUAUUCUUAAAUUAGUAUUUUAGACCAUGAGCUUUGUGGAGUGGGUUUGCUGUAACUGCUGCUGGUGACAACAUAAUUGUUAAUAUUAUUACAGAUAGAGAUUCUUGGAGUUUCUCUUCCAUGGAGGGGGGUAUUCAAUAAUGAAGGCCCUGGUGCUAGAUUAAUUGAGCUUGGCAAAAAGUUUCAGAAGGAAACCGAUCCAUUUUUGUCAAAUUCAGUUACAAAUACGGUUCUGUUUUCCAAUGAAAAUGUGUCAACAUCAAUGCAAACAGAAGCUGCUUCCAAUCCUUGGGUUGACCUGUUGUCUGGAGGGGACACAUUUUCUGAUCCUCUUUCAGAGCCGUUUUCUAACCCUCUUUCUGAGCCGUUCUCUGAUCCUCUUUCUGAGUCGUUCUCUGAUCCUCUUUCUGAGCCAGUGACAAGAAAUGUUGCAUCUGGAGGGGCUGAUUUGCUUGAUUUCUUGGACCAGCCUAUAGUUGAAGAUCAUGGUGUGGAAACUUAUAAAAGAUCUUCAACACAGGAUGGCUGUUCUCUGGCUAGUGGUGCCCAGCAGUACAUAAGCUGUCUAAAAUCCCUUGCAGGGCCACGCGAGGUAUAGUACUGCUCUCUUGUGUUUUUUGCAGCUCUACAUCUUAGUAACCUCAUCUUUUUAAUGGAGUAAAUUCUAGAAGUUCAACAAAUUUUGCUUUGCUAAAUGUAUAACUUAUUAAUCAGAGUCCUGUUAUUAUGGUUUGACACUACUGACAUAUUGUGUUGGUAAUUUAUUUGUACGUCCCUUGGUUGAAUUAUUUGCUGUCUCCAUGCCAUUCGAUAUGGUGCUACUUGGUUUUUGAUCAUCCAUGACACUAUAUAUAUAUAUAUGUAAAGGAUGAAUUGAUUGUUUUGGCUUGUAUUCUCACAUUUUAUGAUUGAUCGAUGGAAAGGUCUUCCUGUAUUAAAUUCAACCUCACAAGCAUAAGAUUGACAAAUUCUGGGCAAAUUUUCAGGAAAAGAAACUAGACUUCAUGGAAGCAAUGAAGCUUGAAAUUGAACGUCUGCAGCUGAAUCUUUCUGCAGCUGAAAGGGAUAGAGCUUUAUUGUCAAUUGGAACUGAUCCUGCCUCUAUAAAUCCAAAUGUAUUGCUUGAUGAAUCUUACAUGGGAAGACUGUGUCGAGUAGCAAACACUCUUGCAUUACUUGGCCAAGCUUCCCUAGAAGACAAAAUUGUUGGUGCAAUUGGCCUUGAGAAUAGUGAUGAUAGUGUUUUAGACUUCUGGAAUAUUACUAGAAUCGGAGAGAGUUGUUCUGGUGGUGGGUGCGAGGUUCGUGCCGAAACUAAGGUGCCUGCUCUUGCUUCCUCAACUGCAACAUCUGUUGGAUCUUCACAAUCCCCUUUGUUGUGUUCUCAAUGUGAAAGAAAAGUUUGCAAAGUUUGUUGUGCAGGAAGAGGAGCUCUACUGUUUUCAAAUUAUAAAUCAAGGGAUGUGACCAACUACAAUGGCUUCUCAAGUCAGAGUGGAUCAAGCCAUGGAAGCCAAGUUGAUGUAUCUACCAGUCGUUCACUAACACUGGAUGGCGUUAUCUGUAAACACUGCUGCCAUGAGAUUGUGCUUGAUGCAUUGAUGUUGGACUAUGUUAGGGUCUUGAUUAGCUUGCGAAGAAGUUCCCGUGCAGACAACGCAGCAUACAAUGCUUUGAAUGAGGUUGUUGGAUCCUGCUUAAAGGAUAGUCUUUCUGAGAGGAUUCAGUCUUCCGAUAACGUGCAAGCAGCUGAAGUCCUUCACCAAUUAUGUGGUGGACAGGAAGCACUUGCUGAAUUUCCAUUUGCUAGCUUUUUGCACUCGGUAUGUUCUUGGUUUGUAUUCAGUUCUCAUCAUAUUAUGUUUUCCUUUUAAAUUUCUUUUCUUGAUUAAAAUUUUUAGAAAUAUGUUUUAGCAUUUAUUCUUAUGAUAUAUGCCCAGAACAUUCAUCCCACUUAUCCAUGAGAAUCCUUGUCUGGUUUGAUUUUCAAUUGAGACAUUUUUGGGAACCCUGAGCAGGUUCCAUAUGCUAAUAAUCUUUGAGGUAAGGUGUUGUAGGAUGCCUUGAGAAGCUAAAAACCUAUUACAAGUAAAAGCUCUUGCAUUGUUUUGUGCAAUCUGUGUGCGAGCAAGUCAUGUCUCUAAUAAUUUCAUAGUUUGCUUGAUUGGAAUUUUUUAUCUUGAUAUGGAUUGUUUAUUCUAGAUUCCUUGGUGCCACUGUAGGUUGAAACAGCAAAAGAUUCAGCACCGAUUUUGUCACUGCUUGCUCCAUUAAAUUCUGGAUCAAGGCACUCAUAUUGGAGAGCUCCACCUAGUAUUACUUCUGUUGAAUUUGUUAUUGUUCUCGGUUCUGUUUCUGAUGUCAGUGGGGUUAUCUUGCUUGUUAGUCCUUGCGGCUAUUCUGUGGCUGACACUCCGAUGGUAAGUGCCAUAUUUAUUCCCUUAUUUCCUUGUUGUUCAAUAAAUUUGGUGAUAAGCCAAGUGGCCUUAAUAAUGAAGCCCAGUACCAGGGGUGGUGGGUAAUAGAUAUUCAACUUGUGAAUAUUCCUAAGCAAACACUGAAUCAACAUAUACCUCGGCAAAAGUUCUCUAUGCUAUGAUAAUGGAAGUCAUAUUUUGAAAUGAUUAAAAGAGUCCCUGUGUAGUGCCAUUUCCAACGAAAUUGCAGCUGGGGGUUUAGUUUCAUGUAGGUUAGUUUCCGAUAAUAAACUUUCCAUUUCAUUAAUUGCUGAUGAAAAAACCAAGUAAGAACAGUUUUGUUGCUCAUCAUUUUUGUAUAUUUUGGUAAACUGUAAUUUUAAAUUCUCAACGAUCUUCCCUUUGUAGGUAAGAAGAUGGUCCACUCACUUGAUAUUUAUGAUUGUAGAUCAGGUUUCUAUUGGUUUGCCUUUAUCAUUUGGAACCCAUGUUUGAUAUUAACAGAGAUCACAUCAAUAAUAUCCUAUUUGGGUAGAUGUGGGUGAGGAUUUAAAAUCAAAUUUGAAAUUGAGGGGAAAGAAGAGAAAAGGAACCACAAUAAUUAAACAAAAUAAUAGGAACUAUUCUGAUGAGUUUUAAUCUCGAGAGGAACAAUUUUCAAAUGCACUGCUAGAGAAAUUGUAGCUUUUUGUCAUUAGUUAAAAGGAAAAAGAAUAAGAACUAUCCGGCCCUUUCCUUCAUGAAUGUGUGUUGAGGUUGCUGUAUUAUUUAGUCAGUAUUUGUAAUUUUCUUCCCUGCAGUGCUCUCUGCCUCCUGAAUUUGCUUCCUAUUGCUGUUACAGGUGCAAAUCUGGGCAAGCAAUAAGAUACACCGGGAGGAAAGGUCAUCAAUGGGAAAAUGGGAUGUCCAAUCCCUCACCACAUCUUCUUCAGAUUUGUAUGGUCCAGAAAAGUCUGCUAGUGUUGAAAAAUUACCUAGGCAUGUAAAAUUUACGUUUAAGAAUCCUGUUAGGUGCCGCAUUAUUUGGAUCACAUUACGUCUUCAGAGACCUGGUUCGGCUUCAGUUAAUUUCGGGAAGGACCUCAGUCUUUUGUCUCUUGAUGAAGAUGAAAACCCCUUUGCACAAGUAGACAGACGUGCUUCAUUUGGAGGAGCAGUUGAAAAUGAACCAUGUAUUCAUGCCAAAAGAAUUCUUGUAGUCGGAAGCCCAGUAAAAAGGGAGGGGCUUACCACAUCACAGAGCUCUGAGCAGCUAAGUAUUAGAAACUGGUUGGAUAGAGCUCCACAAAUGAGUAGAUUCAAGGUAUUAGUUGCUUUCACUCUUUGUUCAUUCAUAAUUCCAGCUUUCUGCUUCACUGAUAAACCUCUUUUUUCUCUUCAGGUCCCAAUUGAGGCCGAGAGAUUGAUGGACUACGAUCUCGUCUUGGAACAGUAUCUACCUCCAGUGUCACCUUCACUUGCUGGAUUCCGUCUAGACGCUUUCAGUGCAAUAAAACCUAGGGUUACCCAUUCACCUUCCUCAGAUUCAGAUAUCUGGGACAAAUCAGUAACAUUUUUAGAAGAUAGGUACAUCUCUCAAGCUGUGUUGUAUUUACAAGUAUCCGCACUCCAGGAACCACAUAACAUGGUAACUAUUGCGGAAUAUCGACUGCCGGAGGCUAGAGCCGGAACGCCAAUGUACUUUGAUUUCCCACGACCGAUACAGUCCCGACGAGUUUCAUUCAAGCUUCUUGGAGAUGUUACAGCAUUUGCAGAUGAACCUUCAGAACAAGAUGAUUCAGGAUUGAGAGCUCUACUUGUGGCCACAGGUUUGUCUUUGUCAAACAGAAUCAAGUUAUAUUAUUAUUGUGAUCCUUAUGAGCUCGGAAAAUGGGCAAGCCUUUCUGGAGUUUGAUCAUUAUUUAUAUGUCAGAGAAAGAGUUUUGGGUUUGAUUUUGAUUUUGAUUUGCAUUUUUUGUCAGUUUAUUGAAAUUUUUUCGUGGUAUAAAAUCAGAAUGUAAAGGUAUAAAAAUUCAUUGAUGCUGCAAUGUCUGCUUUUGAGAAAGAAGAAUUCAACGUCUUUUCUAUGCCAUUGUAUUUUCCACUGCUUGUAAACUUGGGCUGUCGAAUGCUCUGUGAACCUUAAGGGCUAAAGUAAUUUUCAAGACUGAAGGAUUUAUUAAUCGAGUUCAAAAGAUUGCAAGUUGGUGAGCGUUGGCAUUUAAAAAUCAAUUGUUAUUCUCUCAAUAAUCUCUCUCUUCUGCCGACACCCCAAGCUCAGAAACCCGUUGUUCCGACGGACGUGUAACACUUCUAGAAAUUAGCAUUUUCUUCUACAUGAAGGUUGGUCUCUCCUCGUGAAGUGUUUUCUUUUUUGAGUGAAGGUGGUUUUCUACUUACAUAUGUCGAGGGUCUUACGAUAUCUAAUGUGUGAAAUUUCUCUCUCAUUUUACCAUAAAGAAAAUGUUUGUAAUGAUCUGAAGCUUGAGUCUUAAAUUAUCUUAAAUUUAUAUUUAGGGUGGAGCUAUUGGCAUCCCUACAUUAUUCUUACAAAAUUCCACUUUAAAUAAAAUUACAAUUAAGAACAAUUAAAAAUUAAACACUUAUAAUUUUUUGUACAGCAAAUUACUUAAUUUAUAAUCAAUUCUUUUAAAAUAUAUAUAUAUAUUUGUUACUUCUUAUCUAACUAAAAUAAAUUGUACAAAUUUAGAAUAAUCUAUUGUUCUUUUUUGAUUUCUUAUUGAUUUAAUAUUUUUAUACUUAAAAUUACUUUGAAAUUAUAAUUUGAAAUAUGUGUUAUUUUAGCCAAUAAUUAACACUUAAAAACUUAUCACCCAUAUAACUUUUUAAUUUGUGUGUAGGGUAAUAAUAAAAUUGAAAAUAAUUAAAAAUAGCACAAUAAUGAGUUUUAACAAUAAAACAAAUCAAAUGAAUAUUUAAAAUUUUAAAAAGUAUAUCUAGAAAAAGAGGUAUUUUCGGAAAUAGUUUGCAUAUAACUAAAAAAAAGUUUUAUGAGGAGAUCAGAUGGGUGCCAAUAGUCCACCUCGUAAUUAAGAAUCUCCCAUUAUAUUGUGAACCAAAAAGACACUUGCAUAAGAAGAAGAAUUUUUCUGUUUGAUUUUAUUUGUGGAUCCAACAUUUCUCAUAUCUUGAGCGCCUUUCCGUAUCAAAUUAAAAUAGUAGUAGCAAAAUUGUAGUGCACAUUCAAUUAAUCAACUAAUAGUCUAAGAAGCAAAGAGAGGAUUACAAGUUCACAACACCAUUACAAAGGAUUCAAAAUUCCCACACGAAAACAUCAAUGUACAGAUAUAAACAAUCCUAAUUGGACACAAGAAAAACCCUUAAAUGGAUUGCUUGCCUUCCCAAUGCUACAUACCCUGCAAACUGCUUACUGGCCAAGAAAAUGUUUUCAAUUUAGUGUAUUUUCAAAAUGCUUAUUUUCUCAUAAUAUUAAAAAAAUAAAAUAAAAAAGAAUUCUUACAUGUUUCAUCAGCAUGAUUAAAAUCAAAGAAGAAAGAGAGACAUAAUGUCUCUGACAUAAUAAAAUUAUAAAAAUUUCAAGAAAAAAAAAGGUUAAAACAUGUAAGGUGGAUGAUUGAAAACAAUUGUAUGAUGGUAACCAUCAUCUUAAACAAAUAAAAUAAGGUAUGUUCAAAAGUAAUAAGGAAUACAUAGACAAAACAUCAUCUUAAACAAAUCAUAAUCUAGAAUUGGAGCAUUUUCGACAUACCUAAGGAGAAAGAAUACGUGAAAAUAGGUGAUUCAUUUGUUAAGGAGUGUUGAUUUGGUCGUCUCUGCAAAUUCUUUAGGGACUCGGUUCCAGUUCCUCUUCAUCAAAACUGUAAUAUAAUUCCCCUUCAUCAGAACUCGAAUCAAAUUCACUUGCAGCAGUUCCACUCGCGCUUGGCAAAUCAUCCAAUUUCCAAACUUCGGUACCAAAAUUGAGAGUAAAAGUGUUGGCUUUGAUCUCGCUGCGAUUUGCAUAUACCGGACAUACUCCGUAACGUUUUAUCUUGUGACCCUUUUGGUUUCGGUAACACUCAUUGAAGAACUUAAGUGAGACAGUUGUAUGAUGGUAACCAUCAGGAAAGCCAACAUUCAAGCAAGGUUUAAAACAAAGUAUGACAUGAUCUGAAUCAAGGGAGUAUUUAGAAUAGGUAGAAAAACCCAGAUCAACAUAUUUGGUUUCAGAGAGAGUCUUUAUUUCUAAGUCGGAUUGAAAGAUGACGUACCAAUCGCACUUGCAACGAGAACAAACUUUCUUAGAAUCAAGAACAGCACAAAAAGCAAACCCGAUUAAGUUUCCGCAAAAAGAUUGCGGUGGCAGUUGAAUACAUAUCGAAGAUUCUGAACUUUGAUGGCUGAACCAGUCAGGAAUUUCGCUCCCAGGUAAAACAAUUAGGGAUCCCCAGAGUUCAGAAAGUUUCUGUGAAAUGACAUUUAAAAAAAGAAAAUUGUAAAUUGAAAACCAUGAUUUCAGAUAUAACAAAGAGGGACAGAGUAAACAAGAGAGGGAAUUUGAUACCUCGUUGAUUGCCUUUUCAUAGCCCAAUCUCAGUGAUGCAAUUGCCAUAUGCCGAAUUCUUAGUCGUGAAUCUGCCAAAAUCUUGUUGUUUGCUUUUCCAUCAAGUUUCAAGCAGUUAGUAAACUCAAAACAAAUUGCUGCUGACUCCAGAGAUUGAAUAAGGUCAGGAGAGGGUUUCGAUAACUUUUCGAGUACGGAUGCAUCUAGUUCUUGUAGACAUGACGGAAUCUCUGGCAAAGAUUGAAGCCGCUUGCAGUUCCUUGCUUUUAGUGAUUGUAGACACAAUGGAAGUUCUGGUAAUGACCGAAGCAUGUUACAACCCGUCAAGUCAAGAGAUUCAAGACACAAUGGAAGUUCUGGUAAUGACUGAAGCAUCUUACAACGCUCCAAGUGAAGAGACCUCAGCCGCGACAGUUGCUUGAUACUUGCAGGUAAACUCUCAAAGUUAUUUCCACUUAGAUGCAAGCCUGUCAGUGAGGAUAGACAGGCAAUCUCUUGUGGAAUUUCCAUUACAGCACAGUUCCUUAUAUUUAGACGUCCCAAAGAAGAUAAACCUAAUAAUAAUGAUCGAGGCAAUGAUACCAAACCUUUGCAUCUAGAGAACUCAAGAAUUCUAAGUACGUUUGAAUCUGCAACAGAGGAUGGUAGUUGACUAAUAGCUGAUCCAGCUGCACAGAUGUAACGCAAAGAUUUUAAAUUGCCAAUGUUAUCCGGCAACUUAUCAAGUUUAGAGCAAUCUUCUACGAACAAUACUUCAAGUCCCGGUAGAUUUUCAAAUGACGAUGGCAGCUCUGUAAUUGCCGUAUGGCCUAAAUAGAUGCGUUUUAAAUGUUCCAUUUUCUCCAAGAUUUCUGGGAAACGCUCAAGGUUCACGCAGCCAUUAAGAAAAAGAUCAACCAACGAUCUCAAUUUACAAAACCCAGUUGAAAUCAUCUUCAGCCGUUUGCAAUCCCUCAAAUCCAACACUAUAAGAUCAGUUAGGCACUCUAUUGAUGAUGGAACUUCUUCUAUUGCAGACUGGAUUAAGUAUAGCCGUGUAAUUUUCCCAGAAAUCUGUGGAAACUCUACGAGAUUAACACAAUAGGAGAAAUUAAUAGUUACUGGACAAACAAAAUGAAGAUUGGUUGGAAAAGACCUAAGACUUUUGCAGCCCAUAAAAUCCAACCUACUGAGAUACUUGAAAUUCUGGAUAGAUGAGGGAACACAAGCCUUUUCUCCUUCCCAAAGUUGCUCAACUUUACUUAAACGCAAAUUCAGUUGAACGAGGUUCUUUGGCUUGAAAUUUGAUGGCAGUGUCCUUAAUGGAUAUGUGUCCCAAUGAAGAUAUCUCAAUUUUUUAGGAAGAUAAUCUAGACCAUUUGGAAGCUGCACUUUAGAGUAUGAAAGUUGCUCUUCAAUGAUCAUACUUAGAAACCUUUCAAUCCCAUAAAACUUAGGUACAUAAAAUUUGAGCAAUCUCAUACUAGACAUAUUUGUGAAGGUUCCGGGGUCUAAAUUAAUGCCUUUUAUUUUGGACAAAUCCAGAAAUAUGCCUUCAAUUGCAUCGGUCCCCUUAUUAAAAAAAAAACAAAGAAUGAGUAAUCCUAAAACAGAAAAGAAACAUUCGUAAACUUUAUUAACUAAGAGCUCCUUAAACAAAAACAAAUUCUGCAAUCUUUGAUUUUAUUUUUUUAAUAUAUUAAAUAUCUAUAUGCGAGAAAAGAAAAUUUUGGGGGCCAUUGCAAAAUUAAACUAACCGAAAAAAAAAAUUCAAAAUUUCUCUAAUUUACAAACCUGUUAUCUUAAUAUCUAGAAGUUGAGAAGACAAGGCCUAUUUGAUUGGUAUAAGAUUUCAAUUUUUUUUUUUUUUUUUUUUUUUUUUUGUCGAUAGAAUCCAAAAUGUUAGUUCAAAAUUAGGGAAAAAAAUGAAAGUCAUUUUUUUUUCCACUAGCUGUAAUUGUAUCCAAGUCAAAUUGAGAUACAACCCUUUUUGAAAGAAUUUAACCAUCUUACAACCUCCUUAAGGUACAUUUAAGAUAAAAGGAGUGAUUGGAGGCAGAACUAGGUGGGCCAAUCAGUCCAUUUUAUUAGCGACUGUUGCUUAAAAAAAAUUAUACUCUAAAACACACUUACAUUUUUGAAAAAAUAUAUAAUUAUAUUGAAGUAGAACCAGGUGGGCCAACCCUCAUGGCACUCACUUUGUUCUGACACUUUUCACUAAAUUUGAAGAAAAAUAAAAUUAUACUCUUCACACUCUUAUUCAACAUUCCAAAUUUGAUAAAAUCGGGAGUUUUCUUUAAAAAUUUAAAAUUUGAAGACUUGUUCUCUUGACACCCUCAGUCAUUAAUUUUACCUAAUUAUGGGUUUUAUGAUUUUGGUUGUUUUGUUCAUAAAAAUGCUUUUACUAAAGGAUGUUCUGGUAAUAAUAAAAUUUAUAAAAAAAACAUGGGUGUGCUGGUAUGGUUGGAAAAAUAUGAGUGCAUAACUCCAAACAAAUAAAAGAUAUAUAUAAAAAAAAAUGGAGGAUUCUUACCUUAUUAUGCUUGAGUACGCGGCGGAUUUCCUUAGGAUCCCACAACCUGCUGCGUUUGCCUGGCUCUUUCUCAGAUUCUUGGCGAACAAUCCGUCGCCCCAUUUCUUGCAAUAAAAUCAUGCAUUUGCAAGCAAUUCCCUGAUACUGAUAUGAGUGACUUAUCAAUAAGGACAUUCACGUCAUUCAGUCCAUAAGACUUAGAAUCAUCAAGUAUCCUUAUCACAAAAUCUUUAUCCUCUCCCUCAAAGAAACAAGCAAUAUCUAGAAAUACACUCUUGACAUUGGGCGUUAAUUCAUUAAAACUAAUCUUUAAUAUAUCAUACAUAUUAUGAAUAUCAGAUUCACAAAUCCGAUUUAAGUCGUCCAAUACGUUUCCCCAAUGGCUUUUCCUCUUGAGGGAGGAACCCAACACUUUAAGAACUAAUGGAUUGCCAUCAGCAUACUUUACAACUCUCCGUGACUCACGUUUGAAAUCUUCAGGACAAUGCUUUUCUUUAAAAGCGAAGUUACAAAAAUGCUCGAAAGCCUCAUCAAAUUUCAAUCCAUUAACCCUAUAUAUUUUCUCCACUGGAAACGUCUCGAGGACAUGUUUAUUCCUAGUGGUGAUGACAAUUCUACUUCCUGGACCAUACUGAUCAAGCCCUCCAAUCAAACCCUCUAAUUGUCCAUCUUUACUCACAUCAUCAAGCACAAUCAACACCUUCAUGCGUCGGACCCUCUCUUUAGUAAAUUGUGGAAUAUUGGGACCAUCUACUUUAAGUUUUUCUCUUAAUAUCCUUGAAAGAAUUUGCUUUUGUAGAUCUUCUAAUCCAUCCCCUCGUUCUAUAUUUCUCCUAACAUCUGACAUAAAGCACCUACCUUCAAACUCUCUGGAGAAUUGAUUGAAAAUAGCUGUGGCAAGGGUGGUUUUGCCUAUACCACCCAUGCCCCAAAUUCCAACAAUUUGGACAGUAUCCCACAAAUCCAUGCACAGAAAUGGUUUAAUCUGCUCAAUUCGUGAAUUUAAUCCAACUAGGCCAUUGGAUGAGUCCGUUGAGACUGUUAUUUUUUCCAUCUUCUUCAAAACAUCUUCGACAAUUUUGCUUACAAGUUGCGCAUCAUGCCUAAUAUGAAGGUGCAAAGAUGCAAAAACAUUGAGUCAAAUCGGGCCAACACAGAAACAGAGAUAAGAUGAAUUAGGAAAGAGAGUUACCUGAAUUUCGUGGAUUCGUGGCCAGCUAGAUGGGAUGUUUCUUUCAGUGCAUCCCUCCACUUCUGAACCAUUUCUGGCUUCUCUUUGAACUGUUGUUCGAGCUUAUCAAAACCGUGCCCAAAAAUUCCAGCUUGAUGCCGAACAUCGGACGGACUUACGCUAUAGAAAACUGGAAUAACGAUUUGGCCGUUUGUGUGCUUGCAUUCAAGAAUCUUGACAAGUUCAUUCAGGCACCAUUUUGAAGAAGCGUAGUCCUUUGAGAAAAUGACGACCGAAAUUUUCGAACCUUCGAUUGCGUUCAAAAGAGCAGGUGAAAUCUCAUCUCCUCGCCUAAGCUCUUCAUCAUCAAUAAACGUUUUGAUUUUCGUUCUUUCAUUCAAAUUAUAAUAGAGAUGGCAUGUAAAGCUCACGCGAGUGUCCUCUCCUCUGAAACUGAGGAAUACAUCAUAAUUGCAACAAGAAGAAGAGGAAGCCAUGAAGGAAAUUUUAGAAAUUUGGUGACAGAAACAGAGAAUUAAUCUUGAGAGUUGAGAGGGGAUAUGUAAGAAUGAAAAUGCGUAAAUAGUAAAUGAUUGAAUUAAUCUGGCGAGUAAAUAGUAAAUAAUUGAAUGGCCGGAGCUUUCUUAGUUUCCUGGAAAUUUCCUGGAGCUUUCGUAUACAUGAUUUGUCAAGUCAAGAAACAUAAUCAUGAUAAUGGGGCAGACCAGGAAGGAAAGAAAAUUUGAUCCAACCAAUAAAGGAAGGAAAAGUAAAGAAAGAAAAUUUGAAAGUAGAUUCAGAGAAUUAUAAAAAGCUAAAGGAUAUUGGAAUUUUGUACAAUUUCUCUAUUACAGUUUGGAUUAAGAUUUGAGCAAGCGGCCAAAACUACAUUGCGUCAGGGCUUUGGUGCCACACUCGUUUGUCUGUUAGUAGCAUUGGAUUUGAUCUGACGGCUGCAGAAGAGACACAAACAUAAAGAGGAGUAACCUGAGGAAAAGGUAAUAAGCCGGUUACCUGCAGAAAAUAAGUGCAUGAUAAAAUAACACAAGUAAUGAACACAAUGGAAGCGUAUAUGCAAGUAAUGGUUGGAAACAACUUGCUGGAAGCGUGCAAGUAUUGGUUGGGCACAGACCGACAUUAAAUUUCGCAAAUAGUGUCUGAAACAUUUGCAAAUACUUAAUUCAAAACGUCAAUAAAUGCUGGAAAAAAUACAUAUUUUUUUAUUUUUUAUUAAGAAUACAUUUAAAAAAAGAAUAAUUAUUAAUGGUACAUAUUUGUAACAAUUAUACCAAAAACAAUUAUCCAUAUAUUUAAAAAAAAUGUUAACAAUACAUAUUUUUUAGAAGUAUACAUAUUAUAUCAUAAAAAAAUUGAGUUGGAGCUUCGACAAGUAGAUCUUAAAAAACUAAGGUUGAAUUUUGGAGGAGCAGAUUCGGUCGUGGAGUAACAUUUGUUUAUUAUUAUUAAUUUAUUUUGGUAGUCCUAGUGAAACAUCGUUGUUUCACAUAGAUGAUGUCGCAGUUUGAUAGACGGGAUGACAUGUGAUUUUUUAUCAAAUAUAUCGGGCCACAUGGCAUUUUUGACUAGGUGAAUGGAGUGACAUGUUAAUUUUUUUUUUUUUUAAUCAAAGGUUCUUCUAUCUUAGAAGACUAGAUUAGCCUUAUGAUGUCAAGACUUGGAAACGACAACUAACUGACUAGUGGAUAGCAGACACAUGUUGUCAACUUAGGGUAUACAAGGAUACAUGUUAAAAGUAUUGUAGUAUAUGUGAUACAAGUGUCAUGGAAGGCUAUAUGAGUGAUAAUUACUCAUUAAACUAUAAGUUGCAAUAAUUUAACACAACAAGUGCCAAUUAAAAUGUAAUAAUUUAAAAAAAAUUAGGUAUUCUCCGUCUGUCUCCCUCUCAAUCAAUGUGUCCUACUUUGAAUGUUAAUAUUUAUUAUCAAACAUAAAAAAAUUCUAAAAUAUUAAAAAAAAAAAACAGAGUCUUCUAGGCACAUAAAUUAGAGUAGUUUCGUGAACAAAGAACUUGAGAAAGAUAAUGGUGGCACUCUCUUAGAAGGAAUCUAUGGGGUUAAUGUUUUCUUCCCUAUGUCUAUUUUAUGUAUCUUAGUUUCAAAAACAAGAUGUACACAAUUAGGGGUUGGUUAAUGCAGUUAAAACGGUGGAAAAAGGCUUAUAGAAAUAAAAUAUAAUUGUAAUGCAGUGUUUGGUAUGAAUAAGUAAACUAAAAAUAAGACAAUUGGGUAUACGAAUUUAUAAUGCGAUAAUAAUAUUUUUUCCCUAAGACGACCCGUAGGGUAAGAUUAUAGACUAAAUUGUUGUGUUAUGUUAAUGAUACGAUAUAAAAGUGUUGUUUUAGAAGCUGUAAAAGUUAGUUAAUGUGAAAUUUGUUUUUAAAGGUAAUUGUCUUGUAACCCCUUGUUUUUAAGGGUAAGAUUAUAGACGCAAUUUGUUUGUUUUGAAAAAAAGUCCCUUAUGUUGAGCUGGACUUUUUUUCGUCUUCACAAGUCCCUUUUGCCGAGCUGGAAUUUUUCUGACAGAGUCUCCGUUUGUUCCCAUAAUAGCGGCGAGAAUCUGGCCGAGCCUCGAUGAUAGCUCGUUGCUACGACACGUGACUGUGUCCAUUGAGUCUCUAUUCGAAAUCCAAAUGUCGACGACAACGGCCGCCUCCACUAACGGUUCUCAAAUCACGCCGUGCGUUGAUGACGUGGCGGUGGCAAUUAACAACAAUAACUUCAACUCGAAGGAGAGAUUCAACGACCGUGAUUUUUUGUUGAAGCAGUCGUAUUCGUUUGGAUUCGAGCGGAGUCUUGCAUCGAAGAGGAUGGUGAUGGAGGCGGUAAUGGCGUUGCCGUGGAAGUACAAGAGGGGGAGUUACUGGAGCAAACAGUCGUCUCCGUUUGGCUCAUUGACGAAGUCUAGAGUCUUCUGGAGCAAAGGAUUAUAUACUUAUCCUCUUUGUUUUCCUUUUACUGAUACUGUAGCUUUAGCCGAUUACCCAUUUUCCAAGUGUUAAACAUGAGCCGUUGUUACCUUUCUUUACUAUCUAAAUGGUCAUUCGCAAAAGGACAAAUGACUAGGGUAUCAAACCCCUUACGCAAUGUAGCUGGACCCUUAGCAAAGCAUUCACCUAAAUCUUACCUCCGCUGUAAAUUCUUAAGUUUUGAAAAUUAUGAGACCUUUAUAUUGGGAGAUAUUAUAAUCAAAUGAAAAGUUAAAAUUUUAAUAUUGUUAAUAAAUGACAAAGCCAUUUCAUUUCUCUUUUACAUGUUAUUAAUUUUUGUAACACGGGGUGGCAACAUAAGCAUAAUCAAGUAAAGCAAAAGGGUUUCAAAUUAUGGUGGUAAAACGUGAAGAAGGAUGCCAACUGAAUAAUUCCUUCCACAAAACGAAAAAUAAUCACAGAAAAAGGAAUCUCUUAUAAAAUGUUUGCGUAUUUUUUAUAAGGUUUGAAACUUUAGGUGGUCGGUAAAUGAUUUCUUAAUUGAAUAAUAUAUAAAAAAGCUAAUUAUUUAUAAUUUUAAAUAAUCUGAAUUUGUAUGUUAGAAAUUUCAUCUCUUUUAUUUUUGAGAAUUUUUCAUAAAGAAUAGAGAACAUAAUGUUAACAUUUAAAGUAACACAUCUCAAUCGUCGAAAUUAUUUUUCUAUUAAAUCCAACGAUAACGAAUUAAUGUCAGAAAAGGACAAAAUUAGUGGUGGCUUGCAAUAAUUGCAAGGUAGCUUUUGUAAAGACAGAAAUGUGAUGGAUUCAAAAAGAAAUUGAAGUGAUAAUGUACGUGGAUCCUUAAAAUAAAAAGCCGAAUCGCUUGGUGGCCCAGUAAAAUUACGAUUUGAAUUUUUUUUUUUUUUUUUUUUACACAAUGUGUCAAGCACAUAAAUGACGAAAGCCAUUUCAUUUCCCUUUCACACGUCAUUAACUUUUGUAACACGGUGUGUUCAUCGUCAAGUGAGGCAAAAGGGUUUCCAUUACAGUGGGAAAACAUGAACAAGAAUGCAUAAUGAAUAAUUCCUUCGAUAAAGCGAAAAUUAAACAUAAAAUAAUCCUAAAAUUUAAACUCUAAUAUCCUUCGAUAAUGUAUUGAUUAAAAAUAAUCCUAAGAGUUUCCAAUUGAAACUUCCGUAAGUAUUUUUAUUGUUUUGGAUAAACAAAUUGCACUAGGAUAAAAAUUUGGUAAAUUCAGAGGAUAAUAGAAAAUAGCUAUGGUUCAAUAGGCCAAAGAUUAGAGAACAAACAAGAAUUAGUUAUUGAUAUACAAAAGAGAAACACUCCAAAAUUUCAAGCAAAAAUAGUUUCAUAUACCAUUUCGAUUUUGGAAGGGGUGAGGUUUUGAAAUUCAAUAGUUUCCUCUAAAAUCAAAAGGCAGCAAUUAAGUUAGAAAGAGCAAAGAAGACUUAUUGGUACCUUAUUGAAGCUGAACAUUAUGGAACUUUCAAUGUCAUUACCUCACUGUUCAAUUUUUAUUGAGAUUUGUGCAAGCAUUUACCUAAAUUUUACCUCCGCCUGUAAAUUCAUAAGUUUUGAAAAUUUUGAGACGUUAUAUUGGGAGAUAUUAUAAUCGAACUAAAACUUAAAAUUUCAAUAUUAUUAUUCUUUGAAAAAAAAAUGAGAUAUCAGAGUAAUAUCACAUAGAAUGGUAAGCCAAAAGUCUAAUCAACCACAUGCAUAAAGCUAACUAGAACAAGUGAACAGAGAAACGCGUGGGUCCCUAAAAGAAAAGGCAAGCACAUAAAGAAAACGGAAAACAAACGCCAGAGAAAAGAAUUUCUUAUAUGCCUUGAUAUUGAUUAAUAUUCAGCGAUAGCUUAAUGCUUACCAUCAAGCAACUUUGAAAGCAGGAAGCUAUAUAUGACAAGAAAUCAAAGUAAUGUGAAGGAACAUGAUGAUGAAAUUGCAGGCCAGCACAAAAACACCCAUACCCCUGAUUUGUUUAAAUGUACACGAAGACCUUAAGGUUUGGUAAAAGAAAAUUGAAUUUAUAUUGUAUUAUAAUACAAUUUUUUUUAAACCAUCAAUGAUAAAAUCUUCUUACUUUUUUCCAUCCUUUGGAUCAAUAAGUACAAAUUUCUCAUCUAAAUCUUCAUACUUUUUACAAAUGACUUUUGUGCCAUAGAUUUUUUUUUUCUUUUUUUGGUUUUGCCGAAAAAACAAAACAAAUUCAUAAACAACAUUGUAUUUCACCAAUUAACAGUGCAAGUGUCAUUAUAGUUUCCACAUUUUAGUUCUGUUUUUUUUAGUUUCAUUUUCUUUCUGUUAUGUAACUGAUGUUUCAUUGCUAUAAAAUUAAUUGUCUGUUUCUCUUCACAACUGUUAUUUUGAAUGAUUUUUUCUGAAUUUUAUAAACAAUUUGUAUAUGACAGGAAAUGAAGCAGAGUGCGAGCAACUUGUAUGGAUUCCUAAAAGGUCUGGUCAGAGUGUUCCUUUCAAUGCAUACAUCUGGCGGCGAGGGACUAUUCCAAUAUGGUGGGGUGCAGAAUUAAAGCUUACUGCUGCUGAAGCAGAAAUUUAUGUUGCAGAUCGGGAUCCUUAUAAAGGAAGUCUGCAGUAUUAUCAGAGGUUGAGUAAUCGAUAUGAUGCUCGAAACUUUGACUUAGCUGUUGGGGAAAAUCAGAAGAAAAAGCCUUUUAUUCCAAUUGUAUGCAUUAACUUGCUUAGGAAUGCGGAAGGGAAAUCAGAAUCUAUUUUAGUUCAGCAUUUUGAGGAAUCUUUGAACUAUGUCAGAUCAACUGGAAAACUUCCUUAUACUCGAAUUAUUUUAAUAAAUUAUGACUGGCAUGCCAGUACAAAAUUAAAAGGUGAACAACUUACAAUUGAAGGAUUAUGGAAGCAUCUAAAAGCACCCACUCAGGCCGUAGGCAUUUCUGAAGGGGACUAUUUGCCAUCACGGCAACGACUUAAUGAUUGCCGAGGUGAAGUCAUCUGCAAUGAUGACUUUGUGGGUGCCUUUUGCUUAAGAUCCCAUCAGAAUGGAGUGAUACGCUUUAACUGUGCAGACUCUCUUGAUCGGACCAAUGCUGCUAGUUAUUUUGGUGCUCUGCAAGUAUUUGUGGAGCAAUGUAGGCGGCUUGGGGUCUCCCUUGACAGUGAUUUUGCAUAUGGCUAUCAGUCAGCUAAUAACUAUGGUGGAUAUACUGCUCCUUUGCCACGAGGAUGGGAGAAACGAGCUGAUGCAGUGACAGGAAAAACAUAUUAUAUCGAUCACAACACUAGGACCACAACAUGGAUUCAUCCAUGCCCAGACAAACCUUGGAAGAGAUUUGAUAUGACAUUUGAGGAGUUCAAGCAUUCAACAAUUUUAUCACCAGUGUCUCAGCUAGCAGAUCUUUUUCUGCUUUCUGGUGAUAUCCAUGCAACCCUUUAUACUGGUUCAAAAGCAAUGCAUAGCCAAAUUCUUAAUAUAUUCAAUGAAGAACCAGGAAAGUUCAAACAAUUUUCUGCAGCACAAAAUAUGAAAAUUACUCUGCAGAGAAGAUACAAAAAUGCAGUUGUCGAUAGCUCUCGUCAGAAACAGCUGGAGAUGUUUCUUGGAUUUAGGCUGUUCAGUUCAUUUUUUUGUGGUAGAAAUGUCGUCAUUUUAAAUUUAGUGUAUUUUCAAAAAGCUUAUUUUCUCAGAAUAUAAAAAAUAAAAAAAUAAAAAAAGAAUUCUUACAUGUUUCAUCAGCAUGAUUAAAAUCGAAGAAGAAAGCGAGACAUAAUGUCUCUGACAUAAUAAAAUUACAAAAAUUUCAAGGAAAAAAAAGAAGUUAAAACAUGUAAUCUUCAGAAGCAUAUAAUAAAAGAGCACUUCCACAAAUUACUACAAUUUCAUGCAGUAGAGAUUGAAGAGUUGAAUUCCACUUAUAGACACCGACCUCUUGUUUUGUCUAAUGUUAAAAUUACAACCUCUUGCUUUGACUUAUUAGCAGGUUUCAAAAGUAAUAAGGAAUACAUAGAUAAAACAUCAUCUUAAACAAAUCACAAUCUAGAAUUAGAGCAUUUUCGACAUACCUAAGGACCACGAAUACGUGAAAACGGGUGACUCAUUUGUUAAGAAGUGUUGAUUUGAUCGGCUCUGCAAAUUCUCUUGGGACUCGGUUCCAAUUCCUCUUCAUCCGAAGUUCCACUCGCGCUUGGAAAAUCAUCCAAUUUCCAAACUUCGGUAGCAAAAUUGAGAGUAAAAGUGUUGGCUUUGAUCUCGCUGGGAUUUGCAUAUACUGGACAUACUCCGUAACGUUUUAUCUUGCAAUCCUUUUGGCUUCGGUAACACUUAUUGAAGAACUUAAGUGAGACAGUUGUAUGAUGGUAACCAUCGGGAAAGCCAACAUUCAAGCAAGGUUUAAAACCAAGUAUGACAUGAUCGGAAUCAAGGGAGUAUCUAGUGGGCAAAUCGAAACCCAGAUCAACAUGUUUGGUUUCAGAGAGAGUCUUUAUUUCUAAGUCGAAUUGACGGUAGAAGUAAAAAUCACACAUACAACGAGAAUAAACUUUCUUAAAAUCAAGAACAGCACAAAAAGCAAACCCGAUUAAGUUUCUGAAAAAAGAGUGCGGUGGCAGUUGAAUAUAUAUCGAAGAUCCUGAACUUUGAUUGCUGAACCAGUCAGGAAUUUCGCCCCCAGGUAAAACAAUUAGGGAUCCCCUGAGUUCUGAAAGUUUCUGUGAAAUGACAUUUAAAAAAAGAAAAUUGUAAAAUGAAAACCAUGAUUUCAGAUAGGGAUAUUAUCAUUUUUCCACCAAAGGUAUUCUGACACAUCAUGUCAGUACCACGGUUUGGUAAAACUAUCAAUUUACCACCAAACGUUUAAACUGUUAGGAUUUUCCCACUAUUCCGUUAAAACUCAGUUAAUAUGUAACGGAAAAUUUCUAAAAAGUCAAUUUUACCCCUGGAGCAUAAAAGACCAUAUAAUUAACUUUUUAUGAAUUUUGUAAUUAAAUCAUCAUUUGUUGUUCUUCCUUCUUAAAGGACAAAAAUUACCCUUUAUAAAUUUUAUAAAAUUGGCCGUGUAGUGCUAGGUACUUCAUAAAUUAAUUUAAUUUUUAAAGGGCAAAUUUAUUUAUUAAAUUGAUGAGCUCAAGACAAUUUAUUCUACUACUAAAAAUCAAUUUAUGAAAGGGAAAAAAAAAAGAAUGUGCAAACGAAGUAAUUUAAUCUUUGAUAUGAUGAUAAUAAUUUUACACAAAAAAUUAAAUAAAUAAAUUUUCCCUUUAAAAAUUAAAUAAAUUAAAUCAAUUUAUGAAGUACCAAAUACCACACGGUCAAUUUUACAAAAUUCAUAAAUGGUAAUUUUUGUCGUUUAAGAAUAAAGAAUAACAAAUGAUGAUUUAAUUACAAAAUUCAUAAAAGGUUAAUUAUAUGGUCUUUUAUGCUCAGGGGUAAAAUUGACCUUUUAGGAAUUUUCCGUUAGAUAUUAACUGAGUUUUAACGGAAUGGUGGGAAAAUGCUAACAGUUUAAACGUUUGGUGGUAAAUUGAUAGUUUUACCAAACCGUGGUACUGACAUGAUGUGUCAGAAUACCUUAGGUGGGAAAAUGAUAAUAUCCCUUUCAGAUAUAACAAAGAGGGACAGAGUAAACAAGAGAGGGAAUUUGAUACCUCGUUGAUUGCCUUUUCAUAGCCCAGUCUCAGUGAUGCAAUUGCCAUAUGCCGAAUUCUUAGUUGUGAAUCUGCCAAAAUCUUGUUGUUUGCUUUUCCAUUCAGUUUCAAGCAGUUAGUAAACCCAAAAUAAAUUGGUUGUGACUCCAGACAUCCCGGUGCCCAUUGACGAAGGUCAGGAGAGGGUUUCGAUAGCUUUUCGAGUACGGAUGCAUCUAGUUCUUGUAGACAUGACGGAAUCUCUGGCAAAGAUUGGAGCCGGUUGCAGUUCCUUGCAUUUAGUGAUUGUAGACACAAUGAAAGUUCUGGUAAUGACCGAAGCAUGUUACAAUCCUCCAAGUUAAGAUAUUUUAGACACAAUGGAAGUUCUGGUAUUGACCGAAGCAUGUUACAACCCGUCAAGGCAAGAGAUUCUAGACACAAUGGAAGUGCUGGUAAUGACUGAAGCAUCUUACAAUCCGUCAAGUCAAGAGAUGUUAGGCACAAUGGAAGUUCUGGUAAUGACUGAAGCAUCUUACAAUUCUUCAAGUCAAGAGAACUCAACUGCGACAGUUGCUUGAUACUUGCAGGUAAACUCUCAAAGUUAUUUCCACUUAGAUGCAAGCCUGUCAGUGAGGAUAGACAGGCAAUCUCUUGUGGAAUUUCCAUUACAGCACAGUCACUUAUAUCUAGAAGUCCCAAAGAAGAUAAACCUAAUAAUAAUGAUCGAGGCAAUGAUGCCAAACCUUUGCAGCUAGAGAAAGAAAGAAUUCCAAGUACGUUUGAAUCUGUAACAGAGGAUGGUAGUUGACUAAUAGCUGAUUUAGCUGCUGAGAUGUAAUACAAAGAUUCUAAAUUGCCAAUGUUAUCCGGCAACUUAUCAAGUUUAGAGCAACCAUUUAUGAACAAUGAUUCAAGCCCCGGUAGAUUUUCAAAUGACGAUGGCAGCUCUGUAAUUGCCGUCCGGUCUAAAUAGAUGCGUUUUAAAUGUUCCAUUUUCUCCAAGAUUUCUGGGAAACGCUCAAGAUUCAAGCAGCCAAGAAGAAUAAGCCGAACCAAAGAUCUCAAUUUACAAAACCUAGUUGAAAUCCUCUUCAGCCGUUUGCAACCCAUCAAAUCCAACACUUCAAGAUCAGUUAGGCACUCUAUUGAUGAUGGAACUUCUUCUAUUGCAGACUGGUCUAAGUAUAGCCGUGUAAUUUUCCCAGAAAUCUGUGGAAACUCUAUGAGAUUAACACAAGAGGAGAAAUUAAUAGUUACUGGACAAACAAAAUGAAGAUUGCUUGGAAAAGACCUAAGACUUUUGCAGCCCUUAAAAGACAACGCACUGAGAAACUUGAAAUUCUGGAUAGAUGAGGGAACACAAGCCUUUUCUCCUUCCCAAGGUUGCUCAACUUUACUAAAACGCAAAUUCAGUUCAACAAGGUUCUUUGGCUUGAAAUUUGAUGGCAGUGUCCUUAAUGGAUAUGUGUCCCAAUGAAGAUAUCUCAAUUUUUUAGGAAGAUAAUAUAGGCCUUUUGGAAGCUGCACUUUAGAGUAUGAAAGUUGCUCUUCAAUACUCAUACUUAGAAGCUUUUCAAUCCCAUAAAACUUAGGUACAUAAAAUUUGAGCAAUCUCAUAUUAGACAUAUUUGUGAAGGCUCCGGGGUCUAAAUUGAUGCCUUUUAUUUUGGACAAAUCCAAAAAUAUGCCUUCAAUUGCAUCAAUCCCCUUAUAUAAAAAAAAAAAAAACAAAGAAUGGGUAAGCUUAAAACUCAAAAGAAACAUUCGUAAACUUUACUAAGAGCUCCUUAAACAAAAACAAAUUCUGCAAUCUUUGAUUUAAUUUUUUUAAUAUAUUAAAUAUCUAUAUGUGAGAAAAGAAAAUUUUGGGGACCAUUGCAAAAUUCAACUAACUGAAAAAAAAAAUUCAAAAUUUCUCUAAUUUACAAACCUGUUAUCUUAAUAUCUAGAAGUUGAGAAGACAGGGCCUAUUUGAUUGGUAUAAGAUUUCGAUUUUUUUUUAGUCCAUAGAAUCCAAAAUGUUAGUUCAAAAUUAGGGAAAAAAGUCAUUUUUUUCCACCAACUGUAAUUGUAUCCAAGUCAAAUUGAGAUACGACCCUUUUCGAAAGGAUUUAACCAUCUUAUAGCCUCCUUAAGGUACAUUUAAGCUAAAAGGAGUGAUUGGAGGCAGUUCUAGGUGGGCCAAUCAGUCCAUUUUAUUAGUGACGUUUGCUUAAAAAAAAAAAUUAUACUCUAAAACACACUUUUUUUUUUUUAAAAAAAUAUAAUUAUAUUGAAGUAAAACCCGGUGGGCCAAUCCUCAUGGCACUCACUUUGUUCCGACACUCUUCACUAAAUUUGAAGAAAAAUAAAAUUAUACUCUUCACACUCUUAAUCAACAUUCCAAAAUUGAUUAAAUCUGGAGUUUUCUUUAAAAAUUUAAAAUUUGAAGAUUUGUUGUCUUGACACCCUCAGUCAUUAAUUUUACCUAAUUAUGGUUUUUAUGAUUUUGAUUGUUUUGUUCAUAAAAAUGCUUUUACUAAAGGAUGUUCUGGUAAUAAUAAAAUUUAUAAAAAACACAUGGGUGUGCUGGUAUGGUUGGAAAAAUAUGAGUGCAUAACUCCAAACAAAUAAAAGAUAUAUAAAAAAAAGAUGGAGGAUUCUUACCUUAUUAUGCUUUAGUACGCGGCGGAUUUCCUUAGGAUCCCACAACCUACUGCGUCUGCCUGGCUCUUCCUCAGAUUCUUGGCGAACAAUCUCUCGACCCAUUUCUUGCAAUAAAUCAUGCAUUUGCAAGCAGUUAUUUGACACUGUUAUGAGUGACUUGUCCACGAGGGCAUCUAGUUUGUGAGACCCAGAAUCAUCAAGUAUCCUCGACACAAAAUCUUUAUCCUCUCCCUCAAGGAAACACGCAAUAUCUAGAAACAUACUCUUCUGCUUGCGUGUUAAUUCAUUAAAACUAAUCUUUAAUAUAUCAUAAAUAUUAUGAAUAUCAGAUUCACAAAUCCGAUUUAAGUCGUUCAAUACAUUUUCCCAACGGCUUUUAUCCUUGAGGGAGGAACCCAACACUUUAAGAACUAAUGGAUUGCCAUCGGCAUACUCUACAACCCUCUGUGAGUGCCAGUUGAGAUCUUCAGCACAAUGCUUUUCUUUAAAAGCGAAGUUACAAAAAUGCUCGAAAGCCUCAUCAAAUUUCAAUCCAUUGACCCUAUAUAUUUUCUCCACUCCAAAUUUUUCGAGGACUCGUUUAUCCCUAGUGGUUACAACAAUUCUACUUCCUGGACCAUAUUGAUCAAGCCCUCCAAUCAAACCCUCUAAUUGUUCAUCUUUAUUCACAUCAUCAAGUGCAAUCAACACCUUCAUGCGUCGGAGCCUCCCUUUAGUAAAUUGUGGAAUGUUGGGACCAUCUACUUCAAGUUUUUCACUUAAUAUUGUCGAAAGCAUUUCCUUUUGUAGCUCUUCUAGGCCACCCCCUGUUUCUGAUUUUCUCCUAACAUUUUUUGCAAAGUAUUUUCCAUCAAACUCACCAGAGAAUUGAUCGAAAAUAGCUUCAGCAAGGGUGGUUUUGCCUAUACCACCCAUGCCCCAAAUUCCAACAAUUUGGACAGUAUCCCACAAAUCCAUGCACAGCAAUGGUUUAAUCUGCUCAAUUCGUGAAUUUAAUCCAACCAGGCCAUUGGAUGAGUCCGUUGAGACUGUUAUUUUUUCCAACUUCUUCAAAACAUCUUCGACAAUUUUGUUUACAAGUUGCGCAUCAUGCCUAAUAUGAAGGUGCAAAGAUGCAAAAACAUUGAGUCAAAUCGGGCCAACACAGAAACAGAGAUAAGAUGAAUUAGGAAAGAGAGUUACCUGAAUUUUGUGGAUUCGUGGCCAGCUAGAUGGGAUGUUUCUUUCAGUGCAUCCCUCCACUUUUGAACCAUUUCUGGUUUCUCUUUGAGCUGCUGUUCUAGCUUGUAAAAACCGUCCCCAAAAACUCCGGUUUGAUGCCGCACAUCAGAUGGACUUACUUCAUAGAAGACUGGAAUAAUAAUUUGGCCGUUUGUGUUCUUGCAUUCAAGAAUCUUGACAAGUUCAUUUAGGCACCAUUUUGAAGAAGCGUAGUCCUUUGAGAAAAUGACCACCGAAAUUUUUGAACCUUCGAUUGCGUUCAAAAGAGCAGGUGAAAUCUCAUCUCCUCGCCUAAGCUCUUCAUCAUCAAUAAACGUUUUGAUUUUCGUUCUUUCAUUCAAAUUAUAAUAGAGAUGGCAUGUAAAGCUCACGCGAGUGUCCUCUCCUCUGAAACUGAGGAAUACAUCAUAAUUGCAACAAGAAGAAGAGGAAGCCAUGAAGGAAAUUUUAGAAAUUUGGUGACAGAAACAGAGAAUUAAUCUUGAGAGUUGAGAGGGGAUAUGUAAGAAUGAAAAUGCGUAAAUAGUAAAUAAUUGAAUUAAUCUGGCGAGUACAUAGUAAAUAAUUGAAUGGCCGGGGCUUUCUUAGUUUCCUGGAAAUUUCCUGGAGCUUUCGUAUACAUGAUUUGUCAAGUCAAGAAACAUAAUCAUGAUAGGAAAUGGGGCAGACCAGGUAGGAAAGAAAAUUUGAUCCAACCAAUAAAGGAAGGAAAAGUAAAGAAAGAAAAUUUGAAAGUAGAUUCAGAGAAUUAUAAAAAGCUAAAGGAAAUUGGAAUUUUGUACCAUUUCUCCAGCCAGGAACUUUCAUUGUCAUUACCUCACUGUUACAGUUUGGAUUAAGAUUUGACUUUUGAGCAAACAUUCGCCAAAAUUUUACCUCUGCCUGUAAAUUCUUAAGUUUUGAAAAUUAUGAGACCUUUAUAUUGGGAUAUAUUAUAAUCGAAUCAAAACAUAAAAUUUUAAUAUUGUUAAUCUUUAAUCUUUUUUUUAAAAAAUUGAACAACAGAGUAAUUUCUAACAUAGAAAAAGUUGUAUAAUUGUCCAAUUAUUUAUAAUUUUAAAUAAUCCGGAUUGGUUUGUUAGAAAAUCAUCUCUUUGAUUUUUGAGAAUUUUUCAUAAAGAAUAGGGAAUAUAAUGUUCAUAUUUAAAGUAAGUAAGUAACACAUCUCAAUUGUUGAAAUUAUUUUUCCAUUAAAUUCAACGAUGACGAAUUAAAGUCAGAAAAUGACAAAAUCAGUGGUGGCUUGCAAUAAUUGCAAGGUCGCUGGACCCUUGCAAAAUGUGUGAAAGUAAAUAAUUGAAUGCACAGAGCUCGCUUUCUUACUUUCGUUCCGGUUUCCUGGAAAUUUCUUGGAGCUUUCAUAUACAGGAUUUGCCAUGUUAAGAAACAGGGUCAUGAUAAUGGGGCAAACAUUUGAUUGAACCAAUAAAGGAAGGGAAAGCAAAGUAAGGAAAAUUUGAAAUUAUAAGAAGCUAAAGAAACAUCCAACGUCAUUACCUCACUGUUACAAUUUUUAUUGAGAUUUGAGCAAGCACUUACCUAAACAUUACCUCCGCCUGUAAAUUUAUAACUUUUGAAAAUUAUGAGAUCUUAGAUUGCGAGAUAUUAAAAUUUAGAAUUUCAAUAUUAUUAUUCUUUUAAAAUGAAAUUUGAGAUAACAGAGUGAUUGAUAAUAUAGGAGAACUUGACCACGGUAGGCCAAAAAUCUAGGCAAGCACAUGCAUACACAGAAAUGUGAUGGAUUCUGAAAGAAAUUAAAGUAAUAAUGUACGUAGGUCCUUAAAAUAAAAAGCAAAAUCGCUUGGUGGCCCAGUAUAAUAUAUAUAUAUUAUAAUACAAUAUAAUACAAUAUAAAUUCAAUCCUUACCUGAGGCAUGGAUGCACAACGAGUUACCUGCCACGCUGGAGCACCUUGAGGUCAAUUGUUGCUCGAAUCUUGCUUUCUUGUCACGGAAUGGAAAUCUACCUCAGGCUCUUAAGUACCUUCGUGUUGAAGACUGUUCAAAGCUGGAGUCGUUAGCAGAAAGGUUGGACAACACAUCCCUUGAAGAAAUUGAUAUUUCAGGGCUUGAAAAUCUUAAAUCAUUACCUGCCGGUUUGCAUAAUCUCCACGAUCUUCAAAAGAUUUGGAUAUCUGAAUGUCCAAAUCUUGAGUCAUUUCCCGAAGAAGGAUUGCCUUCUACGAAACUGACUCUGCUCACGAUAUGUGAUUGUGAGAAUCUGAAGGCUUUACCCAACUACAUGCACAAUCUCACUUCAUUGAAAACUCUGCGUCUCGGUAAUUGUCCGAAGCUCACAUACUUUCCAGAGCAGGGCCUGCCUAAAUCACUUUUGGAACUAAUUGUCUCUAAUUGCCCGUUGAUAGAAGAAAGGUGCAGAAAGGAUGAAGGAAAAUAUUGGCCCAUGAUUUCCCAUAUACCUUGUGUCCAAAUUAAUUUCAGAUCAGUUUUUAAAGGAAGAUCCAUCAAUUAGAUUGUGUAAUCAUAAUUUCUUUUUUUUUUCCACCUGUAAUUUAAUUGUAAUAUGAACUGACUUUAUCAAUAAAAGAAUAAAAUUAUGUUUAGGAUUGUCAGUGAAGUUGAUAAAGUAAGAAGAGCAGAGGAAAGAAGUAAUAAGAGAAGAAGAAACUCCAGUUCAAGGAGGGAUGUUAGUGAAACUGAUUAAAUGAGAAGGAACAGAGAAAUCGUGUACAUGCUGUUAUUGUGCUCUUGACAGCAGCUAAGCAGCUCACUUAAGCUGACGUGGAUUAGUUAGUUAUUUGGUUUAACAAAUUAUCAUUUUAUAUAUAUAAAUGAUAAAAAAUUGAAUUUAUAUUGUAUUAUAAUAUAUAUAUAUAUUAAACCAAACCAAACUUAUGUUAUAUGGUUUUUUAAAAAAAACUUAUUUUAUAUGGUUAAAAGAAAACCUUAUGUUAUACGGUUUCAAAAAAAUAAACUUAUAUUAUAUGGUUUCUUAUUAAUAAUCACACAAACCUUAAGGACUACCAUUUGUUUUUUGAAAAAAAAAAUUGAAUCUAAAGAUUUUUGAGAAAUGACCCAUUAUAAGUUGAACUUAUAUUAUAUAUAUUUUCUCCUUACAUGGACAACCACAGAAAAGACCGACCAGUUAUCUCCAUGAACUCGUAUAAAUUCAACCAAAAUAACAAUUCCAAUCUUACCAAAUUCUUGAGUUAAAUUUAUUCAAUGCUUUUUUUUUAUAGGAAAUUUUUUCCAAUGCUACUUUUCCUUUUUUGGGGAAAUUAGACCGCGGUAUGUGUAGAAGACAUUGAGGUGUAAAGCGACAUUAAUUUCAUGGGUUAUGCGUUAUAGGCAUAAUAUAUUUUCAGUCCAGAUUCAAUUAUGCAAAGAGGCUUGAGAACUUAAAAUUAACCACAAACUAAACAGACGAAGUAAAUACAUGAUUAUGCAACAUAACAUUAAUUCUCUCAAUUUAUAACUGUUUUUGCUACAUGAAUCUUGCACAGUUAGUCCUAAUUGAAGACUAAAAAAGAACAAUUGGAACAAGGUUUUGGAAUAGAAUGAUAUACAAUCAAUAUGAUCCAUUUCUAGUGGCCAAAGCUAAUUAACUGCAAUUUCUAGACUCCUAAGUAUACUAGUCAUAGGAAACUGUUUAGAAAACUAGUGAUCAGAUUAGAUUUUGAAAAGAAAUAAUGUUCAUUUCCCCUUCUCUACCUUUUUUUUUUUUUGUUUUAUUUUUAUAGCAAAGAAUUAUAUCAUGAAAAGAAUCAAUUUAAUCACCUUUUCCAGCAGCCCAAUUUUUCUUUUAUAAAAUUGGACCACGGAGACAAAGAAGAAUUAUUCAUACCUUCAUCACUAAGGAAAUACUUUUCGGUAUGGCUAAGGUGAGAAAAGGCUUUCCACAAACACUAGUAGUUUGUAUUCCUAUAAAUUUUCUUUGAAGUCAAUAAAAACCAUAAGUUUUUUACAAUAACCAUCUCUUUGAUCAAAAAGUGCCGUAUUCCUUUAGAAUUUAAAACCGGCAAAAACCGAAUCGAUCAGUGUCUUUGAAGAGACAUAAUGGUCGUAAUUCUUUAAAUGAGUUGGCUAUGGAAAUCCUUAUCCAAGAUUCUUUUACGCCAUAUUCUUUCGUAAACCAAAAUUCAUUUUGGAAUACUCCUCGUCCCAACAUACAGAGACAGUCUGUCAUAACUUUAGCCGAAUACUUAUGAUAAUGAUCAUUUGUGAUUUCAUCAGGCAUAGGCAAGAACUUGAACUUGUCUACUACCAACCAAAAGCCGAAAUUCGCCUGCCACCCCCAAUGAUUCCUAAUACUAUUUUAAUACCAAGUUUGAUCACAAGAUAAGAAUCAGAUUUAACACUUUUCCAAGUGUUGUUUCUCAAAGAGAAGUCAUACACAUUUUAUUUUCUACCAGGAACUGUUGUACUAUCUAGCCAAAUGUAAAUUUCCGGUCUUGGUAUUCUCUUACCUCUCUAGUGGAAGGAUUGUAUAUCUUAUAUAAAUAGUUAUUAUAAUUACGCUCCGAGUCUCUCUUUAGUCCUCAAGCACAAUAAGCCAUUACAAGAACCCAAUAUCAAAACCGAUUCAUAAAGCUAACCAUUGCUUUAAUUUGCAAGUUAAAGAAAAAAUCACUUCAGGUUUCAGGGAUACUGUACGUAAAAUCGAGGAAGGUAACUGGAAAACACUUGUAUAUAUGUCAAGCAAACUGCAGGAUUUGUGAUUAUAUGUGUAAAAUAGAUAAGACUGAUAAUAUAGCAAUCGCAUAUACAUGCCAAUCCUAGUGGAGUAAAAGCUCUAUUGCCACUAGAAUUCUGUUCGUGGAAUUUGUUCUCAAAUUUCAACCGUAUGUAAAGUUUGAACUCUAAUUGCUUAUAAUGUAUUGAUUAAGAAUAAUCCUAAGAGUUCCUGAUUGAAAUUUUUUAAUGACUUUUUUAUUGUUUUGGAUAUACAAAUUGCAUUAAGAAAAAAUAUUGUCAAUUUCAGAGGAUAACGGGAAAUGAUUAUGCUUCAAAAGGCCAGAGAUUAGAGAAUAAAGAAGCAUUCAUUACUGAUAUACAAAAGAGAAACACUCCAAAAUUGCUAGCAAACUAGUUUCAUUUACUAUUUGGAUUUUGGAAGGGGUGAAGUUUUGAGCUUCAGUUGUUCCUCUAAAAUCAAAAGUAGCAAUUAAGCGUUCUCAUUUAGAAAGAGCAAAGAAGACUUAUUCGUACCUUACUAAAGCUAACAUUAUGGCAUGGUUGUUCAUAUAUAACGGCUGCUCUGUUAUGCUAGCUUCUCUGUUUUUUUUUUUUUUAUAUUACAUGAGACUAUUGCUCAAAUUACAACUCAUAUUACAUGAGAGUAUAACUGAUAUUUACAAAUCAAACUAUCACUGGGACCAAUUUACAUCAAUGCUAAUGGAACUCUGCCCAGAUUUUAACCCUCACAAAUAUUCGAGGGAUGUCUACUCCUUACUUUUAGGUAAGGGAGAAGACUACCUUCACUCAAUUUUAAUUGAGGAAGAAAAUAACCCCACAAUGCAUUUGCUUCUAUUUUUGCUUGCAGUUUUGAACAUAAAUUCUUGCUCAAAUAACCCAUAAUUAAAUAACACUAAUAUGGCUCGUGAAAUCCCAUAAUAGCUAAUUACGCAACUUUCUCCUCCUCCUCAAUUCUGUCUUCCCCUGCUCGUACACUAAAUUCAAAAUUCAAUGCCCCUAAAAACAACACAAGAAAUCUUUGAGAUAAUUCAUGACCAGUUUAUACAUAGUAGCAAUUGAAAAAGGAAAAAGAAUGAAAGAGUUAAUUAUUAUUCAGACCUUCACGUAUUCGGAAGUUUGUUCUGCUAUUGGGUGAGAUCAAGCUCUCAGCAUAUACUUCCAUAUGAUACUUUCCAACAUUUUCUUGAAAGCCAUCAAUCAUAAAAUCUUCAUACUUUUUUUCAUCCUUUGGAUCAAUAAGUACAAAUUUCUCGUCUAAAACAUACAAAAUAAAAUCAUUGUCCUUCUUGGAACAUAAUGGCUGCAAUGCCUGAAUUGAAUUGGCUAAUGAAAUUUAAGUCCAGGAUUCUCUCAGCCCAUAUUCUUUCAUAAUCCAAAAUUCUUUCGACCAUAAUGUUGACUCUGAGAUUAAACAAAGGCAAUUUCCUAUAAUUGAAUAUGAAUAUUUGGAAUGAUAUGGGCAAACAUUUUUCAGGUAAGGCUAAGAAUUUGAACUUGUCUUUUGCCAAAACAAAUGCCGCAAUCAUGUAAUCAGAAUUGAGCUUACAAAAACCGAAGUGGACAGUUCCAUUGAGAUUGGUCACCCGAGAACAAUGAUGAAAAAACUUAAAAUCAGUUUCAAAGGUGUUCCAAAGUAUUUUUCCUUAAAGAGAAGACAUGCACACCUACUACUACUUUGGCAUUUCUAUAAGAGUGAGAAAACCCUAAAACCUUGAACUCAUCUAUUGAUUGAGCAUAACCUAAGCUAACUAACGGUGUAUCUCUAUUAGUGAAGGGUUCAUAGUCGUUUGGUAUUCUCUUGAACUCUCUAGUUGAACAAUUGUAUAUAAAUAAAGUUUCAGUUGCAGUUUCAUCUCGGAGGGAUAAGCACAACAAAGCAUUACAAGGGCAGCAUAUCCUAAGACAAUCAAAAGAGCUUUCUUUAAUUGGAAAAUCAAACUGAUCUUCCGUAAUAAUUUUGCUAUCGAGGUCUAUACGGAGAAGAGAGUUUCUUACCAAGCUCUUGACCAUAUCAACAAGAACCAGCGUUUGUCCUUGUUGGUUUUUAGUUUGGUUGAUCUUGACGAACCGAGGAUUAGUAAUUAAGGCCCUGAAUGACUUGGAUAAACACUUGAAUAGGCAGAGAGACUUGGCGGGGAGUUUUGCAAACACAUCGACGAUGAUAUCUGGAGGAAGAGCCACAUUGCUUCUUCACCAAGUUAAGCAAAGACUUUAGGGUUUCUUGAUCUCAAUUUGGUAGCCGUGAUGUUUGUAAAGAGCAGUCAUUCGCAUAAAAACUAUUAAAUAUAUUAUUUUUUUAUUCUAAAACAAUAUCAAAGCAUUUUUUAAAUACUGCUCCGUUAAUUUUGAAGUAAAGUUUUUGGGCUCCUUUCAAAAUAUUUUGCCUCUACUCCCAAAUGGGGGUUUUUAAUUAAAUACCCUUUAAUAGUUUUAAAAUUAUUUAAAUACCCCAUCCUUUUUUAGUUUUCAUGGAUACCCUAACAAAUGUGAGUAAAGUCAGAAAUACCCUUAAUGAAUGCAUCAAAUUCACUCAAUGAAUUGUCUUCAUAUUUCUUUCCUCAUUUCUUUCACCCAAAUCUAUUUUUGCUGCCGAUUCUCUCAAAGUCUCUUAGAAUCUCUCAAAAUCUCUCAUAACUUCUUACACAAAUACAAUUAUGUAUUCAUUUCUUUAACACCCACUCUUUCUUUAAAGGUGCAUUGCUUAUUAAACAACCCAAUAAGAGAUGUUAAUGUUGUUAGGUUUUAAAUUUUUUAAUUUUUAGGAAAAUUUAGAAAUUUUCCUCACAUUACAAUGUUUUAUUUUCACCAUUUUUUCUUAUAUGUAGAAAUUUAUGCAAUGUAGGUUGUUUGAUUAUUUUUUUCAGCAAUAUAGCUUAUUUAUGGCGAAAAUGUUUCGCGUUAUGCAUUCUUUUGAUAUCGUGUACGUCAUAUAGUUAGUCAUAUAGGUCAUGUAAAUAAUAUAGUCGUGUAAGUCGUGUAGGUCAUGUAAGAAAUAUAGUCAUGUAAGUCGUGUAAGUAAUAGAGUCGUGUAGGUCGUGUAGUUACUUGUAUAUGAAAUUUGAUAUUAUUAUUUUUAUUGUAUCAUCAGAUAUGGGAAGUGGCUCGUUCUCACUUCGAGGGGAGGUGUUAUGGGAUUAUGACAACUAACAUUGCAGAAAGUAUGAAUUCUCUCUUGAAAGAAGCACGAACCUUGCCUAUUCAUAAGUUAAUGGAUUGUAUCAUUGACAAAUUACAAGAAUAGUUUGCAAAAAGGCGAGAUAUGGAAAUGGAUGCAUGUACUCUAAUUUGUUGCAUUAUGAAAUAACUAAAUUUUUUUACAUUCCAAUUUAAUUUCACUUCUUUGUUUUUAUAAUUUCAGUUGACAUUUUCUACAUAGCAGCAAAUAUAAAUUCUUAGCACCAAUUAAGUCUUUAAAGAACUAAAUUAAUCUAAUGAUUAUUGGAAAAAGUCGUGUAAUACAAGAAGUCGUGUAAUACAUGAAGGUGGUGUAAUCGCAUAAUAUAUGAAGGUCGUGUAAUACACGAAUAUAUUACAUGACCUUACACAACCAAAUCGUGUGUUCAUAAAUUACAGCAAAAAAAUAAAUUUGCAUAUUCGACAGUUUGAGAAAUGAUUAGAUUAAUUAUUAUAAACAAACAAAGUUAUUAGUUUACAAUGUCAAUAUUUGGAUAGGAUACACUAAUGGGCAUCGCAAUUAAACAAAUUACAACCAUUUAAAAAGUUUUUUUUAUCUUCAAACUGUUUUCUUCCUCUGCCCAAGCAUACAUGAGGAAUGUCUGCAAAUAAUAAAUUCAUGAAAUCAAUUAGAAACAACUCUUAAUCAAAGGCUGCUUGAAAAAACCACUUUAGUUAAUUCUUCCUAUUAAUAGCCCAGGACCAUUGAUAGUGAUGGCCUAUAAAAUUUCAUUUUACUAAAUCAAACUAUUCCACCAGCAAUGACUUCAUUUAAAAAAACAAUACUCACAUGUUAGUUGUUCUCCGAAAGUAAUGACUGGUCAUAGAAAAGUCUUUCAGCAAGUUGCUUUCAUGAAGGUCGUGUAAUUGCAAUACAUGAAGGUCGUGUAAUCGUGCAAUACAUUAAGGUCGUGUAAUCGUGCAAUACAUGAAGGUCGUGUAAUACACAGCCUUAAAUCCUACAUAACCUUACACGACCAAAUCAUGUGUUACAUGACAAAAUUAUAAUCGGCACAAUCCAUCAAAUUUUCACAAUUUGCAUGCAGCAAGACAACUAGAAAUUUAUUUUUGAACAUGUAAUGAGAGACCCGCAACUAAUUAAUCUAUAUUUUCUAUAGAAACCCUAACUUUUUGUUUUUUUUCCCCGAAUAUCAACAAGAAAACUAAUUAUAGGGAAUUGCUUACCUCAACUAGUUACAUUAUGACCAUUUUAUAGUAAAAGAUCAACUCUCACCGAUGAUUAUGUAGCGACAAACUAGGCUUCUCUUUCUCAGUUGUGGCAGCUUCUCCUUCUCAGGCUCAGUUUGCUCGUGUUGAAGUUCGAUUUAGCAUGUAUGGAAAAUGAAUAUUUGUUUCGGUAGAGGUGAUGCCGGUGAGGGAAUUGCAGAUGUGAUGCUGGUUGAUAUUUGAUUUAACAUGUAUGAGAAUGGAGGAUGAGUGUUUGUUUGUUUGAGUAAAGGUAAUGAAAGGAAUUGCAGCAGAUAUGAGUGUUUGUUUACUUCAGUAGAGGGGGGAGAGGUGUUGUCCGUUGAGUUGAAAUGUUUUAAAAUGAGGAUAACUUAGUAAUUUCCUAUCAAUUUUUAAAAGAUAUUGAUGAAAAUUUUGACAAAAUCAAAUUUUAAGGUAUUGAGAUAAUUUUUGAAGUAUGGAGGUGUACUUGCCGCAAUUAACUUUCCCAAAUGCCCAGCUAAAUACCCAAUGAAUAGCUCCGCCUCGAAUAUCAGAUGAAUAUCUCCAAUGAAAAUCACGUUCAACUCUUUUUUUUUUUUUUUUCCUCCCCAAGAGCUGGUUUUCACAGAGAAAACGUCUACAAUUUUUUCACAAAAACCAAAUUUCACAAUUUUGUAGUCAUCAAUUUGCUCAGCAUAACAAAACCCAUAUAAACUUUUCACUAUUUUACAUAUAGUAUAAUAUAACUCUUCUCCUCAGUCCUCAGUUCCCUCUUAUGAGAAAACUAAAAUUCACGUCUCCUUCUUCGAUAACAAAUUCACGUUAAAACCCUCAAAAACAACAAGACUUGCCAAUAUUUUAUAAUAAAGAAGAGAGAAACAAUGCCUUCAUAUCCUCGAAGUAAAUGAGAACUUGCAAUAAUUAAAGUAAGUAGUAACAUACGGUUUGCGACCCUGUUGAUGAUAGGCGUCUAGGCUAGCAAGUGGCUUUAGUAUGUAAAACUAUCUAGAAUCAAAAUCUAUGUACAUUCGAUAAGCGGGUCGGUCAGCAGAGUAGUAACCUUGGAUCAGGGUAUCAACUUGGAAACCAAAUUUCUUGUAAAGAUUCACAGCGGGAGUUCUCAAAGGAUCAACAUGAAGCGUUAUGCGGAGCACAGUUCUGGUUCUGCAUUUCUUAAUUGUUGCUUCCAGCAGUGCCUCUCCGUGACCUUGUCCCCGAUAAUUCUCCUUCACUAAUUAAGUUCACCCCAAAACCCAUUAAUUUCAUGUCAAUUAAAAAAAGAAAAGAAAAUGAAUAACUAACAAAUAUUUCUUUGAGGACUUUUAUCAAACAGUUGAGAUUACGGGCAUGCAGUGGAAAUUUCAACAAUGUGGACAAAGAUAUGGGACCUGCAAGCUUGGUGAUAGAAGCAGACAAGGAAGUAGGCCACGCGUACAUGACGUAGCCAACGACUUGUCCAUGAAUAUGAAUGUAAAGCAGGCCUGAGUUCUUCUUUUUCAGCUCUUCAUCAAAAGAUCUUGCCAGUGAUUCGUGCUUGGGAAAAAUCUUCUUCUCCAUCUUCACAAUCUCGUCCACUACGACAGUCCAGUUCGUUGAGUUUCUCUGCAGCUCCGUGACGGUUCCAUUACUCCCCAUGGCACGUGGCUUGUUGCGACUUACAGUUGAUCCAGCACGUACAGAAAAUUAGAAAUGAAGCCUCCUAGCAUUCUUUCGAACAGGCAAAAAAGUCAAUGGACAUGGAGGCGCCAUGUGUGGAAAUGUUAAGAGGAUGAUGAAGCCCCCAAGAGGCCAGCGUGGCGUGGCAUUGCACCUCAUCAUUUUUUUAAUGCUAAUCUGUAGAGCGGCCCAAAAUGACGGCACAAUAUAUAGCUGGCAAAGCCCACCCAAGCCCAACUAUUUGGGCCAACAUAUCAUAAAUUAAAACAAAUAUAAAAUGCACUGUACAGCGCAGACAAAGAUGCUUUGUGCAGAGAUGUGUUUUCUUUAUGGGUCCAAUUAUAUUGGUACCGCUCUAAGGUAGAGUAUCAUUUCAUAACUACAUUAUCAAAAUCAUAAUUAUUUUUUUAUUAUUUAUUACUUUGCGUGUGUGACUGAGAUUCGUGAUCCAUCAUAGAUCAGCUCCAACGUAACAGAAGCCUUCUUUUAUUGCUCAUCAUCUUUAGCAAACAUUCAUUGGCUUUGGAUGUUGCUACAAUUUAUUUUGCAUAAUUGAAAAGUAUAGUAGAUGUGCAUAAUGUUAGAAAUUUUAUUAUAAUAUAACAAAAUACGUAAUAACUUAUACUAAGAUGUUAAGAAUUCAUUGUGCCAAAUUCCUAUAUUUGUCUAUAAUAAAUCAAAAUUUCAAAAUAUAAAAUAUGGAUAAAAUUAAAUAGAAAAUGAUUCAAUUUAUAAAAUUAAAAAUGAAAUUUGAUUAAAUCAUAUUUCUAAGUAUGAAUAUUUAGUUAAACAUUUUUGAAAUAAAGAAAAUUAUUAAAAUUGAAAAAACAAAUAAUUAAAAAAUAGAAUUUUAAAAUUGAAAUAAAACUAAUUUUAUUGAUUGAUAAUAUAUUACAAAGAGAGAUGAGAAAAAUAAAUUGAGGUGAAAGAAGAGAAGAGAAGGUGUGUAGAGAUGUGUUCCACCCUCUUCUAUUUAUACUAAUACAUGGUUAAUCCAGACUACGCAAAUAAAUAAAACUAAUUACACCUUAACCGUAUAUUUGUCACACUGAUAAAACACAAACUUAACUUAAUCCACUAAUGCAUAUCCAACACAUUCCGUUAACAAUUACCAUAAAGUAGUGUACUAGGGUAUAUACAUAAUCAUUUUACAUAACUAUACGCUGAAUGUAAUACAUCAGCAAACUUGGAAAUCAUACAUUCAUUACAAAACUGCACCAUAUAAUACCCAGAGGAAAUAAGUCUCAAUACUUACCGAGAUCAUCAUCGCAUGAAUAGAGGAUAGAAAACCUUUCAAUACCUAACAAAACUUAACUACAUCAUACAGGUAAAGUAAUUUAACUCUCAAUACACAAUGCACAUAGCUUAUAAAGAAGACUACAUAUAUGAUGAUUGGCAAUCACAUAUCAUGACUCAAUUAAAUAUAUAAUACGUGUAUAUAAAAUCAUAACAUGAUAUUAAAUCAUAUUAUCAAUCAUAAAUGCUUCAUAGAAUACAUAAUGGUAAUAAUUGUCUCUACUCACAGAUUUUGUUUCACUCGUGGGUUCGUUGGGGCUCCUGUGGGUUUCUAAAUUCUUGAAAUUCUCAUAAAAUGCAGGAUUCAAAAAUUAACUGUUAGAACUGAUAUAAAAAUUAAUACGUACGAUGUAAAUUAAAUCAUAAUUUCUUAUAUUUCACAAAUCUAUUACCCACUGACUCACUUAAUAUAGAUCUAACUGUCCAAUUCUAUUUCUUAUAAUAUUUCUCUCAAUUCCACUUUUCAAAUUCUUUUCCACUCACAACUUUUUAAUUUUCUUUUUCACUCUUUUCUUUCUUUUCCUCAUUUCCCACUCUCGGCUUCUUUCUUUUCUUUUUCUUCUCUUUUAUCUUCUCUACUUUCUUAUUUCUCUCAUGUUUCCUUUAUUCAUUCUCAGUGCUCAAAUUUGAUAAAAUGAAGCAGUGUCAAAAUUUUGCAUUUAUAUAGCCACCAAACAGCCACCGAAUUGAAGCAAGUAGCUCUCACUUUUUAAAUAUAUGUAGGCACCACUUGAAGCAAGUGAAUAUGUAGCUAGCUGCUUCCAAUUGCCUGCACUUGUGCUAUAUAAUUGUAAAAUUGGACUUGGGUUUGAGAGGCCUCUUCAAUGCUUUCUAUUCUCCCGUAAUUAUUGUUAUUAGAAUAUUCCAACCUAGCCUACGUACAACUGCAUUCUUCACUCGUGCUCAUCGUAGGCCUCUUUCAGCCAAUGGUUAAUACUAAAAAACUUAUCACCCAUAUAAUUUUUUAAUUUGUGUGUAGGGUAAUAAUAAAAUUGAAAAUAAUUAAAAAAUAGCACAAUAAUGAGUUUUCACAAUAAAACAAAUCAAAUGAAAAUUGAAAAUUUAGAAAAGUGUAUCUAAAAAAAAGGAGCAUUUUUGGAAAUAAAAUGAAUAUAACUAAAAAGGGGCUUUUAUGAGAAGAUCAUAGGGGUGUCAAUAGUCCAACUCUUAUAUUUAAAGUUAUUUUGACUUUGUAUUUCCGAUGAUAUAUUUAUUAGGUAAUUUUUAAUUGAGUCAUUAUUUGUAGAAAAUUUUUCUGAGACCAGAAGUUUAUAAAAUGAAUCAAUUAAAUCCCUCUAAGUAUAAAUUUAUGUCAUUCAAGUCUUUAACUUAAUUUCUUCGUUAAAAUUAUUAACAACAUCAAGGACAUUUUAGUUAAAAAACAAUUAAGCACCUUCUCAUUCUUUAUUUUUGACAGCCAACAAUAGUUUAAAGUAAACUCAAGUAACCUAAAUUAAUGUUCUUUAAAAAAAAAGAAAAAAGAAAGAAAGAAAAGGUUAGUUAAUGUGUAGGCAAGCAAUAUCACUUCAUCAACUGCACAGAUAUGAUUUCUUUUCAAGCAAGUGGAUUUCUUUUAUAUAUAUUCAUCAUGUUAUCAAAUGAAUUAAUAAAUUGGUGAUCCUAGUGAUGUGUAUGGAACCAAUAGGAUAUCACUAGCUAUACAUGUUUGAUUUGAUUGUGAAAUCCUAUUGAUUAAUUGUUUUUAAUAAAAAGAAAUUGAAGUCUCUUUUUUCUUUUUUCAUUUUUGGACGGCAUGGAAUUAGCCCACAAUCUCAAUAACUAGAUGUCAAUGAAUAAGCAAUUGACAAUAAUUCUAAACAUGCGAAUUAGACUUCAAUCAAUGUCACUCAACCUGUGGGACAACAUACACAACUUUUAUGGGCUGUAUCUCAACCUCAAAAUGAAGAACCAAUGUUAUUGACAAUGAGUAGAAUAGUACAAUAUUCACCUUGAGCUGGCAUUUAAUUCUCCAAAAUAGAAUCUAGAAGACAAUUAACUAUUUCUUGUACUUGAAUUUCAGUUUACCAUAAUGUUGUCAAGGUGUUUCUUAGUUUCAAUUUAAUUGACCUUCAUACUUUUAGUUUUAUUUUUAGACCGAAUGUUAUUGUGGUUUUUCUAAUAUUAUAUUCAAUACAUGUUAUUUAGUUUAACAAUCAUCGUAUAUUUUAUAAAUGUGACGGAAUUACAUUUUCAUGUGUAAUUCCAAGAGUUAUUAUGGUUAUGUUUUUUAGUGGUGCUCUCUUUAUUCGAAUUAGUUUAAAAACUAAAGAUUUUGUUUAAAUUGUUGCAGAAAUUUGUUCCCGAUUACUCAAAUUGGUAAAUAGGCUAUUAGGCUCUGAAAAAAAAAUUAAUGCAUAAGGGUAAAAUUGUACUUUAAAUCACUAAUAUGAUAUAUAUGGGAAUAUAGUUAUCUUUUUAUGUUUAAAUUAACGUUUUCACUAACUUUUAUGGCCAAAGAAUUAGGUGAAGAAUCUGAAAGACAUAAAUUUGUAUUUAAAAGGAUUUAAUUGAUUCAUUUUAUAAACUUUUGGUCUUUGAAUUUUUUUUCUAUAAAUAAUAAUGACUCAAUUAAAGAUCAUCCUAUUUAUUAUUGGCUGUUUAAAAAAACAAAAGAGAUGACUAGAGUUUAUCACUUUGACUAUAACGUGGGUCAUAUUGGUAGUUGCCAUGAUGGCAUGUCGAAUUUGGGAUGAUACGUUGAGGACUUGAGGUUGGAUUUCUUUCAGCUUAAAAAAAAAAAAAGUAUGCGGCCAAAAUUUUGCUUAAAAGGUUAAAUGUACCCCUGUCAAAGGACCAUCUCACCUCUGACCAUUUAACUUCUACCGUUAAAUCUGGUAUAUUUAACUAGUUUUGACCUAUGCAAUGAUUUUUUCUUGCAAGUUGUGUCAUGUGUGGAAGGGUAAAUUUGUUUUUUUUUGGGUGAACUUGUUCUUUUCUUAAAAGUUUCGGGGCUAUAAGUCUCUUAACUUAAAGUUAUAAUUAUAAUUGCACUAAUGAUACAAUAAAUUUUUGAUAAAUAAAUAUUUAAGAAAUUAAUAACUUUGGGUAAAUAACACACUUCUCCCGCCCCAACUUGCACUAUUUAAAUUAAUAAUUUCAUUUAAUGCAUAUGAUAAUAUUUUUUUUAAAUCCAUUAAGGCCCAAUGAAAAUAUAAAUUAAUAAUUAAUUAAAUAUAAAAAUUCAUAACUACUAAAAUAUAAAUUUGUAACAUUAAAGAAUUCUGUUUUUCUUACAACUUCAAUCAUCUAAAUUAAACUCUUUGCAAAUAAAUGCAUAUAGAGUUGUUUGCUUUUUUUUUUAAUAUUUAUUCCUAAAUUGAAUUCAAUCUCCUCUCUUAAUUUUUUUUUUUUUUUUUGUAGAGCAUGCACCACAUUUAUAACUUUUUUUUUCAUGUUUUAGAAAGUAGUUACUUAAUAUUAUUAUUGCUUGAAAGACCUCUUUUGCAGAAAUAUUUGGCAAACACAAUUAUCAUAUGAAUCGUAAUUGUCAUCAGCAUAGUUAUCUAAUACCCUUUUAAUAAUCUGGUUGAAUUAGUGAGUGAUUCCAUCACUACAGCUAUGCUAUUAAAUAUAGUAGUCAUCAGAGGAGAUAUUGUUGACAUGAGGAAGUACGAUAUGUGUUUAUACAUAAGUAAAAAUAUUGAUAAAACUCUUCCUAAAAACAAAAUAACAAAAUUAUGUUUCUAAAUUAAUAAAUAUUCAUUGAUCAAUAAAUUAAUAAAUUAUUAAAAUUUAUAAAUAAAUAAAUUCUCUAAAAUGAUAUUUUUUUCUUAGUCCUAGCAAGUAGCAAUAUUAUUUUAUAGAGGUUUUAUUUUAGUAAUAGCAAUAGUAUAAUUAUAAUUAUUAUUAUCAUUAUAUAUAAUAAUUAGUUAUAAUAUUUACUAUUAUGAUAGUUAUCAUUAUAAUUGUUAUUAUAAUUGUUAAUUAUCACUAUCAUUAUUAUUAGUUAUUUUACUAUUUAUUAUUAUCGUUAGCAUAGUAGUAAGAUAUUAUGUCGCUAUUAUUAUUACUAUUAAUUUUUUUAUUUUGUAAAUGGGGCAAAUUUCAAAUUUUAAAAACUAUAAGAAGAAUUUCAUUAUUUCCACUAGUUUCAUUCUCAUAUAUAUAGAUACACACACAUAAAGAAAUACGAUCAAUUAUUCACAUUUCUCUAUCCCACGAAUAAAUACUGUAAAUUAUUAUUUUUUAAAAGAAAAAUAUCAAAACGGUGUGGGUCCCAGCAUAAGCCUUCUAACCUACCUUCUCCCUGUAGAAAAAAAAGAAAAGAAAGAAAAACUCAACUUUUAGGAAAAUGUUUUGGAAAAUGAGAUUCUUCCCACGUUAAGCACCACAAUAAGCACCAAACGGUGCGUUUUGGGCAUAGUAUAAAAUGAGCCAACUCACGUGAUACACACAUAGCCACCAGUAAACACGCGCAGUAGAUCUCACGCGAUAUACACCUUUUCUCCAUUUGCUCUCACAAAAAUCUCACCGUUUCUCUCGCUGUGUCUCUCUUUGAUCUCCAUUCUCAAACUUUCUCAGGCAGUGGUGCUCGGCGUUGGUCUCUGGCCGUGGGUUUCCGGCUGUGGGUCUCCGGCCGUGGGUCUCUCACCGCUGGUCUCUCACCGUGGGUCUGCUCUCUCUCUUCUCUAUCAUCUCUAUUCUCAAACUUUCUUAGGCAGUGGUGCUCGGCGUUGGUCUCUCACCGUGGGUCUGCUCUCUCUCUUCUCUACCGUCUCUGUUCUCUCGAAUUGUAUAGGUAAUGGCAAAUUUCCGUGAGUUGAUUUUUAAUUUUUGAAAAUCCAGUUGAUAUUGUGAGCUUAAUUACACUUGGAUUGAUGUUGUAGUCGAAUUGUAUAGGUAAUGGCAAAUUUCCGUGAGUUGAUUUUUAAUUUUUGAAAAUCCAGUUGAUAUUGUGAGCAAAUGAGACAAUUAUUUUCAAUAGUCUUAGGAGAUGGCCUUGUGCUGGAGAUGGGAUUUUGAUAGCCUUAAGAGAUGGUCUUGUGCUGGAGAUGUCAUUUUGAUAGUUAUUUACAUGCAGUUUCUUGGUUACAAUUGGCAAUCCGUUAUAUCCUUUGAACUUGACUACUACAAAUAUUCCAAUUGAUGGAUGAGUUGAUUAUUCUUGUGUUCCUCUUAGACAUUUUUGAAAUGAGUGGCAAACAGACCAUAUUUUUCUUCUUUUUGUUUUCUUUGUAAUUGAAAUUGAAUAAUUUUAUUUGAGCUGAAUGAAAUUAGUGUAGACUUUUUGUUGUACUUUUGAGAUGAAUGCAGUAAGAUGUAUUUCUUUUUUUUUGGGGGAGAAAAAAAGAAAAUUAGACCUAGCACAUACUUAUGUAUUUCUUUUUUUUUGUCUUUGCCUAGGUGAAGUUGAAUUGGUGGUCAUUAGCAUAAAGAUGCAAUUGGUAAUUUUGAAGUUGGUUCAGUAAGCUGGUUUUUAAUAAAUUGACUACCAUUUUUUCUUUCUGGAAGGAAUCUGGGUUGUUGUGUAUAUUGAACAGAAUUUGUUCAAUCAUUAUGUCUUCAAGCACAAGCGAAAUGCAAACACAACUAAAAGCUUGUGAUAAAUGCUGCAACAACAAUAAGGUCUUGCAAACUUCACGUACAAAAGAAAAUCCGAAUCGUAGGUUUUGGAAGUGCAAAGGAUGUGGGGCUUUUGAAUGGGAUGAUGAUUGGAAGAGCAGUGAAUGUACUGAUUUUAGAGGGAUGGAAGAUCGUAUUAUAAAUUAGAAUAAAAUUGAGAUGUUGAUAGCAGAAGUCCGCAAGUUGGGCCAUCAAAUCGAAUGCUUAUCUCUUAAAUUUCAGUUGCUUGAGCAAGAACUUCAACGAAGACAACAACCAAGUGUUCUUGUAACAUACAUCCCGCAAAUAAUGAUAACUCUUUUAAUAUGUAUUAUAUUUAAGUUGUGCAAUUAAUUAAUGUAUUGUUAUUUUUCUUUUUCUUUUUGGCGAAUUGUAUCAUGAAUGCUUCAGUGGAUGUAAACAAAAACUAAUGUUUCUGUAAAGGGCAGGAAAGAUUAUGCUUAUGAUUGUUGCUGUCAUUUUAAUUUGCCUUAUCAUUUGCAUCUUUCUGUCAUUUGAUCCCCAUAACUAGUUUGUAAGGGAAUUGUUCCAUGCUUUUUCACAAAAUAUAGAUAAUUGCUGCACAUUAAAAACACAUUUAUUCUUUAGGAAAUAAUUAAAGAAUAACAAAUCUGCAGUUACAGAGGAUCAAUUCCAAUAGCAUACAAUUAAAAAAUAACAUAAUAUCAUUUAUCUCUCCACCAUUUCAGUAGCACACAAUCAAAGAAUAACAUAUUUGCAGCAUCUCCUCAAUUCCAAUAGCAUACAAUUAAAAAAUAUCAGAAUAUCAUAUAUCCUCUCACCAUUCCAGUAGCACACAAUUAAAGAAUAACACAUGCAGCAUAUCCCUCCACCAUUCCACCAGCAUAUAAUUCAAAAAUAACACAUGCAGCAUAUCCCUCCACCAUUCCACCAGCAUAUAAUUCAAAAAUAAAACAUGCAGCAUAUCCCUCCACCAUUCCACCAACAUAUAAUUCAAAAAUAACACAUGUAGCAUAUCCCUCCACCAUUCCAAUCCAAUAGCACACGGCCAAAUAAUAACACAGCUGCAGCAUAUAAAUCUAAUAAAGGAUCAUGCAUAGAUAAAAAACAAUUUCAUGUAUGAAAUCCACAAUCUUACAUAUCAUAGCCAAGGGCUUGUAUCCGAAUAUUAAUGAGAAUAAAACAAAAACAAUGCUAUUCUAGGAAAUCACUUCGAAACUCCUUAUCAACUUCAUAUUCACUAUCUUGCUGAAAGAGUAGCUGCUGAAAAUGUCCAUGCGGCUGGAAUUGUGGUUCCUAUUAAAAAUAAAUAAAUAUUUUGUUAUAAUAAAAGAAAAUAAAGUAGAUAAGAUGAAUAAAUACUAAAUUUAUCACCACUUACCGUACAAGAAUUUUGUGUAGGUGUUGGAUAAACAUUAUCCCCAACCAUAUGAUGUAAGCUCAUAAGACCCUAAAACAAACAUACAUUAAAUGAAGCGAUAAUAAAAAAAAUUCAUAACAUAUACUAUGAAAAACUUACAUUACAAUAGUCCAUAACUCCAUGUGGGUACAUAUUCAUAUCAACACAACUUCCUUCAGGAUUUUGAAAUGCCUAUAGAGGAUCAAUAAUAUAUUAGAAAAAUGUCUAUGAUUAAGUAAUAAAAAUCAACGACAUGCAUAUGAAUUCCAUAAAACCUACCGUAACAACAUUGUUCUCGUGUGUUGGGAUCACAGUCAGCACUUGCUCGUUCACCUGUCCAUCCUGCAAAGUCAACAAAACAUACAUUUGAACAUCAUUUAUCUCAUAAAUUUUUUAACUUUAAUUAAAUUGAAAAUACAUUUUAAAAGUACCUUUGCAUUAGAACGUGAGGAAUUCAUUUUAGAUUUUGAAAAUUUAUUAUAUUUUUUUCUUUGACAAGGUGGCCGACCUUUACGACGCCGAGCUACUGGAUCUCUAACUGUUUCUACUUCCACACUACAACUUCCUUGGCCUGUAACAAUAGUUACUUCAUUAUCUCCGCAAGGAAUUGCCUUUGAUCAAUCCUCCCGUACAUUCUCAAUCCAAUUGAAAACAAGAUUAGAGCUUUCAAUCUUAUGUGCAGCCAUAUUCGCAACCUCCGCGAAAGUAGCACACAUUUUCUCAUAUCGUUUUUGCUCAUCCGUACAGCUAUGAAGCUCAUAACUCGCUUUCACUCUACUAUGGCAUCUCCACACAUCUUUUCUCCAUCUUCGUAAAAUAUACUUUUCUGGAAGUACUUCUACGUCAUUGCGGAUCAUGAUUGUAAUGGCAUGCCUACAAAGAAUACCUCUAAAUUGGAACCUUGAGCAGCUGCAACGUAUUUCACCAUUUUCUUUUUCAAAAUAUACUUCAAAAAAGGUUCUCUUUUUACCCUCUCCAACUUUGACAUCCUCUCUAACUAUAUAUUCACAACCCAUAGAAUUGACAAAUUCGCAAUACAUUUUCCCAAUCAAUUCUUGCUGAAAUUCUUGAAAUUUUGAAAUAGUGUACACAUCUCGGACUUGCCUCUCCAUUGCAUAAGAUGUUACACGUGGCAUUUGUUGGGAAAGACACCUGACAUCUUCUUCAACUUCCUUCUGAACUUUAUUCUUCAACGCACAACUGUAUUGCUCUACAAACUGCUUCAAAGUAGUCUUUAAGUUAACAUAACCAUCAAAAAAUGCAUUCAUACUUUCACUGCGUUGAGUAGAUUACAUUCCUGCCCAAAAAGUAUUGUUUAGAUAACAAGGUACCCAAUGAUGCCUCUCAUCAUAUAAGCCUCGUAACCAUUCGUUAUCCCCCAAAUCAUAUUCUAUAAUCAUGUGGUGCUAAGUUUCCUCAAAUUUUGCAGCACUCUGGGAAUCAUAAACAGCACAAUGCAAGACAUUACUUAUGUUGCGAUAUUCUUUAUAACCCCCUAGCUUCUCUGGAAUUUUCUUCAUUAUAUGUCAUAAACACCACCGAUGUCGAGUAUUGGGGAAGACAUUCUGAAUUGCAACUUUCAUUGCCCUGUCUUGAUCUGUAAUGAUUCCAUUGGGAGCUGAAUUAGACAUGCAGGAUAGCCAUGUUCGAAAUAACCACGUGAAUGUCUCAAUAUCUUCGUGUGAAAUCAAUCCACACCCAAACAAAAUAGAAUGCCCAUGAUGAUUAACUCCUACAAAUGGAGCGAACGGCAUAUCAUACUUAUUUGUAAGAUACGUGGUGUCAAAUGUAACAACGUCUCCAAACUCCUUGUACGCUUCCCUAUUCCUUGGUUAUGCCCAAAAAACAUUUUUUAAUCGUCCCUCAUCAUCCACUUGCACACUAAAGUAAAACCUAUUAUCUUCUGCUUGCACUUUCAUAAAAUAGUUUUGAAGAGCAGCAGCAUCUCCAUCUCCAAGCCGUAAUCUUCUUUCUUUCUGAACAUGAUUUCUACAAUCUCUUUCUAUGAAUGUCACAUUUUCAUGACCGCUAGCCUCAAUAACAAGUGAUUGAUAAUUUUUACACAAUCUGAUUCCUGCUCGAUCAUUCACAUCAAGCAUCUUUUUUGCAUAUGUAUUGAGGCUAAGAUUGCACCGAAAAUACUUGGAUUUGGUUGGAGUUAACAGCACAUGGUUGUGUUCAAGAUUUAAGCUUCGAAUUGUCCACUUUCCAUCAUCCCCUAAACCAGCUCUCAAUCUAGCAUUGCAGCUUGUUUUUGCAUUAGGUUGGGGCUUUAAAAUUUUCACAGAUUUGCUUCUUGUUUCACCACUUCUCCCACAAGCAAAAGUCACAUUUCUAAAUAUCCCAUCACUAUCCUUUCUACUAGUUCUCCUCAAAACCGGAAACCCUUUUCUUUUACCGUACUCUUUUAAGUAAAUAAACAAAUCGACAUCACUAUCAAAUGACAUCCCAAUUAUUGGCUCAUCAUCCUCCUCAUUUUUCUCCAACUCUUCAACUUCGAUGUCCUUUUCCAUAUUAUUUAUUUCUACAAAAUUGAAAUAAUUCACAUUGACAAAAUGAAAGUAACAAAAUACAAAUAAUUCAGCACAACCUUACAAAACUAAACUAACUAAUGAUGCAAAUUGUGAACACAAAUUUAAUAUAUACCAGCUGAAUUUGCAGCAUAUAUUUAUUUAUUUCGUGCUUACUAUUAACUUUGUAAUAGACAAUUAAACAAAUAAGUAUGGAAUAAUUUAUGGCAGUGUAAAUUACUAGCUGAAUCUGCAGCAUAUACUAGAUAAAAUGCCGAUCACUGUCUUGAUUUUUUAUUUUUCCAUUUCAUUAAGUAAUUUGUUUAACUUAAUUUAAAUUAAAAUAAUGGGUUGCAAAUUGAAAUUUAAGUGAAAUGGGCUGCUGCCAUUUCCUGCCUUGAGUUGAUAGAAAGGUGCUUACGGUCUACAACAUAUGAUGCGGGUUUUUGCCCAUGCCUUUUUGUUUAUAGAGAUCGACUAGACAAGUUUUUUACAAGACAAUGCGUCAUUGGAGAGGAUGAAAUGGUUUAGGCUCCUAAGGGCUGCAUUCUUUUUUUUUUUUUCUUUUUCAAUGAAAUUAAAAAAAAAAAGUAUAUCCUGGAUCGCAAUUAGUGCGUCUACGAUUUAACUAGUCGUCUUGAACAAAGAUUCUAUAACUCCUAAUCUGUAGCAUAUACGCAUCCAAUGCAUACCUGCAGAAAUUGAUUGCCGCAAUCGACGAUGAGUGAAGUCAGUCACCAAGAUGCAACUCAAUUCUUCACACAGCUAAGAGGAUGAUAUACCGUGAGAGAGCCAACGGAUUUCACACCGUGAGGAACAGUCCACAAGUAAAACAGAAAAUGCCUUAGGAGAAUUAGUUGUUCAGAUUUCUAGCUUGAAUGAGGAGUGGGUUUGGUGUGAAUGAGAGUGAGAGUGAUGCGUGCGUGAGAUGCACGUGUAAUGUGUUUGUUUGUUCAAACAGUGGCCUUUUAUAUUGCACACAAAACGUACUGUUCGGGACUUAUUGUGGUACUUAUUGUGUGCUGAAUAUCGGUGCUGAAAUGUUUUUAUUAAGAAAAAAACAAAACAGAACGUAGAAAUAGGAGCAAGCAGGCCGCAGGCCAAAACCUUGGGGGUACCACCAUACGACUUCUGACCUCCCUGCGGGCUUGUCCUUUGCAGGGGUGGUGACAUGUCACAUGCGUACCAAAAAAUAAAAUUAUCUUUUUGUAUUUUUGUAUUAUUAUUUUCCUCCGCUCAUUCACAAGUAGUGGAUGUGAAAGAAGAUUUUAUAUAGGACCGCCGCACUAUUUCAGCAUGCCGUAUUGAAUAACAAUAAAUCUUAUAAGCGAAAUUAAUGAAGAAUCUUAUAAUCCUAUUUAUUUUAGAAUCUGCUUUUCUAUUAUAUGUCUUCUUUUUUGCCCCCCCGCCCCUCCCCUCUUUUUUUUUGCUAGUCCCAACGAUUUUGAAAUAUUAACUGAUUCCCACUGGUUGAGAUAAGGAUAAUUUUUAAAAACCUCCCUGAAGUUUGAGGUUGUUGCAAGUAGACCGUCAAAAUUAUUUUAUUUAUAAAAAAUCUCAAACCGUCAGUUAAAUUUUUCUUAACUAGUAGUUGACUUUGAAAAGAUAAAAUUAUCCUUAAUGACAGUGCAAUCCUUGGCGUGAAAAUCACCGUUCUAUUUUUUAACAUUUUUAGUUACAAUGUCUCAAGUAACUAAAAAAUUUAUUUUAUCCUAUUUAAAUUAUCAAGAUUUCCUUAAAAUCCUAAAAAAAAGAAAAAAAUUGAAGAAAUAGCAACUACUACCAAUCCCAUCAUCACCCAUUCAAUUUUUUUUUCUAGUCAAUUUCUUCAAAAUUGAUAAAAAAACAUUCUUCAUCAUAAUCUACAUUCAGCAACAUCAUCAAGCCUAUAACUAUACAUCGCCUAAUCCAAAGCAUUAAAGACGAACAAGAAAAGAGAGUUAUGUGAUAUGUGAUCGUAGAUCACAAUCUAAAGAUCAGAUCAGGCCACUCUCAAACUUCCACGUCAACGUCCUUCUUGACCGGAGAGCAAAUGAGCCAUGUGAAACCACAUGGAUCCUUGACCUUUUCCACGUGCCCAGCCGCCCACAACAAUACGCGCUGUUGCCUUUAGCAAGCUUACCCUCAUCAACAAUUCCAGCACUCACAGCCUUGGCGAGGGCAGCCUCAACAUCAUCAAUCUCCAAGCAGAGGACGCAUCCGAUUCCCAUAUUCUUAGCUGCAGCAGAAUCAUCGGAAAAGUCAGAGACAAGAAAAAUGGAGCCAGCAAUCUCGAGUUGAGCUCUUGUUCAGCCUUUCGUUUGGUUUCCAUGUUGCAGUUGAUCUCCACAGCACCAAACGCUGUCUUGUAGAACUGAACAGCGUCAGCAACCUUCGAUGCUUCCACAAGCAACUGCGGCUUCAUCCCAUGAAGUUGGCCAAGGUAGCAGGAGCAGUCAUCUUCACGGUGCAGUUCAGAACAUCAGCCAUUGAGAGAGUUUUGGUGUCUAGACAAAGGGAAAGAACCUGAACUUAGGAGAGAGAAAAUCAAAGAGAGAGAAGAAAGAUGAAACCAAAGAGACGAAAUAAAAGAAAAUGAACUUCACCCAUUUUGAUACAGUGUUAAAGGCAAUAAAACGAUAACUCUUUGAUAACAAUACAAAAUAUCAAUAAUGCCCUCAAUUAGUCAAACGGCAACCAAACGGAACUAAAAUGUAACGGAUCUUUUACAACUAAAACGAUUUUGGCCAUCUACUUAUAACAGCCUCAAAUUUCAAGAAAUAGGGAUGGCAAUGGGGCAGAUAUGGGUUGGAUCUACUCUGCUCCAGAUCCAAAUCCAUAAUAAAAAUCAAGAUCCGUAUCUGCUCCAGAUCCGUUAUGAAUCCAUAUUUUUCGCUCCAUAUCCAAAUCCAAAAAAGAAAUAAAUAUCUAUAUCUGCUCCAAAUCCGAAAAAAAAUUAAAAUCCAAAUAUGCUCUAGAUCCGUCAUGAAUUCUAAAAUUCCGUAAUAAAAAAGUAAUAAUUUUUUAGAUUGAAAAUUGAAGGCUAAAAUGUAUUGAUAACAAAUAAAUUAUAUAAUUUUUCUCAAAAAUAUAAUAAAUAUUGUAGCUUAUACUUCUAUACCAAAACAACAAACAAGAAUGAUAAUAAAAUAUCAUUCAGAAGUAAUUGCAGGAGUAAGAUCAAUCUAAUAUUCUAUUGUCUCCUUCAUCAUUCUAGUAUCCACGAUACACCUACCCUCAUUUCUACAACAUUAGAUAAUGACAUAUAAAUUAAAUAUGAUUUAUAUUCAGUCCUUUAUUAUUUUUAUUAUGACCAUAUUUGACUAAAUAUAUGAAUAACUAUAUUCCUUAAAAAUUAUUUGGCCAAUAAGAUAAAAUAAAUUACCAGGUUAUAUUACUUGGAUUGCAAUUUGAAUAUUGCAUGUACAUGCUUUGAGGCUGGUUGAUCUUUAAAUUUACAAAACUAACCUUUAAGUUUUAAGAGUUUAAAUUCAUGAUAAAUACUACUAAUAUGCUAUGAAUAAAAUUUAUUAUCAUUAUCAUUCCACAAUUAUUAAGAAACUUUUAAAAUAAAAUAAAAUUAAAAGAUGAGUGGAUAUGGAUAUGGAUUUAGAUAUUAAGAUAGAUCUAUAUCUGCUCCAGAUCCGUCUUAGAUCCGCACAUCGAUAUCCAAAUCCGAUCCAAAUCCAUUUUAAACCGAUCCAAAUCCGAUCCGAUUGGAUUUGGAUCACAUGAAUCUUGGAUCAAAUCCAAUCCAUUGCCAUCCCUAUCCAGAAAGAUUUUUAAAAAUUACCCGUUGAGAUAACGUUCAUUAAUGGUAUUAGAUUCGGAGCAGACUGCAGACUCAGAAUUUUUUUUUUAGAUAACGUUCAUUAAUGGUAUUAGAUUCGGAGCAGACUGCAGACUCAAUAACUUUUUUUAAAAAAAAAAAAAUUCUGGAGAUUAACAACUUUAUUAAUUAUUCUUCGUACAUAAAUUUUUAGCCUGGAUUAGAUUUAUUUCAAUGGAAUCAGCUUUUCAUUGAAGAAAAUAAAGAUUGACGCGGGGGCGGAGGCCAACCAAUUUUUGGCAUCAGGUUCAACAACUUUAUUCUUUAUGCAGAAACUUUUAGCCGUCUGAUUAAUUUUAUCAUACAUUGAUAUUCGGUCGUUGGAUUAGAUCUAUUUCAAUUACGUGAGACAUAAUUAGCUUUUAAUUAAAGAGAAUAGAGAGUGACGCCGGGACCACCAAUUUUCUUUCCUGACUUUUGUCUAAAAAUUAUUGUGAAGUGCUUAUCUUAACCGUUGACCUGAAUCUAAUCAGAGGGCUAAAAAUUUGUGACUAGGUAAACAAACAGGCACCCAAAGUUCCAUUUAAGAUCAAUCGGAAAGAAAGUGAGCGAGCAUAAUCACAGAGAGAAAAACCUUGUUGAUUUUCCUUAAUACCUUUUCUUCUAAACCCCCCCCCCCCCCCCCGCCCCGGGGGAAAAAAACAAUAACAACCAAAAAAUAAAAAAUAAAAUAAAAGACACGCACAAACACAUUUUUUUUUUUCUAUAGAUUUCAGUUUUCUGUAGAUUUAUCCUGCCAACAUUUUUUCAUAGUCAUUUUCUGUCAAUUCUUGUCGUCCUUCCCAAAAAAAAAAAAUGUCGAUCGUUGGAGAAACCAUUCUAACUGUCACCAUUGAGAUGUUGGUGAAAAGUUGAUAUCAGAUGUGAUUCAGCUGUUCGCACGCCAAGAACAGAUCCAAGCCGCUCUUAAGGAUUGGAAGAAGAAACUGGGGAUGAUCAGGGCGGUGCUCGACGACGCCGUUGAGCAGCAGACAACGAAGCAGUCAGUGAAGACGUGGCUGGGCGGACUUGAGAGCUUAGCUUAUGACGUGGAAGACAUAUUGGACGAGUUUGCAGCUGAGGCUUUGCGGAGGAAGUUGGUUUUCGAACCCGACGAUCUCGUUCAACCUCGUGCAGGUUACUUGCGGAAACUCAUUCCUACCUGCUGCACUAAAUUCAGUCCGCAAAAUGUGAGGUUCGAUUCCAAGAUGGCGGCGAGGAUAGAGGAGAUUACUGGCAGAUUCCAGGACAUCGUAGCGCAGAAAGACCUGCUGGAUUUGAAAGAAAAUUCAGGAGGAAAGUCCAACAAAUUAAGCAGUCGUCCAGAGACCACCAGUUUGGUGAUUGAAGCCGAAGUACAGGGCAGAGAAGAAGAGAAGAAAGCAAUAGUGGAGCUGUUAUUGAAAGAUGAUUUAAGUUCUGCUGGUAGAUUCUCCGUUAUUCCUAUUGUAGGCAUGGGAGGGCUGGGGAAGACAGCUCUUGCCCAACUUGUCUACAAUGACCCAACGGUGGAAAGCCAUUUUGACUUCCAAGCUUGGGUAUGUGUCUCAGAAGAUUUCGAUGCUGUCAGAGUGACAAGAGCCAUUCUCAACUCUCUGCAAAUUUGAAAUUGGAUGUAAAAAAGUGGUGUGGAGAAGAAGAAGUGCAAUGGUUCUCAGCCCACAGAAUUCACAGGUUACAAAUGAUAUGUCAAAUCGAGUGUUCCUAAGAGGGAUACUCCAGGAAGAGUUACCAAAUUUAGAAGAAGUGUCAAUUAAAAACAACGAAGAGCUAACAUGCUUAUGGCGGGCAGGACAUGGAUUACUGCAAGACAUUGGUUCCCUUCACCAAUUGAAGAUUGCGAGUUGUCCCCAACUUGUUUCCUUGGUGGAGGAGGAAGAAAAAGGCCAACAACAGCAAGGGUUGCCAUGCAGACUUCAGGUUCUGGAAUUAAGGAGCUGCCCAAGACUGGUGAAGCUACCACAAGCAUUUCUCAGCUUUAGUUCACUUCGGGACUUGAAGAUCUCAGACUGUGAUUCAAUGGAAGCUUUACCGGAUGCGCUGAUGCACAAAGGUAAAGCACCGCUUGAAAAGUUAAUCAUUUCUGGUUGUCAUACUCUGUAAUACAUCGCCAGGGCCCAGCUACCUCCUAGUCUUAAGAAGCUGAGGGUCUACUAUUGCAACAGUCUUAGGACGUUGGUAGAUGAAGAUCAAAUUUUAGACAUCAAUAGUUGCGGUGGGUACACCUCUGUUCUUGAGCAGUUACAGAUUAUUCAUUGUCCAUCUCUGACAUCCUUAUGGUCAAAAAGCGAGCUACCCGCCACGCUUGAAAAUAUUUAUGUUGAUCGUUGCUCGAAGCUUGCUUUCUUGUCAUUGAGAGGCAAUCUAUCGAAGGCUCUUAAGCACCUUUAUAUUGUUAGUUGCUCAAACCUGGAGUCAAUAGCAGAAGGGUUGGACGACAACACAUCUCUUGAAACUAUGGAAAUUUUUAUUUGUCAAAAUCUGAAAGUUUUACCCCAUAACUUGCACAAGGCCCGCCAUCUUCGACUAUUGAGGAUAAAUGAAUGUCCAAAUCUUGUUUCCUUUCCAGAAGGAGGGCUGGCGCCUUUUAGUAAACUGACUACGCUUGAGAUAUUUAAUUGUGAGAAACUGAAGGCCCUCCCCAACGGCCUCCGCAAUCUCACAUCUCUUCAAUACUUAUUAAUACAAGAUUGUCCAAGCAUAGGAUCUUUCACUGCGAAUUGCUUUCCCACCAACCUUACUUCAGUUCGUAUUGACUAUGAGAAGAUUUAUAAGCCAUUGAUAUUGGAGCGUGGCCUGGGAUUGCACAGAUUCACCUCUCUUAGACAACUCACGCUAUUUGGAGGAGAAUGUUGCAGCUUGGUAUCAUUUCCACUGGAGAAAGAUACAGGAAAGGCACUUCCUGCCUCUCUAAAGCAUCUGUCUAUUUGGAAUUUUCCUAAUUUGGAACGCAUAUCCUCAAUUGAAAACCUCACUUCAUUUGAAUCUCUUCAGCUCUGUUGUUGUCCAAAGCUCCAGGAGUUUCCAGACAAUGGCCUGCCUAUCUCACUUUUGAGACUAGAAAUCUAUGGAUGUCCGUUGAUUGAAGAAAGGUUCGAGAAGGAUAAAGGACAAUAUUGGUCCUUGAUAGCCGAUAUACCUUGUGUCCGGAUAGAUUGCCAUUAUGUGUGAUAGAUCCCAAAGCACAGAGACAACUGUAUCCUGUUUAAAUUCACAAAAUCCAAUCCCAGGUAUGUGUAGUUAGGGAUGGCAAAAAUUCUCACGGGACGGGUAGUCUCGGGGAUUUUUCCCAUUCGGGGAGGGUAUGAGGAUAAUUUCAUACCCAAUUUUUUAUUCGGGGAAGGGACAAGGAAAUUUAAUUUCUUAUUCGGGGAGAGGACGGGGAUGAGGUGGAAUCCCCAUCCCCUACCCAUUUCCCCAUUUUAAUUUUUAAUUUAAUUUUUAUUUUUUAAAAUUACUAGUAAAUAAAUAAUAAAAUUUGAAUUAUAAAAUUAUUAAAAUUGGUAAAAAUAACAAAUAGCAAAAUAUUUAUAUUAUUAAACUUUUAGGCCUAAUUAACUAAUUAAAGUCCUAAAUUUUUAUUUAGGACAUUAAAAAGACCAGAUAGAUUCUAUUAGCCCAAAAAUUUUGUUUUAAUUUUAAAAUUCAUUAAAUAUUUUAAACUUAAAUCUAUUUUUUUAUUUAUUUUUAGAUGUUAUAAUUGUCCACAGCGAAUCACAAUUUUAAUAUCUAAUCUAAUAUUUUCUCUUGAUUUGCUCCGACUUAACUAUUGUGUUGUAAAGGAAAUAGUCCACAUUUAUAAAGUGCCCACGCCACCAUUGAAAAAGUUAAUUUUGAAUCUAAAUUUGAUUUUAUUUGUAACAAUUUUGUAUUACACUGUUAAUUUGUUCAUGAUAGUUUGUAAAAGAAGUUUGUAUCCAUUGCAUGCUGCGUUACUUACUAAUUUAAUGUAUGUGACUUUUGUAAUGAAUAUUAAUGUAAGAUAUAUUUCGAACUUUACUUUUAUUUGAAUUUUUUUAUUUUAAUAUGAUUAACUUAAAAUCGAAAACAAAAAAAUGUAUUAGUUAUUCGGGGAUCGGGGACCUUCGGAGAUCCCCUGUUAUUAUUCAGGGAGGGGAUGGAGAUUCUCUCAAAUAAUUCUGACGGGACGAGGAGGGGACGAGGACAUACGCAAAAUAUCGGGGAUGGGUACGGGGAGAUUGAUCCCCUCCCCUCCCCUCCCCAUUGCCAUCCCUAUGUGUAGUUAAUAAAUAUCCAACCAAUUACAAUUAUGUUUUAAUUAUAUUUCUUUCUUUUUAAAAAAUUAAAUCUCAUGGAUUCUUCUUUUUCUUGAUGUUCUGAUCAAGAUCCAAACAGCUGAUUACACAAUUCCCCACCUGCUCGUUUCUUUCUAUAUCAGCUUAUCAAGGCAAUUUUUUAUUUUUCUCUUUUCAUGGUGAGAAAUACUUUUAUUUAUUAUUCUUAUUUUGUUUCUUUUCUUGACAAUUGACAAAGCUGAGCUACAUCUAAGUCAUUUUCCUUUAUGAUGCUGACCACUGAUGGUUGAUGUUAAGGAAGCUCACAUUUGCAAGAUUAUCAGCAAAGCAGAGGAUCACAGCAACAAUCAUAUGCAGUUACGAGUUGAUGACAUGGCAUGCCAGCUGGAGCCUGGUGGCUAUGUAAUCAGUUAUGCAUGUAUCAAUUAGCUAUAAGCUGUUAUAGUUAGUUGAAAGGAUUAGUUAAUAAUUUGUUGCUAAUUACAACUAUUUGUGCUGAGCUUCAGCUUAGUAUAAAUAACAACAGCUUUGUACAUAUCAUUAAUAAUGUGAUUAAUGAAAUUUAGUUUCUAGAAAACACUCAGAUCUAGUUCAUAUUUUCUUAGUUGCCAAACACGUUUUUCUCGUUCUUCAACUUGGUAUCAGAGCUAGUAACAAUGGCUUCAGUCCAUCUAGCUUCUUCUUCUUCUUCUCAAGCGCCAAUUAAUCAAACAACUGUUAAUUCAACAAAUAUGACAUUCACUUUCAAUACACCUAUCAAGUUAGAUCAAUCCAAUUAUUUGAUUUGGAGAUCUCAAGUUCUUGCUUCAAUUCGCGGCAACAGACUUGAGAAAUUCAUUGAUAACUCAACCACUCCACCUCCUUCACACAUUGCUCAGAGAAUUGAAGAUGAUCUAAGAUCUGUAGAAAAUCCAGAAUUUGCAACUCGGAGAUCACAAGAUCAGGUGCUGCUUGGCUGGUUACCUUCUUCAAUGAGUGAAGGAAUCAUCAGUCUAGUCUUCAAUCUAGAGACUUCUCGAGAGGUAUGGAAAGCUAUAGAAGUUCAAUUUGGAUCUCAAUCUAAAUUUAGACUUCUGCAUUUACGAUAUAUGAUGAAUUCAACUAGGAAAGAUGAUCUGAAAAUUACUGAUUACUUCAUUAAGAUGAAAAGUAUUGCUGAUAAUAUGGCUGCAGCUGGUAGUGCGUUAAGUGAUGAUGAUUUGAUUUUGCAUGUACUCUCUAGCUUAGGUCCAGAUUAUAACUCUGUUGCUACCUAUAUCACUGGACAAGUAGGAGUAGGAAAAAUGAAUGUAAAUGAAGCUUAUACUAUGCUUCUAACUCAAGAAGCUAGGAUUGAACAACAAACUCAUAUGCUAGCUAAUACUGAUGUGAUACAAAACUUUGAGGCUAAUCUUGCCUAUAACAAAGGUUAUAAAAUGGGAAAUAUGUCAGGAGGAAGAGGUUUUGGUAGCUUUGGAUAUAAUUCUGGUUAUGGAAACAGUGGAAACAGUAACAGUAAUGGUUACAAAGGAGGUUAUGGAGGCUCUGGAUUUAAUGCUAAUAGUGGAAAUGCUUAUGGAUCUAACAAUCAGUUCAAGGCUUAUCAAGGAGAUAAUCAGAGAGGUGGAGGAGGAGGUAACUAGAACCAGAAUGCUGGAAAUAGAGGAUUUAACAAUAGCAGACCACCUGGAAACACUAAGCCUCAAUGGAAUGUCUCUAAGCCAACCUGUCAAAUCUGUUGUAGAACAGGCCACACUGCAAAUAUUUGCUGGAAACUUGAGGAAUUCAUGGCAUUUGGAGCUUACAGACCACCACCAAACAGAAAUCCAAAAUCUGCAUAUUUGGCUAAUAUGGAAGGCCCCGCUGAUACUAACUGGUAUUUGGAUAGUGGUGCAACACACCAUCUGACUAAUGAUAUCAACAUGCAUGUUUCUGAAGCUUUUACAGGUAUAUCUAAACUUGUUGUUGGCAAUGGUGCUGGAUUGGAUAUAACACUUAUUGGAAGUGCUGCAUUGAAAUCACAUAACUCCAAUAAUGCCUCUUUAACUUUUAAACUAAAUGAUAUCCUUUUAGUGCCACAAAUUACUAAAAACCUUAUCAGCAUCUCUAAACUCACAAAGGAUAAUGAUGUUGUGAUUGAGUUUACUAAUAAUUUCUGUUUUGUGAAGGACAAUGUGAGAAAUUUGAUCAUAUUGCAGGGCAAAGCUGAAAAUGGUCUAUACAAAUUGCUAUUGGUAAUAGGAAUAGUGUACUGCUGAAGAAGAUUGUACUGAAAUUCAGAAGUUUUGGAUGGAGAAGAAGAACUGAAAAUUGAGGAAUAUGGAAAUGAAGUUUCAUAAAAAACAACAUGACUUGCUAUAUAGAUUUUUCCAAAAGAAUGGAGACAUUUAAAACCCUUAUGCAAAGGACUAUACCCCAGAAAAAUACAUUUGGAUGUAUGAGACUGAAAUUUGUGUUGAUUAUAACUUCUAAGGAAGGGAAAGCAUGAACAUCCAAAUGUUCUCAAGAAUUUGUAAUCUGGAGAGAUGUGAAAUAUAGACUCAUAAGGAGAUUUCAUUGACUGAACUGGUGUAGGCAAUCUGUUUAUAAGGUAUGUGGCUGUAUGAAAAGACUCCCACCAGAAUUUAAUGGGUAGGUUUGCUUGUGCAAGUAGAGUAAGACCAAGUUCUGUAAUAUGCCUAUGCUUUCUCUCUACAAUUCCAUUUUGAUUGUGAGUGUAUGGACAUGAAUGUCUGAAGUGUAUGCCCUCUGUGUGAAGGAGGUUAACAAAGGAUCGAAAUUCUCCCCCCCAGUCUGAUUGAAGACAUUUUAUGGGUUUGUCAAGUUGUUUUUCUAUCUGGUUUUUGAAAAUUUUAAAGACUGAUAGUGUUUCACUUUUGGUUUUCAAAGGAAAGAUCCAAGUAAAUCUUAUGAAAUCGUCAACAAAGCUUAUAUAAUAUAUGUAGCCUUGUGAUGAAAUCACAGGGGCUGGUCCCCAUAAAUUAGUAUGCAAUAUUUCCAGGGGAAACUUUGUUUUGAUAUCAGAAGCUGGAAAAUGAAGUUGGUGCAUUUUUCCUAUUUGACAAGCAUCACAGAAAUUAAAGGUUGUAUUCUUAUUGUCAAGAAUGAAAGAUGAACAUGUUUUGAUUACAUGAUUCAAAAUCUUAGAAGAUGGAUGUCCCAAUCUCUGAUGCAAUACAGAAGUACUUAACAAACACUCAGAGUUUUUACAAGUAGCUGCAGUAGGCAGACAGGAGGUUUUAUUUGAAAAAAUAGAAUUGACAACUGAAAACAUUAAAAGAGGAGAAGUUGAUACAACUGACUCAGCAACAAAGUUUUGACUAUAAGCAGAAGAGGCUGUCUUAUUAGGUGAAACCAAUAGCAAUUUGUAUACCUUUGAAGCUGAAACUGCAGGUAAUGAUUCACAUUCUAAUCACCUUGGUCCUAUAUCUUCACCACUCUCUCACAACACCAUCCCAACCCUCACCACCAGCUGUUGUAUCUCAGCAAUCUAUACCUUCUUCACCAACUCAGCUCAAUCUUCCUAUACUUCUACCUGAUACAACACAAAAUACAUUAUUCUCCCAACCUCCUAUAUCUCACUCUCUGAUUCAACCAACCCACUCAUCUCAACCUAAACCAAAUCUCUCCACACAUAAAAUGAUCACUAGAGCAAAGGCUGGCAUAUACAAACCAAAGGCCUACCUAACAGAUCAUAAUAGCCUGGAACCAUCUACAGUUUCAGAAGCAUUAUCUGAUCCCAAAUGGAAAGCAGCAAUGCAGACUGAAUACCCUUAUGCCUAUGUGCCCAUCCUACAAACUAGUUGGGUGCAAAUGGGUGUUCAGAACCAAGUACAACACAGAUGGCUCAGUUUCAAAACAUAAAGCCAGACUGGUAGCCAAGGGAUUUCAUCAAACUGCAGGUAUUAAUUAUUCUGAAACUUUUAGUCCUGUAGUGAAGUCUUCAACAGUAAGAUUGAUUCUUAGUCUAGCUGUCAUGAACUGUUGGAAGGUCAGACAAAUUGAUGUGAAUAAUGUCUUCUUAAAUGAGGAUUUGUCAGAGGAUGUGUAUAUGGUUUAGCCUGAGGGUUUUGUGUCCAAAGAAGGCUACAUAUGCAAGCUUACCAAGGCUCUAUAUGGAUUGAAACAAGCUCCAAGAGCUUGGUAUGAUAAACUGAAAGGCUGUCUUACUGCCUGGAAUUUCAUCAAUUCAAAGGCUGACACAUCUCUUUUUGUUAAACAUGAUGAUAAGGGCAUUAUUAUUAUCUUGGUCUAUGUUGAUGAUAUUCUGGUUACUGGUCCUGACUCAGCAUUACUUGAAGAAUUUAUCACUAAACUAAGUAAGGCUUUUGCUCUCAAGGAUCUGGGUUUGAUAGCUUAUUUUCUUGGAGUGGAAGUAUGUUACACAACUCAUGGAAUGCAUCUGUCACAGACAAAGUAUAUUAAAGAUCUGAUCAGCAAAGCUUCAAUGCAGAAUUGCAAAGGGUCAGAUACACCCUUCAGUACUGGAUUUAAACUAGAGAAAAAUGUUCAAGGUCCUCUGGGACAAGAAUUUGAAGAACCAGCACUUUAUAGGAGCAUUGUUGGAGGGCUUCAAUAUUUGAUUCUCACCAGGUCUGACAUUGCUUAUUCUGUACACAAACUCAGCCAAUAUCUCAAUACUCCUACACUUCAGCACUGGCUGGCAUGCAAGAAGGUUCUCAGAUAUCUUCAAGCCAUAACUACUCAUGGUUUAUACAUUCAAAAGGAAGGGACACUUGGACUUGCAGGUCUAACAGGAUACUCUGAUGCUGACUAGGCAUGUGAUGUUGAUGAUCGAAAGUCUAUUGGAGCUUACUGUAUUUACCUUGGUAAUAAUCUGAUCUCCUGGUCUUCAAAGAAGCAAGCUAUAGUAGCUAAGUCAAGCACUGAAAGUGAAUACAGGGCACUAUCUUCAGCAAGUUCAGAGCUUUCAUGGUUGCAAUCUCUGUUGUCAGAACUUAACAUUGUUCAGUUACCUACUCCAAUUCUUUGGUGUGACAAUCAAAGUGCUGGAGAGUUAGCUCGAAAUCCUAUUCUUCAUUCUAAAUCCAAACACAUUGAAUUGGAAAUUCAUUACAUUAGAGAUAAAGUGCUUGGAAAAGAAUUAGAAAUAAGAUAUAUUCCUACAGAAGAACAAGUUGCUGAUGUCCUUACUAAAGCUUUGUCAUUUCCCAAGUUUAACUAUUUUAGAUCCAAGCUCAAUGUCAUCAACAGGCCAUUGAGCUUGAGGGGGGAUGUUAAAGAAGCUCACAUUUACAAGAUUAUCAGCAAAGCAGAGGAUCACAGCAACAACCAUAUGCAGUUACGAGUUGAUGACAUGGCAUGCCAGCUGGAGCCUGGUGGUUAUGUAAUAAGUUAUGCAUGUAUCAAUUAGCUAUAAGCUGUUAUAGUUAGUUGAAAGGAUUAGUUAAUAAGUUGUUGCUAAUUACAACAGCUUUGUACAUAUCAUUAAUGAUGUGAUUAAUGAAAUUUAGUUUCUAGAAAACACUCAGAUCUAGUUCAUAUUUUCUUAGUUGCCAAACACGUUUUUCUCGUUCUUCAACUGUUGGAAGUCAACUAUUGUAUAGUAAGAUGAUUUGAAACUUCUUUUAAAACUUCUCUGUCAUCUAGCUUAGAGAACUUGACUGUCCACCAAGAGUCUGGAGUCACCUGUUGCAUCUCAAGUUGAUUUGGUAUUUGUUAUUUUUAAUGAGGAAAUACUUUGCUAGAACUUUCAGAUUGAACAUUGCAGGUAGGAUUAUUAUUCAAGUCGUGACCUUCGAGAACUUGUUGCAGUUGAAUGUUUUUUUUUUUUUUUUGGGGGGGGUGGGGGGGUAAUGACAAAAAUUAUUAAUGUUUAGGAACAACUCUUUAGGGGAGAAGCAUAUAUAUCUGGCUGGCAAUUUUGGCAUAUUCAACUGUUGAUAGUAGAAUGGAUGUAUGGAGGGUUGACUUCAGUGACCACAAUUAAUUAUGUCAUUGUACGGUUAAAUGGUUGCAUUAUGAAAAGCAGAGAUGCGUUAGAAAAUGACAUGGCCUUUGUCAUGCUUAAUCUGUGCCUAUGCAGCUAUUGUAUUAUCUUGGUUAACCUGUGCCUUUUUAAUUCUUGUACUAUGACUGCCUGGUCCUAAGCAAUAUUGAUGGAAAUGACAUCCAGCUUGAAGUUUAUGUAAAUCUUUCAAAAUAAAUUCUGAAUACCCUUGGAUUUGGUGUGUACAAAGUCAAAGAAUCCAUUUAGCUGGUCCUACAAGUUUUAGACUUUGCAGGGAGGCUUCAGAUUUAUAAAUAUGUAACAAAAAAGGUGUAGACUACAUAAAAAGACUUAAAAAAAAAGUGUAUAGAAUUAUUAGCUAUGCUUAGAUAAAUUCCCGGUAAUUACCUUUCUAGUAUUACUUUUUUUCUUGUUGUUUCUUUGAGAUAUUUCAAGAAAUAUACAAUAUAUGCAAACAUAUAACUUCUUGAAAUUUGUAAUUAUAGGAUUCUGUUGACUGGUUGGUUCUAUACCUCUUUGUGGGAAUGGGCGAAACAUCUUGAUACCUUUACCAAGAUCAGUUAGUGCUGAGGUUUUGGCUAUUACUGGAGCUGGCGUGUGACUGCAUGAUCAAGAUGCGUCAAACCUUCCACUGUUCUAUUGGUUUGCCUUUAUCAUUCGGAAUCCAAGUUUGAUAUUAACAGAGAUCACAUCAAUAAUAUCCUAUUUGGGUAGAUGUGGGUGAGGAUUUAAAAUCAAAUUUGAAAUUGAGAGGAAAGAAAAGGAGCCACAAUAAUUAAACAAAAUAAUUCUGAUGAGUUUUAAUCUCGAGGAACAAUUUUCAAAUGCAAAUUUAACUGCUAGAGAAAUUGUAGCUUUUUGUCAUUAGUUAAAAGGAAAAAGAAUAAGAACUAUCCGGCCCUUUCCUUCAUGAAUGUGUUGAGGUUGCUGUAUUAUUUAGUCAGUAUUUGUAAUUUUCUUCCCUGCAGUGCUCUCUGCUUCCUGAAUUUGCUACUGAGUCCAUAUUUUUCUUUGAGCUUUUGCUUCCUAUUGCUGUUACAGGUGCAAAUCUGGGCAAGCAAUAAGAUACACCGGGAGGAAAGGUCAUCAAUGCGAAAAUGGGAUGUCCGAUCCCUCAUCACAUCUUCUUCAGAUUUGUAUGGUCCAGAAAAGUCUGCUAGUGUUGAAAAAUUACCUAGGCAUGUAAAAUUUACUUUUAAGAAUCCUGUUAGGUGCUGCAUUAUUUGGAUCACAUUACAUCUUCAGAGACCUGGUUUGGGUUCAGUUAAUUUCGGGAAGGACUACAGCAUUUGCAGAUGAACCUUCAGAACAAGAUGAUUCAGGAUUGAGAGCUCCACUUGUGGCCACAGGUUUGUCUUUGUCAAACAGAAUCAAGUUAUAUUAUUAUUGUGAUCCUUAUGAGCUCGGAAAAUGGGCAAGCCUUUCUGGAGUUUGAUCGUUAUUUAUAUGUCAGAGAAAGAGUUUUGGGUUUGAUUUUGAUUUGUAAUUUUUGUCAGUUUAUUGAAAUUUUGUUGUUGUAUAAAAGCAGAAUGUAAAGGUAUAAAAAUUCAUUGAUGCUGUAAUGUCUGUACUUUUGAGAAAGAAGAAUUCAAUGUCUUUUCUAUGCCAUUGGAUUUUCCACUGCUGGUAAAACCUGAGCUGUCGAAUGCUCUGUGAACCUUAAGGGCUAGAAAGUAAUUUUCUUUUUUUUUUAAUUCUUUUAUAUACAUAUUAUUAUUGAUAUUACAUUAGACAUUACAAUUACAAUAUUUAUAAUCGUACUAAAUAACUGAGACCAACGUCAUACAUUAACUCACGCCAUACAUUAACUCACUGAAGCACUUGUCCAAAUACUUUAAACCUCUCUAAUAUUCGAGGAGUGUCUACUCUAUUCACAUUUUGUUAGGGAGAGACUGUCUCUACUCAAUUAGUUGAUAAUUAAGAAAGAAUUGAAACUAACCUCCAUAAUGUUCUUAUGAAAGCUCGAACUCUUGCACUCAACAUUAUAAGUGCAAGGUUUCUACCAUUGAACCAAAGACCCAUUGGUGGCUAUAAAGUAAUUUUCAAGAGUGAAGGAUUUAUUAAUCGAGUUCAAAAGAUUGCAAGCUGGUGAGCGUUGGCAUUUAAAAAUCAAUUGUUAUCCUCUCAAUAAUCUCUCUCUUCUGCCGACACCCGAAGCUCAGAAACCCGUUGUUCCGACGGACGUGUAACACUUCCAGAAAUUAGCCUUUUCUUCUAUAUGAAGGUUGAUCUCUCCUCCUGCAGUGUUUUCUUUUUCGAGUGAAGGUGGUUUUCUACUUACAUAUGUCGGGGGUCUUACAAUAUCUAAUGUGUGAAAUUUCUUUCUCAUUUUACCAUAAAGAAAAUGUCAGUAAUGAUUUAAAGCUCGAGUCUUAAAUUAUCUUAAAUUAAGAAUCUCUCAUUACAUUGUCAACCAAAAAGACACUUACAUAAGAAGAAGAAUUUGUCAGUUUGAUUUUAUUUGUAGAUCCAACAUUUCUCAUAUCCUGAGUGCCUUUCCGUAUCAAAUUAAAAUAGUAGUAGCAAAAUCGUAGUGCACAUUUAAUUAACCAACUAAUAGUCUAAGCAAAGAGAGGAUUACAAGUUCACAACACCAUUACAAAGGAUUCAAAAUCCCCGCACGAAAACAUCAAUGUACAGUUAUAAACAACCCGAAUUGGACACAAGAAAAACCCUUCAAUGGAUUGUUUGCCUUCCCAAUGCUAUAUACUGUGCAAACUGCGCACUGGCCAAGAAAAUGUUUUCAAUUUAGUGUACUUUCAAAAUGCUUAUUUUCUCAGAAUAUUAAAAAAAUAAAAAAAUAAAAAAAUAAAAAGAAUUCUUACAUGUUUCAUCAGCAUGAUUAAAAUCAAAGAAGAAAGCGAGACAUAAUGUCUCUGACAUAAUAAAAUUACAAAAAUUUCAAAAAAAAUGUUAAAACAUGUAAACAUGAAAGUAUUUUCAAAAGCAAAAUGGAAUACAUAGAUAAAACAUCAUCUUAAACAAAUCACAAUCUAGAAUUAGAGCAUUUUUGACAUACCUAAGGAAAAAGAAUACGUGAAAAUGGGUGACUCAUUUGCUAAGGAGUGUUGAUUUGAUUGGCUCUGCAAAUUCUCUUGGGGCUCAGUUCCAAUUCCUCUACAUCCAAAGUUCCACUCGCGCUUGGCAAAUCAUCCAAUUUCCAAACUUCGGUAGCAAAAUUGAUAGUAAAAGUGUUGUCUUUUGUUUCGCUGGGAUUUGCAUAUACUGGACAUAAUCCGCAACGUUUUAUCUUGUAAAACUUUCGCUCAGCGAAGAACUUAAAUGUGGCAAUUGUAUGAUGGUAACCAUCAGGAAACCCAACAUUCAAGCAAGGUUUAAAACCAAGUAUGACACGAUCUGAAUCAAUAAGGUCUUCAAUAUAGCGCGAAUUGUAACCCAGAUCAACAUGUUUGGUUUCAGAGAGAGUCUUUAUUUCUAAGUCGAAUUGAAAGCUGACGUAAAAAUAACGAAAACAAUCAGAAUCAACUUUCUUAGAAUCAAGAACAGCACAAAAAGCAAACCCGAUUAAGUUUCUGCAAGAAGAGUGCGGUGGCAGUUGAAUACAUAUCGAAGAUCCUGAACUUUGAUUGCUAAACCAGUCAGGAAUUUCGCUCCCAGGUAAAACAAUUAGGGAUCCCCUGAGUUCAGAAAGUUUCUGUGAAAGGACAUUUAAAAAAAGAAAAUUGUAAAAUGAAAACCAUUGAUUUCAGAUAUAAGAAAGAGGGACAGAGUAAACAAGAGAGGGAAUUUGAUACCUCGUUGAUUGCCAUUUCAUAGCCCAGUCUCAGUGAUGCAAUUGCCAUAUGCCGAAUUCUUAGUAGUGAAUCUGCCAAAAUCUUGUUGUUUGCUUUUCCAUUCAGUUUCAAGCAGUUAGUAAACUCAAAACAAAUUGCUGCUGACUUCAGAGAUUCUGGUGCCCAUUGAAGGUCAGGAGAGUGUUUGGAUAGCUUUUCGAGUACGGAUGCAUCUAGUUCUUGUAGACAUAACAGAAUCUCUGGCAAAGAUUGAAGCCGGUUGCAGUUCCUUACAGUUAGUAACUGUAGACACAAUGGAAGUUCUGGUAAUGACCGAAGCAUGUUACAAUCCUCCAAGUUAAGAUAUUGUAGACACAAUGGAAGUUCUGGUAAUGACCGAAGCAUGUUACAACCCGUCAAGUCAAGAGAUUCUAGACAAAAUGGAAGUACUGGUAAUGACUGAAGCAUCUUACAAUCAAUCAAGUGAAGAUAUUUUAGGCACAAUGGAAGUUCUGGUAAUGACUGAAGCAUAUUAAAAUCCUCUAAGUGAAUAAACCUCAGCUGCGACAUUUGCUUGAUAAUUGCAGGUAAACUCUCAAAGUUAUUUCCACUUAGAUACAAUAUUUCCAGUGAGGAUAGAUAGGCAAUCUCUUGUGGAAUUUCCCUUACAGCAUAGUCACUUAUAUGUAGAAGUCCCAUAGCAGAUAAACCUAAUAAAAAUGUUCGAGGAAAUGAUUCCAAACCUUUGCAGUGAGAGGAGUCAAGACUUCUAAGCAUGUUUGACAAUGCAACAGAGGAUGGUAGUUGACUAAUAGCUGAUGCAGCUGCUAAGAUGUAAUACAAAUAUUCUAAAGAGCCAAUGUUAUCCGGUAAAUUAUCAAGUUUAGAGCAAUCUUCUACGAACAAUACUUCAAGCCCCGGUAGAUUUUCAAAUGACGAUGGCAGCUCUGUAAUUGGCGUCCUGUCUGAAUAGAUGCGUUUUAAAUGUUCCAUUUUCUCCAAGAUUUCUGGGAAAUGCUCAAGGUUCAAGCAGCCAAGAAGAAUAAGCGUAACCAAAGAUCUCAAUUUACAAAAGCUUGUUGAAAUCCGCUUCAGCCGUUUGCAACCCCUCAAAUCCAACACUUCAAGAUCAGUUAGACACUCUAUUGAUGAUGGAACUUCUUCUAUUGCAGACUGGCCUAAGUAUAGCCGUGUAACUUUCCCAGAAAUUUGUGGAAACUCUAUGAGAUUAACACAAUAGGAGAAAUUAAUAGUUACUGGACAAACAAAAUGAAGAUUGCUUGGAAAAGACCUAAGACUUUGGCAGCCCUUAAAAGACAACGCACUGAGAUACUUGAAAUUCUGGAUAGAUGAGGGAACACAAGCCUUUUCUCCUUCCCAAGGUUGCUCAACUUUACUACAACGCAAAUUCAGUUCAACAAGGUUCUUUGGCUUGAAAUUUGAUGGCAGUGUCCUUAAUGGAUAUGUGUCCCAAUGAAGAUAUCUCAAUUUUUUAGGAAGAUAAUCUAGGCCAUUUGGAAGCUGCACUUUAGAGUAUGAAAGUUGCUCUUCAGUGCUCAUGCUUGGAAGCUUUUCAAUCUCAUAAAACUUAGGUACAUAAAAUUUGAACAAUCUCAGAUUAGACAUAUUUGUGAAGGCUCUGGGGUCUAAAUUGAUGCCUUUUAUUUUGGACAGAUCUAGAAAUAUGCCUUCAAUUGCAUCGGUCCCCUUAUAAAAAAAAAAACAAAAACAAAGAAUGGGUAAGCCUAAAACAGAAAAGAAACAUUCGUAAACUUUAUUAACUAAGAGCUCCUUAAACAAAACAAAUUCUACAAUCUUUGAUUUAUUUUUUAAAUAUAUUAAAUAUCUAUAUGCGAGAAAAGAAAAUUUUGGGGACCAUUGCAAAAUUAAACUAACCGAAAAAAAAAAAUCAAAAUUUCUCUAAUUUACAAACCUGUUAUCUUAAUAUUUAGAAGUUGAGAAGACAUGGCUUAUUUGAUUGGUAUAAGAUUUCGAAUUUUUUUAGAGUCCAUAGAAUCCAAAAUAUUAGUCCAAAAUUAGGGAAAAAAAUGAAAGAUUUUUUUACCACUAGCUAUAAUUGUAUUCAAGUCAAAUUGAGAUACGACCCUUUUCGAAAGAAUUUAUCCGUCUUACAGCCUCCUUAAGAUACAUUUAAGCUAAAAGGAGUGAUUGGAGGCAGAACUAGGUGGGCCAAUCAGUCCAUUUUAUUAGCGAUUGUUGCUUAAAAAAAAUGAUACUCUAAAACACACUUACUUUUUUUGAAAAAAAAAUAUAAUUAUAUUGAAAUAGAACCAGGUGGGCCAAUUCUCAUGGCACUCACUUUGUUCUUACACACUUCACUAAAUUUGAAGAAAAAUAAAAUUAUACUCUUCACACUCUUAUUCAACAUUUCAAAAUUGAUAAAAUCUGGAGUUUUCUUUAAAAUUUUAAAAUUUGAAGACUUGUUCUCUUGACACCCUCAGUCAUUAAUUUCACCUAAUUAUGGUUUUGAUGAUUUUGGUUGUUUUGUUCAUAAAAUAAUUUUACUAAAGGAUGUUCUCGUAAUAAUAAAAAUUAUAAAAAAAACAUAGGUGUGCUGGUGUGGUUGGGAAAAUACGAGUGCAGAACUCGAAACAAAUAAAAGAUGUAUAAAAUAAUGGAGGAUUCUUACCUUAUUAUGCUUUAGUACGCGGCUGAUUUCCUUAGGAUCCCACAACCUGCUGCGUUUGCCUGGCUCUUUCUCAGAUUCUUGGCGAACAAUCUGUCGCCCCAUUUCUUGCAAUAUAUCAUGCAUGUUCAAGAAAUUACCUGAUAUUGAUACGAGUGACUUAUCAAUAAGGAUAUCCAGCACAUCAGACUCAGAAUCAUCAAGAAUGCUUGCCACAAAAUCUUUAUCCUCUCCCUCAAAGAAACACGCAAUAUCUAGAAAUAUACUCUUCACCCUGGGCGUUAAUUUGUUAAAACUAAUCUUUAAUAUAUCAUAAAUAUCAUGAAUUUCAGAUUCACAAAUCCGAUUUAAGUCGUGCAAUACUUUUCCCCAAUGGCUUUUCCUCUUGAGGCACAGGGAGGAACCCAACACUUCAAGAACUAAUGGAUUGCCUUUGGUAUAUGAUACAACACUCCGUGAGUGCCAGUUGAGAUCUUCAGGACAAUGAUUUUCUUUAAAAGCGAAGUUACAAAAAUGCUCGAAAGCCUCUUCAAAUUCCAAUCCAUUAACCCUAUAUAUUUUCUUCUCCUCCCCUCUAAAUUUUUCGAGGACUCGUUUGUCUCUGGUGGUUACAACAAUUCUACUUCCUUGACCAAAUUGAUCAAGCUCUCCAAUCAGACGCUUUAAUUGUCCAACUUCAUUCACAUCAUCGAGUACUAUCAACAACUUCAUGCGUCGGACCCUCUCUUUAGUAAAAUGUGGAAUAUUGGGACCAGCUACUUCAAGUUUUUCGCUUAAUGUUGUUGAAAGCAUUUGCUUUUGGAGAUGUUCUAAUCCACCCGCCGUUUCUGAGUUUCCCCUAACAUCUGACACAAAGCAACUACCUUCAAAUUCAUGGGAGAAUUGGUCGAAAAUAGCUUUGGCAAGGGUGGUUUUGCCGAUACCACCCAUGCCCCAAAUUCCAACAAUUUGGACGGUAUCCGAUGAAUCCAUACACAGAAAUGGUUUAAUCUGCUCAAUUCGUGAAUUUAAUCCAACUAGGCCAUUGGAUGAGUCCGUUGAGACUGUUAUUUUUUCCAACUUCUUCAAAACAUCUUCGACAAUUUUGUUUACAAGUUGCGCAUCAUGCCUAAUACAAAGGUGCAAAGAUGCAAAAACAUUGAGUCAAAUCGGGCCAUGACAGAAACAGAGAAAAGAUGAAUUAGGAAAGAGAGUUACCUGAAUUUCGCGGAUUCGUGGCCGGCUAGAUGGGAUGUUUCUGUCAGUGCAUCCCUCCACUUCAGAACCAUUUCUGGUUUAUCUUGGAACUGUUUUUUGAGCUCAUCAAAACCGUCUCCAAAAGUUCCAUUUUGAUGCCGCACAUCAGAUGGACUUACUCCAUAGAAAACCGGAAUAAUGAUUUGGCCCUUCAUCUUCUUGCAUUCAAGAAUCUUGAGAAGUUCAUGCAGGCACCAUUUUGAAGAAGCGUAGUCCUUUGAGAAAAUGACCACCGAAAUUUUUGAACCUUGGAUUGCGUUCAAAAGGGCAGGUGAAAUCUCAUCUCCUCGCCUAAGCCCUUCAUCAUCAAUAAAUGUUCUGAUUUUCUUUCUUUCAUACAAAUUAUCAUAGAGAUGGCAAGUAAAGCUCGUACGAGUGUCCUCCCCUCUAAAGUUGAGGAAGACUUCAUAAUUGCCAGAAGAAGAAGAAGAGGAAGCCAUGAAGGAAAUUUUAGAAAUUUUGGUGACAGAAACAGAGAAUUAUUCUUGGAAGUUGAGAGAGGAGAUGUAAGAAUGAACAUGUGUGAAGAUUCUUGCGAGUACAUAGUAAAUAAUUGAAUGGCUGGAGCUUUCUUAGUUUCCUGGAAAUUUCCUGGAGCUUUCGUAUACAUGAUUUGUCAAGUCAUGAAAUAUAAUCAUGAUAAUGGGGCAGACCAGGAAGAAAAGCAACAAUUCAAAUAUUUGAUUCGACCAAUAAGGGAAGGAAAAGCAAAGAAAGGAAAUGUUGAAAGUAGAUGUAGGGAAUUAUAAAAAGCAAAAGGAAAAUGGAAUUUUGUGCAAUUUCAAUAUGAGAACCUAUAUUGGGAGAUAUUAUAAUCGAAUUAAAACUUAAAAUUUCAAUAUUAUUAUUCUUUUUUUAAAAAUUGAGAUAUCAGAGUAAUAUCACAUAGAAAAACUUGCCCACGGUAAGCCAAAAGUCUAGUCAACCACAUGCAUAAAGCUAACUAGAACAAGAGAACAGAGAAACGCGUGGGUCCCUAAAAGAAAAGGCAAGCACAUAAAUAAAUGAAAAAGCCAUGACGUUUCUAUUUUACAUGUCAUUCCUAAUUUUUGUAACACGGUGUGGCAGCAUAUGCACAAUCAAAUGAAGCAAAAGGGGUUCAACUAUCGUGGCAGAACAUGGACGAGGACGCGUGAUGAAUAAUUCCUUCGAUAAAACGAAAAACAAACGCAGAGAAAAGAAUUUCUUACAUGACAAGAAAUCAAAGUAAUGUGAAGGAACAUGAUGAAGAAAUUGCAGACCGAUCAAUUAUCCCCAUGGACUCCUAUAAAUUCAACCAAAAUAACAAUUCCAAUAUUACCAAAUUCUUGAGUUAAAUUUAUUCAAUGCUUUUAUUUUUGGGGGAAAUUAGAACCGCGGCAAGUAUAGAAGACAUUGAGGUGUAAAGCAACAUUAAUUUCAUGGGUUAUGCCUUAUACACAUAAUAUAUUUUCAGUCCAAAUUCAACUAUGCAAAGAGGCUUGAGAACUUAAAAUUAAGCACAAACUAAACAGACGAAGUAAAUACAUGAUUAUGCAACAUAACAUUAAUUCUCUCAAUUUAUAACUGUUUUUGCUACAUGAAUCUUGCACAGUUAAUCCUAAUUGAAUUCUAAAAAAGAACGAUUGGAACAAUGUUAUUUCAAAAACGUACGUUCAUAAGCGGGUCGGUCAGCAGAGUAGAAACCUUGGAUCAGGGUAUCAACUUGGAAACCAAAUUUCUUGUAAAGAUUCACAGCGGGAGUUCUCAAAGGAUCAACAUGAAGCGUUAUGCAGAGCACAGUUCUGGUUCUGCAUUUCUUAAUUGCUGCUUCUAGCAGUGCCUCUCCGUGACCUUGUCCCCGAUAAUUCUCCUUCACUAAUUAAGUUAACCCCAAAACCCAUUAAUUUCAUGUCAAUUAAAAAGAAAAAGAGAAUGAAUAACUAACAAAUAUUUCUUUGAGGACUUUUAUCAAACAGUUGAGAUGGCGGGCAUGCAGUGGAAAUUUCAACAAUGGGGACAAAGAUAUGGGACCUGCAAGCUUGGUGAUAGAAGCAGACAAGGAAGUAGGCCACGCGUACAUGACGUGGCCAACGACUUGUCCGUGAAUCUGAAUGUAAAGCAGGCCUGAGUUCUUCUUUUUCAGUUCCUCAUCAAAAGAUCUUGCCAGUGAUUCGUGCUUGGGAAAAAUCUUCUUCUCCAUCUUCACAAUCUCGUCCACUACGACAGUCCAGUUCGUUGAGUUUCUCUGCAGCUCCGUGACGGUUCCAUUACUCCCCAUGGCACGUGGCUUGUUGCAACUUACAGCUGAUCCAGCACGUAUAGAAAAUUAGAAAUGAAGCCUCCUAGCAUUCUUUCGAACAGGCAAAAAAAGUCAAUGGACAUAGUGGUGCCAUGUGUGGAAAUGUUAAGAAGAUGAUGAAGCCCCCAAGAGGCCAGCGUGGCGUGGCAUUGCACCUCAUCAUUUUUUUAAUGCUAAUCUGUAGAGCGGCCCAAAAUGCCGGCACAAUAUAUAGCUGGCAAAGCCCACCCAAGCCCAACUAUUUGGGCCAACAUAUCAUAAAUUAAUACAAAUAUAAAAUGCACGGUACAACGCAGACAAAGAUGAUUUGUGCAGAUAUGUGCUUCCUUUAUGGGUUUAAUUAUAUUGGUACCGCUCUAAGGUAGAGUAUUCUUUCAUAACUACAUGAUUAAAGUCAUAAUGAAUUUUUUAUUAUUUAUUAUUUUGCGUGUGUGAUUGAGAUUCGUGAUCCACCAUAGAUUAGCUCCAACAUAGCAGUAGCCUUCUUUUAUUGCUCAUCAUCUUUAGCAAACAGUCAUUGGCUUUGGAUGUUGCUACAAUUUAUUUUGCAUAAUUGACAAGGAUAGUCGAUGUGCAUAAUGUUGGAAAUUUUAUUAUAAUAUAUCAAAACACGUAAUAAUUGUUUAACUAUAUUAAUACUGGAUUAAUUUGACGAAUUAUGAAAUGACAGUAGGCAUUAUAUUUUAGAGGAAAAAUUAAAUAUAACAACCUAAAAAGUAGGGAUAAUCUCUUAACCAAACUAAAGAUGUAGGACAUCUAAAAGUAAAUUUAGCUAAUGUGUAGUACAAUUACAACAUCUUAGAAUAUGUCAAAACUUGAAGUGUUGUUGUGUUGAAAUAAGUUCCUAUACUAUUAUGGACAUGUAUGAGAUGUACUAAAAACAAAUUAAAUAACCCACAAUAGAUAUGACACGACCACCAAAAGAGACACACUAUUCUCACUAGGUAGUUGUAACAAGAGCGAAAUGUUUUAACCUAUAUCUACAUGCAUUACUAGAAAAAAAGGUCUUUAUUACAAGUAUUACCUACCAUCUAUCAUGUUGCACGAUAAUUGAGUGACCGUCAUUGAUUUCGGUGUCAAGAAAAUAAGAUGAUUGUUUACAUACGUCAUUUUAUGUAUGACAUAUUAUCUGAUACUAUUUUGGUCAUAACUGUUUUGAUGAAAAAUUUCGCGUAUGAUUAAUAUUUGUCAUAAUCACUUCCAUGCAUGACUAAUAUGUAUCAUAAGAUAAUGACAUAUACAAAUAAAUUUGGUGGGAUUCCAAAAUUUUAAAUGAAUUUUGUUGUGAAUUUCAAAAUUUAGUGGAUAUUCAUAUUUUUUUAUUCCAUUAUUAAUUUAUUCCAUUUGUUAUUAUUUGUAUUUAAUUAAACAAAUAGUUGAAGGAAGGUCCCACCCUAACAAAAAGUUGAUGGUUGUUAUACACUAUAAAUAAGAGCGAUAACGUCAUUAUCUGCGCAGACCAAAGAGAAUUUCAAUAACUAAGUUAAUUUUAUUUAAAUAAAAAAUCUCAAUUAUAUACACGAAAGCUCGGCACGUGUGUCAGUCGCAUAUCUGAUAAUAUAUAUACACACACAAACACAUACACACAUAUACAUAUACAUAUACAUAUAUAUCUAUAUAUAAAUUUUAUUUAUAAUCUUGUAAACUGAAUUUUAUAAAAUUAUAAAAUAGUAAAAGCAUUGUAAACACUUCUCAAAUUUUAAUUCUAAAUUUUAAUUUUAGACCUGAAUAUAUACCCACACAUAUGGCAUAGGUAAUUCCUCCAUAGACUCUAGAGUUUGGGUUAAUUUUACUUCCAAGAUUAUUCAAAAUAGUAUUUUUAAUUUAUAUAGUUUAAAUAUUCAAACAAAUCUAACAUAUAACAAAGAUACACACACACACACACACACACACACACACACACACACACACAACAUGUAAAUUAAUAUUAAAUGUAAAAUAAAAUAUAAGUGUGCAAAUGAAACAUAAGACUUGUGAAUGGAAGGUAAAACAAUUAAAUCAACAUAAGAGUGGUAAAUUGAUAUAUUACCGGUAAAUAAAAUAAAAGCUUAUAAAUAUAACAUCAAACUUAUAAAUCAAUAUUAAGUGUAAAAUAAAACAUAAAUGAUGUAAAUGGAAUAUAAGACUUGUGAAUAAAAGGUAAAAUAAGUAAAUUAAUAUAAGAGUGGUAAAUUGAUAUAUCAUUGGUGAAUAAAAUAAAAUUUUUUAUUAAUAUAACAUAAAACUUGUAAAUCAACAUUAAAUAUAAAAUAAAACAUAAAUUAAGUAAAUAAAACAUAAGACAUGUAAAUAGAAUAUAAAACAAGUAAAUUGAGAAAGGAGUGGUAAAACGAUAUAUUAGUAAAUAAAACAUAAACUUACAAAUGUUACAUAAAACUUGUAAAUCAACAUUAACUAUAAAAUAAAAUAAAAAGUAAGUAAAUAAAAUAUUAAACCUGCAAAUAGAAAGUAAAACAAAUAAACUAACAAAAGAGUGGUAAAAUUAUGUAUUAUUGAUAAACAAAAUAUAAACUUACAGAUGAAACAUAAAAAUUAUAAAUCACUAUUAAGUGUAAAAUAACAUAUGAAUUAUGUAAAUGAAAUAGAAGAUUUAUAAAUGAAAUGUGAAAUAAGUAAAUAUUAUAAGAAUUAUUAAGAAAAUAAAACUUACAAAUAUAAAAAUAAAAACUCACUACAAUAAUGAUUACCUUAUAUAUUUAUUGUUUUUAUUUCUAAAUUGAAUGAUGAUAAUUUUGGGUCUAUAUAAUACAUGUAAUGAUAUUUGUGAAAUUUUAUUAAGGAUAAAACUUAUUUCUAAAAUCAAAUUUUGAAAAAAAAAUUUCAUAUUUUUCAAAAUUGUUUGCAAGAGAAGUGAUUUUGCAUCCUAAACCUGCUUGACAACAACCCUAAAUAAGAUUUUUUUUUUUUUUUUUGGCUUGAUUCACAUUAAGAAAAAUAAUUUUACUUAAUUAACUUGUAUAUUUAACAAAUAAUAUGACGGAAAAAGAAAAAAAGGUUUAUAAGUGUCCUAGCAUGAACAUAGAAUUUAUGGUUAAACCAAUUUAAUGAAAUUUAUUCCAAUUGUCUUCAAUAUAAAUUAUUUGUUUUCAAUUGAACAGCAACUUUUUUCAUUACUUAAAUAAUUAAAAAAUAAUUUUUUUUAAAAUUAAAGUUUCAUGCUAAUUUACAAGCUUAUGUUAUUUUAUAAGUAACACUAAUUUACAGUUCUUAUAUUAAUUUACUUGUUUUACCUUUUAUUUACUAUCUUUAUAUGUAAUUUAUGAAAUUUAUAUUUAUCACGAUAUUGAUAUCGUAAUUUUAAUCACGGUAUUGUAGAAUUUUCCUUAACGACAAAUAUGAGCUUGAUAUCGUCUUUUCAUCUGCAACUUCCUUUAUUUAUUUAUUUAUUUAUUUAUUUUGAGAGAGAGAGGGCAACUUCCUUUGAUUCAAAAUUGGGAACUUUUUGGCCUUUCAACUUAGGCUAAUGUUAAUUGCUAAGUUACACACAUGUAACUUACAAUCAUCUCACAUGAAUAGUGAAUGGUGUGGGCUCACUCACUAUUUAUGUGAAAGAGUUGUAAGUUAUAUGCGUGUAACUUAGGGGGAUCCUUCAACUUAACCUUACUAAACAUCUUCGAUCCUUUCACUAAAUUAAAGUUUUCUCAGUCUCCUUGCCCAUGUCAAAAGACUAAAAUACCCUUUAGGCAUCAAAAUUUCUCAAUAAGACAUGGAGAUGAAAAGAAUUUAUUAUGUGACUGUUCUAAUGCUAUAUUGAUGGUGUGUAAGACAUUACAAUUGUAGGAAGAAGAGGAUGAAGUCAUGAAACACAGACGAAUGAAAUUAAAAAUCUACUUUUUUUAUUUUAAAUAUCUACUGUUGGGUUAUACAAGAUCAAUAGAUGAGAAUUUAUGUCAAUAUUUGAAAUUAAAAAUUUUAAUUAAAAUGGCUAGUCCUUUUUUAAUACUUUUUAAAUAAAUUCUUCAGUGUAAUAUGACAACUGAAAUUUGUACAAGGUAAUCUGAAAAUUAAACGAAUCUAAAAUCUAAAAAUAACUUUCAAAAACGGAUGAAAAUCACUGAUUAAGAAUAAUAUAUUAUGUGGUUGAAGCUUUCGUUUUAUCAAUCUUCUUUCUACCAUUGAUUUUCCCACGACUUUCCGGUUUCAUUUCUUGAAUCUCCAUGGAAACUUUCAAUAAACCAUAAAAUAAACUAGCGGUGUUUGGUUUUAAGAAAGGGAAUGAGAGGAAAAUAGUGAAAUGUAAGGAAAAUGAGAAAAGAGGAGUGAAAAAGGAUAGUGAAAUUAAAUUUCAUUAUUUAGUUUGACAUAAAAUUUGAUAGGGAAAAGAAUUGUAAUUUUUUUCUUUGGAUAAAUUUAUCCUUUGCCUUAAAUAUUAAAUUAUCUAUAUUAGUAAUAAAAUAUAAUUUAAUAUUAAUACCAAACUUUUUUAAUUUCAAAAAGUUCUAAAACAAUUCAUGAUUUAUAUUUAAUAUAAAAUAUAAAAAUAAUUUAAUAUAUUAAACUAUUUAAUAUAAUUUAAUAUAAAUAAAAGCUAGACAACAUAAGUCAACGCCGGUCAACAUAAGUCAUCACCGGUCAACAAAAGUCAACAUCGGCCAACACAGGUCAAUGGAAGUCAAACGCCGGCCGGAUAUUUUCUGACAAAAUUCCGGCGAGUUCCGGCUGAGAUCCGGUGUACCGACGGUGGUUCGGCGAAUUCCGGCGGUUGUCCGGUGACCUUCCGGAAAGGUCCACAUGGAAGUCCAUUUAUAAUGUUAAAUCAAUAAAAUAAAAUUAUAAAUAAUAAUUAUUAAUGACAUUAAAUAAAUUUAAAAAAUGAAAGGUUAUUUUGAAAAUUUUAGUUUCUAAUAUAAGAAAAUUUUAAAUUAUUCACUGCUAAGUCUGAAAUUCAAAUUCUACAUUAUAAUGAAUAUUAAAUUCAAAUGGAAAUUAAAUUCUUAUACAUUUUCUCAAAUUAAAUAAUAGAAAUAAAAGAAUUUUAAAUUAUUUUUCUCUCCUACAUUCUCUCCUCCCAACCAAACACCAUUUAAUGAAUCAUUUUCUGGAACACAACUAUAAUUUUAAUAAAUGGGCGGACCAUCUAGAAUAGUAUAUAUAAUUCUGUUUAAUUAAUAAGUUGAAAAAACCAUCAAGAGAAAUUCUAAUAUUAUGAGCUUGACACAAAUUCUUCACUAAUUCCAAAAUAAGGAGUUGUUUUAUAAGAACUGUGGUGUCUAUGUUUUCUAUACAUUUCGCUGCUAACUUUAACCAAUUACUUUAUUUCAACUUUAUUUUCUGGCGGGCACUAUAUGGUGGGUCCAAAAUGGGACCUACAAUAAUCAAUCAUAAGAUUUAGUACGGCUAUCAAAUAGCUAGUGCUAUUUUGGGUUUGAUGGAAGAGAUUGAAUAUUUAAUUUUAACUUAACCAUUCAACUAAUUAGAAAAUAAAUAAAAUUAAAUGAAAUAUUUAGAUAUUAAUUUAAAUAUUAAUAUCGGGAUAUAAAUUAAUUAUAAUAUAGUUCAUUACAUAAAAUUGAUUAAAUUAAUAAUUACACACGAACAUAGAUGUAUAUGCGUUCCAAUUUCCAAAGUGCUCAAAGCACUUUUCUCACCGAACUUUCCUCUGAAUUUCCCAUAGCUGACUCCUUUGUUUGCAUUUUUGGAAAUUUUUAGGAGCUUUUUCUAUUUAGUAUAUUGUACAUUUUUCUUUUCAGGUGAGAUUAAUUUAACUUAAAUUAGAAAAUCUUAUCUUUUUUUAAUAUUAUUUAAAUAAAAUCUGUCUAUCUUUCAUUUUAUCUGUCUACUUUCUACCCAUUAAUUAAGACUUUUCGAUUUCUUUUUGCCUAAGAUUUUCAUUGACUAUCUUUCAAUAAACCAUAAAAAUUACUGUGUCAUUUAUCGAUUAGAUGACCAUAUUUCAAAAUAUCAACAAUAAGUUGCUCUUAAAUAUUUCAUUAAUUGUUGAAGAAUUGUGAUCAGUGUGGACAUCUACAUAAAAAUUAUAUUGAAACACAGCUAAAAGAUAAAAAAAAAUAAAAUAAAUAGCAAUACACUAAAAUGUUUUAGUUGUCGUUAGUUUUCAGUUUCAUUACUUAAGUCCCACGUGCAUAAGUCACGUGACUGAGGUCAAAAAAAUGAUUGUCACAUUAAAGUUCGAGGUACCGAGAGGGGUAAUUAAGGAGUGGAGCUAUUGACACCCCUAGAUUAAUCUUACAAAACCCCACUUUAAAUAAAAUUACAAUUAAGGACAAUUGAAAAUUAAACAAUUAUAGAUUUUUUUUUACAGUAAAUUACUUAAUUCAUAAUCAAUCCUUUUUAAAAAAAAAAAAUUAUAUGUUACGUCCUAUCUAACUAAAAUAAAUUGUACAAAUUUAGAAUAAUCUAUUAUUCUCUUUUGAUUUCUUAUUGAUUAAAUAUUUUUAUACUUAAAAUUGCUUUGAAAUUAUAAUUUGAAAUAUGUGUUAUUUCAGCCAAUGAUUAAUACAAAAAAAUUAUCACCCAUAUAAUUUUUUAAUUUUUUUGUAGGGUAAUAAUAAAAUUGAAAAUAAUUAAAAAAAAUAGCACAAUAAUGAGUUUUUACAAUAAAACAAAUCAAAUAAAAAUUGAAAAUUUAGAAAAGUGUAUCUAAAAAAAGGGGCAUUUUUAAAAAUAAAAUGAAUAUAACUAAAAAGGAGGUUUUAUGAGGGGAUUAGAGGGGUGCCAAUAGUCCAACUCUUAUAUUUAAAGCUAUUUUGACUUUGUAUUUCCAAUGAUAUAUUUAUUAGGUAAUUUUUAAUUGAGUCAUUAUUUGUAGAAAAGUUUUCUGAGGCCAGAAGUUUAUAAAAUGAAUCAAUUAAAUCCCUCUAAGUAUAAAUUUAUGUCAUUCAAGUCUUUAACUUAAUUUCUUCAUUAAAAUUAUUAACAACAUCUAGGACAUUUUAGUUAAAAAACAAUUAAGCACCUUCUCAUUCUUUAUUUUUGACAAUUGACAAUAGUUUAAAGUAAAUUCAAGUAACCUAAAUUAAUGUUCUUUUAAAAAAAAAGGUUAGUUAAUGUGCAGGCAAGCAAUAUCACUUCAUGAACUGCACAUGUCUGAUUUCUUUUGAUACAAGUGGAUUUCUUUUAUAUAUAUUCAUUAUGUUAUCAAAUGAAUUAAUAAAUUGAUGAUCCUAGUGAUGUGUAGGCAACCAAUAGGACAUCACUAGUUAUACAUAUUUGAUUUGAUCGUGAAAUCCUAUAGAUUAAUUGUUUUUAAUAAAAAGAAAUUGAAGUCUUUUUUUUUUUCAUUUUUGGAAGGCAUGGAAUUAGCCCACAAUCUCAAUAAGUAGAUGUUAAUGAACAAGCAGUUGGCAAUAAUUCUGAACAUGCGAAUUAGACUUCAAUCAAUGUCGCUCAACCUGUGGGACAACAUACACAAAUUUUAUGGGUUGUACCUCAACCUCAAAAUGAAGAACCUAUGUUUUCGACAAGGAGUAGAAUAGUACAAUAUUUGCCUUGGGCUGGCAUUUAAUUCUCCAUCAUAGAAUCUAGAAGACAAUUAUCUAUUUCUUGUACUUGAAUUUCAGUUUACCUUAAUGUUGUCAAGGUGUUUGUUAGUUUCAAUUUAAUUGACUUUCAUACUUUUAGUUUCAUUUUUAGACCGAAUGUUAUUGUGGCUUUUCUAAUAUUAUAUUCAAUACAUGUUAUUUAGUUUAACAAUCAUCAUAUAUCUUAUAGACGUGAUGGAAUUAUAUGGAUAGGAAAUUACAUUUUCAUGUGUAAUUCCAAGAGUUAUGAUGGUUAUGUUUUUUAAUGGUGCUCUCUAUAUUUGAAUUAGUUUAAAAAAACUGACUAAAGAUUUUGUUUAAAUUGUUGCAGAGUUUUGUUCCCGGUUGCUCAAAUGGGUAAAACAGGCUGUUAGACUCGAAAAAAAAAAAAUUAAUGCCUAAAGGUAAAAUUGUACUUAAAGUCAUUAAUAUGAUAUAUAUGGGAAUAUAGUUAUCUUUUUAUGUUUAAAUUAACGUUUUCACUAACUUUUAUGACAAAAGAAUUAGCUGAAAAAUCUGAAAGAUAUAAAUUUAUAUUUAAAAAGGUUUAAUUGAUUCAUUUUAUGAACUUUUGGUCUUUGAAUUUUUUUUCUAUAAAUAAUAAGGACUCAAUUAAAGAUCACCCUAUUUAUUCUUGGCUGUUUAAAAAAACAAAAGAGAUGACUAGAGUUGAUCACUUUGACUAUAACGUGGGUCAUAUUGGUUGUUCUUAUAAUGGCAUGUCGAAUUUGGGAUGACUAUUACGUUGAGGGCUUGAGGUGGGAUUUCUUUCAGCUUAAAAAAAAAAAGUAUGCCGCCAAAAUUUUGCUUAGAAAGUUAAAUGUACCACUGUCAAAGGACAAUCUCACCUCUUACCAUUAACUUCGACCGUUAAAUCUGCUAUAUUUAACUAGUUUUGACCUAUGCAAUAAUUUUUUCUUAUAAGUUGUGUCAUGUGUGGAAGCUCUUUUCUAAAAAUAGAAAGGUAAAUUUGUUUUUUUUUUUUUCGGUAAGAGAUGGAAGUGGUUUUCUAAAAGUAAAGAGAUGAACUUGUUCUUUUCUUAAAAGUUUCGGGGCUAUAAGUCUCUUAACCUAAAGUUAUAAUUAUAAUUGCACUAAUAAUACAAUAAAUUUUUUAUAAAUAAAUAUUUAAGAAAUUAAUAACUUUGGGUGAAUAACAAACUUCUCCUCCCCCCCCCCCCCCGGAACUUGCACUAUAUUAAAUUAGUAAAUUUAUUAAAUGCAUAUGAUAAUAUAUUUUUUAAAUUCAUUAAGGCCCAAUGAAAAUAUAAAUUAAUAAUUAAUCAAAUACAAAAAUUAAUAACUACUAAAAUAUAAAAUUUAUAACAUUAAAGAAAUUUUUGUUUUUCUUACAACUUCAAUCAUCUAAAUUAAACUCUUUGCAAAUAUAUGCAUAUAGAGUUGUUUUUUUUUAAUCCUAAAUUGAAUUCAAUCUCCUUUCUUAAUUUUUCUUUUUUUUUUCUAGAGCAUACACCACAUUUAGUAUAUAUAAAACUUUUUUUUUCAUGUUUUAGAAAGUAGUUAUUUAAGAUUAUUAUUGCUUGAAAGACAUCUUUUGUAUAAACAUUUGGUAAAACAUAAUUAUCAUUUGAAUCAUGAUUGUCAUCAACAGAGUUAUCCAAUACCCUUUUAAUAAUCUGUUGAAUCAGUGAGUGAUUCCAUCACUACAUCUAUGCUAUUAUGGAUAGUAGUCAUCGGAGGAGAUGUCGUUGACAUGAGGAAGUACGAUUUGUGUUUAUUUAAAAGUAAAAAUAUUGAUAAAACUCUUCCUAAAAAUAAAAUAACACAGUUCUGUUUCUAAAUUAAUAAAUAUUCAUUUAUCAACAAAUUAAUAAAUUAUUAAAAUUUAUAAAUAAAUAACUUCUCUAAAAUAAUUUUUUUUCUUAGUCCUAGCAAGUAGCAAUGUUAUUUUAUAGAGGUUUUAUUUUAGUAAUAACAAUAAUAUAAUAAUAAUAAUUAUCAUUAUAUAUAAUAUUUACUAUUAUGAUAGUUAUCAUUAUAAUCAUGAGAAGAAUUUCAUUAUUUUAAAAGGGGCAAAUUUUAAUUUUUAAAAACUAUGAGAAGAAUUUCAUUAUUUCCAUUAGUUUCAUUCUCAUACACACACACACACACACAUAAAGAAAUCAAUUAUUCACAUUUCCCUAUCCAACAAAUAAAUACUGUAAAUUAUUAUUUUUUUAAAAGAAAAAUAUCAAAACGGUGUGGGUCCCAGCAUAAUCCUUCUAACCUACCGGCUCCCUGUCGGAAAAAAAAAAAGAGAAAAUGUUUUUAUUAAGAAAAAAACAAAACAGAACGUAGAAGUAGGAGCAAGCAGGCCGCGUGGCAAACCCCUGUGGGUACCACCAUACGACUUCUAAGUUCUCACCUCCCUGCUUUUCCUCCCGGGCUUGUCCUUCCCUGGGGCGGUGACAUGCGUACCCACAAAAAAAAAAUUAUCUUUCUGUAUUUUUGUAUUAUUCUUUUUCUCCGCUCAUUUUGAAUUACACUGGCAAGUAUAAAAACGACACGCGUCCCACCUAAAGUCGUGAAUGUGAAAGAAGAUUUUGUAGGACUGCCGCACUAUUUGAGCAUGCCGUAUUGAAUAACGAAGCAGUCAGUGAAGACGUAGCUGAGCGGACUUGAGAACUAAGCUUGUGACGUGGAAGACAUAUUGCAUGAGUUUGCAGCUGAGGCUUUGCGGAGGAAGUUGGUUUUUGAACCAGCCGAUCUCGUUCAACCUCGUGCAAGUAAGUUGUGGAAGCUCGUUCCUACCUGCUGCACUAAAUAAUGUGAGGUUUGUCGUUGUCAAACAGAAUCAAGUUAUAUUAUUAUUGUGAUCCUUAUGAGCUUGGAAAAUGGGC